AUUAAAAAAGUCACUAAAAGUUUCUUAAGGAAAAGUGACAAAAUCCCCAUCUUAUUUAGCAACAAAAUUAAAAUCAAAGAGGGGGAAACCCUCACAACUCUCUCACAGUUAGACAUAAAAUCUUGCAUGGACCACUAAAACCUGCCAAGACCUUAGUAAAAUGGGUGCCGAAAUGCUCCUAAAAUAAGACUAUCCGGUGAAAACGAUCACAAUGUACUACACAAACGCAUGAAACACAUUACAAUCUCUUCAUCCGUGGCGGCACUAAACAUGAUGCUGCGAAUGCGCCCGUCCGACACAAAGGGGGACGCACGAUCUUCCUCCAUUGCCAUCAUCUUCGACCACUCCAAAACCUAGAAACAAGAAUGCGUCGCAAUCCAAUUAGGGUUUUCAACCUAAAACAAAGACCACAUGGAGGAACCCUAGAGAGACAAUGCAAAUGAUUCGACAAGGGGAAAGAGCGUGAAGGAUUAACCUAGAUUCCCCCUCUUCGGAGAUCGUCGAACACAACCGUAGAGCAGGAGAGAAAACCCGACUCUCUCUCCUCUGGCUCUCUCUCUCCGUGAGGGAGAGAGGAGCGGGGGUUCGAGAGACAAGCAGAGAGGGAGGCUAGCCGUCGUACGAAGGAGACGAGCGGAUGGAGCGAAGGAGAGAGAGAGUGUGUGUGCGUUGUGUGCGGUGGGAGGGAGGCAAGGAGGGAGUGUGUUGGAGAAGGGGGCGGAAAGGGAAGAGUUGAGUUUUAGGUGAGGAGUUUCCAAGUUGCGAAGGGGCGGGUACAAUCACCAGGCUGGUGAUGACAACAUUCCGAGAAUUUUUUUUAUAAAUAAUCCUAUAUAAUUGUAAAAAUAGUUUUUAAAAAAAAUAAUUAUAAAAAUAGAUUUCUAAAUGCGGUGAAUGAUUCACCGCAUUCAUAACUCCUAUUUAGGUGUGAAAUAAAUGAAAAAAAGAAAGAAAGCGGUGAAUGGUUCACCGCUUUGCUUUUAAAAGCGAUGAACCAUUCACCACUUUCGUAGGACCAUAUUUAUAAAUAAAAAUUUAACAGAAUUAUUUUUAGAAUAAAAUUUUAGAAGAAGACUAUUGCACUAAAAAUCCCACAUUUCGAGCUCACACUUGAAAUGAGCGUUUCAAGGGGGGUUUGGUCUGGUCUGGAUUAUUUUCAUAGAAUUACAAAUAAUUCUAAUAGAAUUACUGUAUUUAAUUUAUCUAAUUUAUAAUCAGAUCUGUAAUAUGGUAUUACAAAUGAUGUAAGUUUACACGAAAAAUACUACAGAGUGGGAGGUAGGUAUCUCGGAUUAUUGAAGGUGGAUAAUCGUGCAUAUUAUGUUAAAUUAAAAUUUACCCCUCCAACCUUCCAAACUCUUUUAAUACAUCAUUUUUAAAAUUUUUAAUUAAAAUUUUGAAUUGUCAAAUUUUUAAAUUUUAAAUUUUAAAUUUCAAAUUUAGAUUUUAAAUUUUAAAUUUUAAAUAAAUUUAUAUUUAUUAUUUAAAAAUUAAAAUUUUAAAACUAAAAUUUUUAAAUUUUUAAAUUUCAAAAUUUUAUUUUAAAUUAAAAUAUUAUAUUUUAUAUUUUUGGAUUUAAAAUUUUUAAUUUUUAAUUUUGAUUUAAAUUCAAAUUUUAAAUUAUUUUAAAAUAAAAUUUAAUAAAAAAUUAUUAUUUGCUUAUUAAUGGAAUUAAUUUAAGUGUAAAUUGUAUUAAGUUAUAGUUUAGUUAAUAAUGAUAUUGAAUAUGACCAAAGGCGAUUUAGGAAUAAUUUCCAUUUUAUUGUCAAAAUUACUGAAUUUUAUAAAAUACACCAAAUAUAGUAAUUCUAUAUACACUAUAAUUCAGUAUUAUAUUACUGCAUUAAACCAAAUGCAGUAAUGCAAGAUCAGUAGUAAUCUAAUUCAAAAAUCUCAAAUGCAUGGGUACAUCGAAACCACUUGUAAUACAAAAAUGCUCUAUUUCAGUUUUUUUUAAUUGAAAAAUGAUUAAUUGUACACUCCUAUUUGGGGUAUAUAUCUUACACUCCAAAUAGAGGUGAUUAAGAUUAAAUAGAAUUUUAUUUUCAAUGAAUGAAGCAGGUAGCGUGCUACCUUUUCUCAAAAAAAAAGAUUAAAUAGAAUUUUAAGUGCGUUUUAUUCUCAUCCUGCCUUUAUUUCGUUUCACACCUUUUCCUAUUGCUUUCUCCUAAGCUCUUUCUCUCAUGCACUCUAGGAAUCCUAGCAUCCAACCUUCUCAGAGCUUUCUUUUGCUCUCGUCUCUCUUCAUCAGUAGGAGCUCGUCUCUCGUCGCUUGUAAAACGCUCCGCUACUAUGACGCCCCAACUUCCCAGGAGUUACCCAUCCUAGGACUACUCCCGUCCUAGCACGCUUAACUCUCUUAACCUUUUGUGCCUAGCCACCACCCAAAAUGCUUAAGUCGGGUUUAAAGUAUUAGCCCUAUUAUAUCAUAUAUAUAUUGGAUUACUUGGAGUCUCUCAUUCUCCCUCUCUUUAAGUCCUGACGUUAUUGUCAAGCUUAAACUCACAAGUACUAGGCGAUGUGAAACUCGUCCUAGCCUAAAUCGACCUUGUGGUAAGUUGUGCUCCAUCCACAACAGUCAAUAGUAUAAGAGCCUCGCUCUCCGCUGUAUAAUCCUAACUCAGCCGAAACUCAUCUCACACUUCCGGCUAGUAAUUGGUUCUGAUACCAACUAUGACGCCCCAACUUCUUAGGGGGCCACUCAUCUUAGGACUAUUUCCGUUCUAGCAUGCUUAACUCUUUUAACAUCUUAGGCCUAGCCACUUGUCGAGGACUUAGAAAAAUUUCUAUGUAGCCCGGUCCCUGGCCCAAAUCUGCUUAGUGAGUUCGGGUUGGAAACGGGUUGAAUCGGGUUGUCAAGGAGACCCAAACCCAACCCGCUGUGGAAAACUCAAGGGUUAUGAAACUCAUGGGAGUUAUGGGUGACUCUUGAACUUUUGGCUAUUAUGAGGGCACAUUAUGUAUGCAAUAGUAUGUGAGUUAUGUGGCUAGUAGGUGAGUUAUGAGGGCUCAUUAGGCCUAUAAAUAGUGGGGUUGGCUAAGGCCAAGAUACACAAGAGAGAUUGUGUUGUAUGCUGUAAUCUCUUUUUCUAAAUAGUGUAGUACUUAGUUUUUUUUUAGAAAACAUCUGUCUCUUUCUCUUGUUAUUUUUCCUUUGCAUACUUAGUUGUAGGACGCGAAAGUCCGGGCUAGCAAUAGGGACAAAGGCUUGUCCAUCGUCGAGCAGGAAAGGUAGGCGCCGCACGGGCUUUGCGAAUGAAAACACUAAGUCCGUGACAUUUUAUAUCAGAGCCGGUUCGAGCGAGGAACCAUGUCGUCAUCUGAUGCGGGAAUCGUCGACGUUGGGGGCGAACCUCCAAAGCAACCCUCCAAGUGAAACAAGAGCAAAGACCCUGUAAGGAAGUGAAUUCUCGAAAUCUGAGAGUUAUACUUCAUUUAGAAUUUGCUACUUGUCGAGUGGGUAUGCUUCGAAAAGUGCGAAGACAUCAAAAAAUGCAUAAAGUGCAUUGAGGAGGACCCGCGAGAGCAAGCUGUGCAAAAUCUGCACAAGUUGCAGGUUUUGUGCUAUCGGGGACCGGUCCCCUCCUCCCUCUGGGAGGGGACCGGUUCUCGUAAGCAUGUGGGGGUUGAGUUGAUGCUCAACCUGCCCAAGUUGCUUUCGGGGACCGGUCCUCCUUAAGAGGGACCGGUCCCUGUACGCGUGUAAGGGUUGAGCUAAAGCUCAACCUGGCGGAAUUGCUCUCGGGGACCGAUCCUCCCUUAGAGGGAUCGGUCCCCGUAGCCCGAAAUGCCUAAGUAUGGGCUGUCACAAAGUUGGAAAGUUGAGGGGGUUUUCAGCAAUUGUGCAUUAUAAGUGUUGCUUGGGGGCUACUCCUUUCUCAUUUUCCCUUACACCUAACCCUAAUAGCUCUCUCUCUCUCUCUAAGUGCUCUUCCCCUCUCUCUAGAAGGUGAAGGAGGAGAGGGCUUUGGUGAAGACUAAGAUCAAGAGAAGGAUCAUCUUCUUCUUCUUCUUCCUCUUAGGCUUGGAGGCUUGGAAGGUUCAAACUCUUUAAUGGCAUAUCUCUUGGAUUCAUCUUUUAUACCCUAGAAUUGAUUUAGAUGGGACCUAAUGGUGUUAAUUAGAGGUUCGAUACUAGACUCUAGAGCUUGAACCAAGGGAUUUUGUUAUUGUUGAAACCCAGGGCUCCAAAAUGGGGUUUUGGUAAAUUUAGAGUUUUGAUCUAAGUUGGUCGGUUGUAAACCUAAUUGCUAGGUAUCUAAACGCGUUGGCGGUGACGGUUCGACUAUUCGUCGAGUUUGUGUGUAGGUAUCGCCAAGCGAAGAGCGUUUCAGCUUCGUUUACGCUCGAGAGGUCGAAGCGGCGACGGGUGAUCAUGAGAUUGGGUUUCCUACUGCGUAGAAUCGCCAACAGGUAGGCGCACUACAAAAAAUCAUGUAUUUCCCGGCAGAAUUUUAGAGGCGGUUGUAUCAACCGCCUCUACAAAAUUGGUACAUAUAAUUCAGAGAUACUAUUAGGGGCGGUUUUAAAAACCGCCCCUAAUAUGUUUUUUUUUUUUUUUCAUUUUCCCUCCACAGCCCCCCCUCCCCAAAAAAAAUCCUAAUCCUUUUAUCUCCUUCCCAAACCCAAAAAAAAACCCUAGCCCUCUUCGAUCUGGCAUGGCCACCCCACUCCUUUUCGCAUCAGCCGCACUCUCUUUCCCUCCGAUGAGGUUGGUCGGCGGUCCUUCGCAACUCUUUUUCUCUCUCACACACGACGAGGUCUCGAGGGUACUGGAGCCCUUCGCAGCACUCUUUCCCUCUUCGCACGGAAACCUCCCUCGCGGCGCUCUCCCUCGUCGCCCUCUUCGCCACUUCCGCGUUCUACUCCGUGGCCAAGGCUCUCACCUUCUCCAAAGAGAGCAUCGUCGAUUCCCUCAAUAAAGGCAUUGUUGCUCCUUCACCCUCUCUCUCUCUCUCUCUCUCUCUCUCUCUCUCGGUCUCGCGAUAGGAAUGUUGUUGAGUAAGAAAAAAAUAAUUGGAUUUUUUGUACGAUUUAGGGGAGUAUAAAUAAGCAAUUUUGAAACCUUUAAUGCAAAAUUGCCGAAUCUUUUCGAACUUGUUUUGGUUUUUAUAAAAAUAAGAGGAAUUUCUAGAGCAAAAAUAAGAUUUUAAGCCUCAAAAAUCAAAGCCUUGCUUUGGUGCUUUUAUUUUUGCUGUAGAAAUAAGUUACCGAGGGUAGUUUAAUGUGUACAUAUAUAUAUAUAUAUAUAUAUAUUGCUCUAGUGUUCAAUAUCCCUACUAAGUUUAUGCGAAUUGCUAGAGAACUCUUCUUAAAUUACAUUGAAACUCCUAAGAGGAUAACAGUGAGGGCCUCUACUCCAAAACCCCUUUCCCUCCAAAAUCCCUUUUUCUCUAAAAGUGAAGUGAUUAAUUGAAACCCCUUUUUCAGAUCUGUAGAUUUGUUGAAACCCGAGCAUCCAAGCUUUAAGGUAUUCUUCUCCAAUUCUUUCCCUUUACUUUUGUUCAAAUGGAUAUUAAAUAGUAUUUCAUUCUAUUUUUUUUUUCCGAUCUUUGUUUAUUUUUUUCUGGGCAUCAAAUUAUUUUUUUAUAAUUUCUCCUCUAAUGUGGGUUUUGGGAUCUCAGUACUAGCCAUGAAAAUUUAGUUUUUUGUAAUUCCUCCUCUAAUGUUGGUUUUUUGUCGGAUCUUAUAUCUUUUGGUGGGUGUUUAAGCAAAUCGAAGGUCGAACUAAGAGUCCCGAGUAAUCCCUAUGGGAAAAUAUUAGAUCCAUCUGAGAAGAAGAAACAAGGAUUAGAAACUUCAUCGGUGAGCAGAUAUAACUUUACCAAAUUAAGGAAAAUUGUGCCUCUUGCAUAUAUACUAUCUCGUACACCGCAUUCGCUAUAUUCUUCGUAGUAAGGAUAAUGUAAUGGCUAAAUGAAUAAAGCAUUGUUGUGUUCGUGAACGUAGACAAGGGUGAAUAAUAGGGGCAGCAGGACAACGAGUGACGGGAAGAAGAAACGAUCAGAAGAUAGUUCAGAAACACUUGCCAAGAAAAUUAAAAGCGAGAGCCUGACCGCAACAUCUCUCAAGGUAAUUGGUUUAACCUAUAUAGGAACAUAUCUAUAUACAUAUCUAUAUAUAGCUUCUAUUAACUUUUGUUUCUAACUUGCUUAAUUCACCAGUUAUUCGAAAAGUACUAGCUAGUUAGAUUUUUAUUUUCAAAUAGGUUGGAAAAUUUUAGUAACCCAAGUUUAAGUGCAUUUUUUAAUCAAAUUAUGUACAUGUGUUCAACUUUGAUGGAAUUCUCUCUCCCUCUCUCUCUUGAGGAAACAGUUGCAGGUGCCCAAAGUAAAGCUAACAGAUAAGAUCACUGCAUUACAGCAAAUUGUGUCACCUUUUGGAAAGGUAAGCACUACAUAUACUUAGUUGUAAUUAAGCAAAUAUUAUGUUUUCACUUUUGAAUUAAAAAGGAUAUAUAUAUAUAUAUAUAUAUAUAUAUAUAUAUAUAUAUAUAUCUUGCAAUGUUUUCAAGUUUAACUUCUCUAAUUUCUCUUAUGUUUAAACUAUCAUAUUAUAACAAACUGAUCACUUUUGAAUUAAAAAUGAUNUUCUAAUUAGUGACACCUCACUCAAAGCUUGUUCCAUCCAUGCAUGAAAGAUUAUUUUAUUUCAAGAACUGAUAGUGCAUAAUAUACUAAUAUUUCAAGGGAUAAUAACACACCAAUGAUUGGCAAAAGUAUAUGAGAAUAAUGAUCAUGGUCAUUAAUUACAUGAAAAAUAAUAUGUAUAGCUAGAAGUGGAAGCCCUUAAUAUAUAUAGAGUAGAGCUCCUGUGCUUUUAAAAGCACAGGAGCUCUUGUGCUUGGCAUUUUUUUACCAUCGGAUCGGCUUCGCUUCGAGAUUCGUGUGCAGUUAGUGGGUGGAACUAAACGGCAAGGCAAAGAAUGGCGUGAACCCCCCUCUCUCUACACGUGAACCCCCCUCUCUCUCUUCUCUCUGGCAACCCACUACCUCUUUCUCUCUCUCUCUCUCUCUCUCCCUGGCAACCCACCAGAUCCAUUCUUUUUCUUUUUUCUUUUUUUUUUCUUUUUCUCCUUCCAUCUCUCUUCCUCUUUUUCCUUCUCUACGGUGGUGGUCCGACGCUCCGACGACGCCACGAUAGUAAGUCGUGCGCACCUCCGCGCCAACGCCUUCCGGGCUGCGCGCUACAAUUUCGAUCCCGGACGCGCCCCUCCGCGUCGACGCCUUCCAAGCCACGCGCUACAGGAUCGAUCCCGGACGCGGCGGGCUACAAGAUCAAUCGGAAGGCCGCGCGCUAAAGGAUCGAUCCCGGACGCGGCGUGCUACAGGAUCGAUCCCUGACGCCAUUCUCGGGAAGAUCUCAAAGGUAAGCGUCUUGGAUCUGUUUCUUGUUGUUGUCGUUUUGAUGUUUUGAUCAUUUUCUUUGGUGGUGACGGAGUGGAAAAUACAUGGAUAAUGGCCCCAGUUGCUUGGAAUGUCAAUGGGUACGCUAAUCAGUGGUUAUUGUAGGAAAGGUGAUAUGGUGGAUGCUUUUAACAUGAGAGAUGAGAUGCUACAUAUGGGUUUCAAUCUGACAAUCUAUACAUACAACACUCUUAUAAUAGGGUCAUGUAGAAAAUGGGUUAUGGUGUAUUAUUUUAUUUUGUUAGUUAUGUUUGUGUUGUUUAUCUUGAAGUAGCACUAGGUUGGAAACUCCUACUAACACCAAAUUAGUGCUAUCAUAUUUAGAUGAUUUUAUCUUUGCUUAUCUAUAUUGAGUUAACUCUCUCUGCUAGGCCUAAUGCUUUUGCUUAUAAAUGACUAUAGGACUAUCAUCUGAGUGUUGGUAUUCUAUACUGUUGCUAUGAUUGUUGAAUUCAAAUUUGUUUCUCUUCUGAUUGUAUCCAUAAUGCCUUUGUUUUGGUGGUCGUUUGGAGAUUAAUUGUUACCUUUAUCGAGGUCUCUCAAUUUUCAAACCAGAAAUAGUUAAAGCUUAUUAUGACAGUUUAAGUGCUUCAUAAUUGAUAUUCCAAAGUCUUAUGAAUUUUAUUUACUACUCAUUUGUCAUAUUUCAUAUAGUAAGUUAUCGAUUUUUUUCUAUUAUUUGAGCUAUUUUUAUAAUGUUAAUUUUUAUAUUUAUAGGGGUUAAUUAAAUGAGGGAAUAUGGCUCUACAAUUGGUUCUUCUGUUUCUUUGUGCAAUAUUGAUGUUGAAAAUGAGGUGAAUGAGGAAUUGGAACAAAUUGCUACUGCUGAACAAAUAUGUAUGAGCACACAACCUAUUGAAGAGCAACGUGUUGGUUUGGAAUUCAACUCUAUAGAAGAUGCUAAAAAGUUCUACAAUGACCAUGCUUUUAAAAUAGGGUUUAGUAUAAGAAAAACAUACCAUUAUAAGGCAAAGAAAUAUGAUGAUGCCAUCACAUCUGUAACCUAUUGUUGCUCCAAAGCAGGUCUUUCUAAAUCCCAAACUCACGAGAAAAGUCAUUGCCAAAAUUCAGAAGGUAGCAAUACACCUAAAAAGCAAUUUUCUAAUCGACGAAGUGGUUGUAAAGCUCAUAUUGUAUUGAGGAUAGAUGAUCGAGGAAAAUGGGUGAUUACGGUGGUGGCGAACGAACAUAAUCAUGAAUUAAUCGUUAGUCCUUCUAAAAGUCGAUUUUUUCGAUCGCAUCGUGCUAUUACAAAGGAGCAAAAAGAAUUAAUUCAUAUGUUGAAUGAACAGAAUAUUUCCACUUCACAAAUUAUGGCCUUUAUGCAAGCAAGAGAGGGAGAAAGACAAAAUAUUCACUUCACUCGCAAAGAUUUAAGUAAUAAAGUUGCUGAGAAAAAUAGAAAUCUUAUUGGAAUAGAUGUAGCAAGUGCGCUUAAUUAUUUUCAUGAGUUUCAAUCUAAAGAUUCGUUAUUCUUCUAUGUUAUUGAUGUUGAUGACCAACAGAGGGCUCAGAACAUAUUUUGGGUAGAUGGAAGAUCAAGAUUGGCAUAUGAGCAUUUUGGCGAUGUUGUCACUUUCGAUACAACUUAUAUGAUGAAUAAAUAUAGUAUGCCAUUUGCUCCUUNUCAAUGCUUGAUAAAUAUGAAUUGCAUGAAAAUAAUCAUCUUCGGUUGCUAUGGAAUAUUCGACAUCAAUGGAUUCCUGCAUAUUUUCGAGAUACUUUCUUUGCCAAUAUGUCUACGUCACAACGUAGUGAAAGUAUAAAUGCCGUGGCAAAAAUAUGGUUAGAUGCGCAUACAUCAAUAUUCAAGUUUGUCAUGCAAUUUGAGAAAAUGACACAUAAUCAAUAUGAGAGAGAGGAUUUAGAGGAUUUUAUGACAAAGGAUGGAGAGCCCAGUUUAUGGUCAGAUGAUCCAAUUGAGAAAGAUGCACGCCGCAUAUACACAAGAAAUAUUUUUUCAGAAUUCAAGACUCAAUUGAGGGCGACGACGGGUUAUAAGUUGAUUGAGUUGGAAAAAGAUUCACUAUACAAGAUCAGCCCUAUAUCACACUCGUCCAGUUCAAGACAAUGGAUGUGCACAUAUAUAGUGACUGUUGUAAGGUCCAAAAAUAUAGUAUCCUGCACAUGUAAAUUGUUUGAAUUUUAUGGCCUCUUAUGUGCUCAUGCGCUUAAAGUAAUGCAUUACAUUGAGAUUUAUAACAUCCCACCUCAUUAUAUAUUAAAUAGGUGGACUAAGAAUGCAAAAAAGAGAAUACCAAGCAAUAGUGCAGAAAUGAGUGGUGGUUCCUCAUUUUGAAGAUCUCGAAGGUUUGAUUCCCUUACAUUAGAAAUGCAAAAAUUUAUCUUUGAAGGUUCAAAAAGUCUUAAGGCAUAUGAAACUGCAUGUCAGAUAAUUAGAGAAGAAAUUGAUACACUAACAUCAAUUAAUCAAAUGUUUGAAAGUGAGGAAGCGACAAUCAAGGAGCCUUCAAGUGGUCUUCACAGAAUCGUAAUUUCACAAUCAAGCCAAGUAAAUAUGCUUGUAUUAGAAUGCACGAUUAAAGAUCCUCCUCAAUCACAAUGGAAAGAGAAAACCACAAAGGUUUAAGCCUCCCAUUGUCACGCCCCGGGGUCCCUUUUUAGUUUAAAGCAUAGCGGAAAAGCGUCUGAAAUUUUUUUUUUUUUGAAAACCUGACCCCAGGGUAUGCCAGAUCCGCCACAAAUACAGAAGAUCCACUGUUCACACGGACAGAGUCUCCCCUGUAUUUGCACGGCGUCGCACAAGUACAAGAGUUCAAACAUGAUACAACCACAACCAGAUGAACAUACAAAUAACCACAGUUAUAUAUUCAUACACCAUUCACCACAGGUUCACAUUUUUACAUUCAAUAUUUAAAAUAUAAAUCCACAUCUAUCAGUUAAAAUGUUUCCAACCACAGAAACAAGUUUUGAAAUACUAAGAUGCAAAAUCCAUAGAAAACCUUUUGAAAACUGUUCCUACACAAGAAUUUAUUCUUUAAAAAAAAGCUAUCCUACGAGGGUAAAAACCUUUUUAUUUUAACAAAAUCAGGAAUGUCCGUUUAUACAUUCACGAAUAAAUGCCUAUUUUCAAAUGUGUAAUAAAAUACUGCCCCAUAUAACUAUCUAAACUAUAACAACUGAAAUGAUAUAAGGGUAAUAACUAAACGAAAUACCGUGGGUCGAAGCUCUAUCGACCGCUGUACAACACGUACCUCACGUCUCGUCCCACUACUCAUGCCUCGCGAAUACCCCUAAAAAAUGGUGGACGGAGGUGAAGAAAAUUAUAAACAUGGUUCUCCUCUACCAGUGGGUCAUGCAUAAGCCGAAGAAGGCGAGGAGCUACUUCCCGGAUCAGGAGGAGCUAUAACAACAACACGGGUGAAGUGGAAAUAUAGUAGCAACAUUUAAUAACGAUAGAGAUCUGUAAGGUAAUGAGUCAGAUAUAAUCGACAUACAGUAACAAAAACUGAAGAAGCAAGAACUAGACUGAAUAACGGCUACCGCUACUGUAGACUGGAACGAAAGCAAUACAUGAAUUCUACUGUAUAGUAGCAUAAGACAAUAUAAAGUAAAGAACUGUAAAUAUGCAUGCAACGACUGCUACGAAAGACAUAAUACGGUUCAACACGGUCCCAAGAAUCCAAAAGUACCAAAAUCUGAAACCAAUGCUCUCUUGGUCGCAACCGCAGACCUCAAAGCCACUGCGCGACUACUAUCUCCAGUCAUAUAACCCCUCUAGGGCUCACCAGGUUUCACGCAUCUCAACGCACUUUUCCAGAAUAAGAACACUCCUUGCGGUGGAUCAGACGCCAGUGUUCGUGAAUGCGGACGAGUAUCGGGGCGAUCAAAUACAAUAUGCUCAACGAUUGAUCACGUCGGCAACCAUCCGACAAUCCUCGCACGCCGAGGCCCAUCGACGCGCAUAGGUCGUCAACUUAUAAGAAGCACAAGAACCGACCAGUCAGGUCCAACUAGGAGGGACAAUCAUCGCACAUCCCUCUCAAAUAUGCAAAUACUGCUCAAUGAACCAUAAGGACUGACCAAUCAGAUCCAACUAGGUAGAUAUGAAACUCGACAAUCACGUCACAUCGUACAUGAUAUGAAACCUCGACCAAUUGCACGUCACAAGUACAGGAUAUGAAACUCGACCAUCAUGUCACAAGUAUAGUGAUAAAUGAAACUUCGAAAAUCAAAACCCGUCACACAGUCUAGGAUAUGAAACUCGACCCAAUCAUGUCACAAGUAUACGGAUUAUGAAGUAAAGUAUUAAUCAUCCGGACGGCAAGCUAACCGCAACCCCCCUCAGGGUAUACCGACGCUCACACGGUCAUGCAGACAAUCAAAGGUCGAUGAACUCACCGAAUAAGGUCACAAAUACUGAAAUACUAAAUCGACCGACUAGAUCGCUAACUUCUCAAGAUAAUACAGAAUCGCUCUACUAUAAAUAUGAAACAGGGUAUGCAGAAUAGCUAAGUAGAGCAACAAGGAAACAUGGUAUCACAUACAGAUAGACUAUACUCCUACACAUGAUACUAAGCAUGGAAACAUUUGAGUAGAGUAUAAUCAAACAACGUGGGUGUAAUGUAAACAAUAGAGGUGCAAAGCUCAACAUAUAAUAUAAGCAUGGAUAAUACAAAAGAGCAAGGGUAAGAAACCAUCACCAAGCGUGCACCACUGUACCAACGUCGGAUCGAAGUACCCACCUGUACAACUGUCGCGCCUGUCUUCUGACUACAAAAGAACGUCAACCGGACCUAAGGAGGGUCCACUGGGUUAGUGUCUAACCCACAACUAAGAAACCCUAAAAGUAUAACCCCACAAACAAACCCACGGAGAUCGGUUUUCCAAUACCGAUUACCGUAACUCGCCGGAAGUCCCGAAAAUCGCACCGGGACUCCGCCGGGACCCACUAACUAUCCCGGAAGUCACCGACUCGUACCACGAGUCACCCGCUGCCCCUAAAUAUAAUUUACGUGUGACUUGGCAGUAGAGACCUUAACUCACUCCAAAACGAUUAUCGUCGGAUAAUCGUUCCGAUCCGAGUUCCUGGAAGUGUCUAUUUCGACACCGGAACCCACCGUCGCUCACCCGUCAUUUCUGAACUCUUGAAAUGACGCGAGUGACCAGCCAACAAGGCUCAGCGACUACACAAAAGCUCACAAAGCACCGUCGGAAUAAUUCCAAACCAAAAUCGCGUUCCGUCGGCGGAUUUUGCCGACAAACGCACCGAAAAUACAUUUUCGAUCCUCGCAAAGGUCCGGGGCCUUGGACAAUCAGUCCAGAGGUUACCCACAAUUCAUCCAUGCUGCCAACAGCAGCCGCAACAACCUAAAAUACAUAAAAGCUCUCCCGAUUACCCGAAAUCGCAUUAUUUCAUGCGAUUUCGGCGCUUUUAUGGUCUGUCCAUGCGAACCAAGAGUCAUUCAGCCAAACCGAGACACCUACUAACAGGUCUCGGCGUGCCGGAGGCCGUGCUCAACUUUCGGAGCAAUUCCGGCCACUGUGGGGAGCGCACGAGCGACGCGAAAUUCAGUAAACUGCGCGCAUAGUAUGAAAAUCAUGCUUAUCUCGAUAACCAGGGGCUCGCUGACCCUAAUUGAGGUGAUCACUGUGAUUAGCACUGACUGACGAUCACCGUGCUCACUUUCGGAGGCAUCGGAACAGCCUCGGGUCGCCGGAACAGUAUACACAACUCCAAACAGUGCACAAUAAUUGCAAUACAAGCUUACCAGAGCUAGGCAGGGUUCGGGGUGGCCGGCCGCCGCCGGCCGGCGGGAAGGCUGGCCAGGGGAAGGUGCUCCAGGUCAGAGGAGGCCGGGGCUCGCGUCAUCAGGCGACGGGAGGCGGCGACGACGGCGGGCAUUGAUGCCCUAGCCACCUAACCCGAGGAGAGGACGGCCCAGAUCCGGCCAACAGGGAACUCCGGCGACAGGGAGGCCGGCGGCGGACGAGUGCUGCCGGCCAGGCGGAGCCUAUGCUCACGCCGGCCGGCGGCGGAGGGCGGCGGCGGCGGUGCUGGGUGCGGCUCGGCCUGCACAAACCUUGCGCGGCCGCAGGGAGAGGGAGCGGCGGCGGCGGCCACUGAGGCGACCGGAGGAGGGUCGGGGCGACGGCGUCACGUCGCCGGAGGCCGAGGAAGGGUGGCGCACCAUGCUGCGGGCGGUGGCGACGCGCAGUGGUCGAGAUGACCAGAUCUCGGCCCGCACAAGCCCUGGGCGGCCGCAGAGAGUCGUAGCAGCGGCCGGCGGCGUGCGGAGACGACAGGGCGGCGACCGGGAUGUACCAGGAGGGCGGCGCGGCCAACGAGGAGCAGCGGCGGCGCGCGGAGGCGGGAAUCACCCGGGCUCGGCCUGGGUGAUUGCGGGUUGGCCGCAGGGAGCAAGGUGGCUCCGACGGCGCACGGGGAUGGCCGGGGCCGGCGAAAGAGACGGGGGAGAUAUGUCUCGGCCGGGGGACACUGGUGCUCGAGCUAGGGUGGCUUCUUGGGUCCGCAACCCCAAUGCGGUGAAGAGUUUGGCCGAGAGGGAGAGAGAGAGAGGUGAUGCAGGGAAUUCCGGCGGCCGGGGGUGCUCGCCGGCGGCCGGAGCAUGCGCACGGGGAGGGCAGGAUUGCAGGUGGGGCGGCUAGGGUUAGAUGAGAAGAUAUGGGCAGCAAAAGGAUCUUAGAAACCCUAGUUGCCACCUAUAUAUACUAGAUGCCAAUUGCAAGAAACCCCCUCAAAGCCACAUAUUUUCAGUUAGGUCCCCCACCAGCACGUAUAUUAUGUGCAUAAGUUCCUCUACGUUCAAGUUUGUGCAAAACGGUGCAUAAAAUAUUGGGACUAUUGCGAAAUUCCCGAUUUGCCAUAAUCUACCCCUUUCCGGAUAUCAUGCGAUAUCCGGCAAUCCGUUCAUCGGAUUUCCGAACGGAUUGCACCAUCGCGUUCAGCACGGCGAAGGCAUCGAAACCACCAUUUCGUUUCAUCCGAUUUGCUUGCCGAUUUGCGACAAAAUCCGACCUCUCUCCAACUAAUCCAUAUAUCACACAUAGGCCUUGGUGGAAACCCGAAAUCCAUUAAUUCAAACUCGUAUUUGAAUUCCCUACCACCAGUAGGUACUUGAAACAUCUCUCACCCAUCUCUAGAUCACUUAUACAAAGCACGAGGAGUUUUAAAAUGCACGAAUAGCAAAGAGCGGAAACCCUCUUUUCUUAAAACUCCUUUUUCUCUAAAACCGUGCAUCGGAUCUGAAAUCCGUCAGUGCCAUUGGUUCCAAAAUAGCUGAACCGUUCAAAACGAUCUAUUGGAUCGCUAUGAACGGAGUCCGAUACGCACCGAAAGCCAACUCUACUCCGUGGCUUCUCCGGAAAAUCGGAGUUACUAUUCACUUAAGUGAAAACUAAUAAUCGCGUAACUUCUCCGUUUAAGCUUCAUUUUCUCCUGAAACUUGACGAGUGCUUAUGUAAUUAAAUUACACACAUAAACAUCAUCAACAGAGAGUUUAGUAGCACUGUAAAAAAAUCUCAGUCCUUACACCCAUUGAAAAAAAGGUUACGGUGCCAAGAACUUGCAAGCAAUGUGGUAAAAAAGGACACAAUAUUAGGACUUAUAAGGAGGUAUAAUAAAUUUCUUUUCCUUUAUUUUCUUCAAAUAUUUUUACAUUCCUUAUUAUUCACAAUAUGCUAAUAUUAAUAUUAUUUGCAGAUUGUUGAUGAAGUACCAUCUAACGAUCUAAGUUUUAGCGAGAGACUUGAAGAAACCGAUGACGAAGAGACUUGAAAGUAAGAACAAAUCAGUGUUGCAUUAAUUAUACUAUAGUUAUAUUAGAGCAUUGUUGUAUUAGUUGAAUUGUGAUAGUUUGGACUGUGGUUGUAUUGUAUCUUACUUUUUUUUUGUGGUAGAGUAUUGUUGUAUUAGUUGAAUUGUAAUAGUUUGGACUAUAGUUGUGCUGCUUGUGUUUACGAACAAACAACCUUGUUUUAUCAUUCUACAGGCUUAGAUGUUACCCAAAAGGAUUCUUCUUGCUUGUCAUGUUUCUUUUGCUAAUGAAAUCCAUUAUCCUUGGAGAUGGUAUUAUUUGUGUUGUACUAGAUGAUGGUAUUAUUUGUGUUGUACUGAAAUUUAUUUGAAGACCAUAUUUAGUUGCCUUAAAUGUUAAUGCUGGUGUCUUGUUGUUGACUAUGAUGACAUUGUGGAGAACAGUUGCAUGAUGAUAAGUAUGCAAUGUCAAACCCUCUUACCUCAAUCUAUCACAACGGAUGUUCCUUAAUUAUUUUAUAGAUGACACAUUAUAAACAUAGAUUAACACAGUGGAUUCAUACAUCUCAAAUUAACACAGUGGAUUCAUACAUAAACAUCAAGGUUGGUUCAGAAAUAAAAGUGAGGAACUCUAUCCUACAUACACCUCAAAUGAACACAGUGGAUUCAUAUUACAUUUAGGCGAAUAGAAGUUUAAUACAUAUAAUUGCUAAAAUGAAUACAAUAAAAAUUUUUCUUUCGGCUUCAAUUCUUUCCACCAUUGCUGUUGUCCUUGUAGAAGCUUCUUCAACUCUAUUUUUCAGAUUCUCCAUUUGCUCAACCAAACUAGAUAACUUAUAGUUUAUGCAUUGAAGCAUCUCUUCAUUUGAAGCUUUUGGAGAAGAUGCUGCUAGUUCACGGUCUACACUUUCCUUCAAAUUUAAAAGAGUGGAGCUUUCUUGUUCUAAAAGCUCUUUGGAUUUCACUUUAUCGCACCACAUGAAAAAAUCACAAUAGUUAUCGUUAUUCUUUUCAUAAUUUCGACAUCCAUAAAAUUGUCUUCCUUUACUUCUAGCUUGCUGUGAAGUUCUUAUUAUAGCUAUCUUAUUACAUUUGCACCAAACUGUUCUAUCUUCAAUAAAAGUUGUAGUAGAUGCCAUCAAUCACUCUGCGCAAAAUAUUAAAAUUAACAUGUAAAUAAAUGAUAAUGCUGCAGUGAAGUUCAAACACAGGAGACGGUGAAGUUCAAACACAAGAGACGCUAAACGAUAACUAUCACACUAGACCAUUAGAUAGCAACAAGCUCUAAUGACUAAAGUGACCUUAUAAAGUCCAUUAAAGUAAUCAUUCUAUGCAAUUACUUUUCAAUUAUAUAUUCACAAAUGCCUUGUUAUCAGACAAUAGCACUACAUCAUUAAAGCACAACCAAAUAAGUAAUGUUCAAUUCAUAGCUAUAAAUAAGUGUUUCAAGUUAUAUCCUGCAUUGUCUUUGUGUAAAGUUCCAAGCAUAUCAAGGACAGUUCCAUUAGCUAGAACAACUUCUAGUCCUGGAAAGCAAAAUGAUAUGUACCAAGAAGCAAAUACACAUUAUAUAUUAUCUAAAGGAGAUGAUCAGAUGAUAAUAAAUUUUACCACAAUGGAGGUUUUAUCACCUCCAUUAAGUUAGGCUCAAAAGAUAAUAAUUUAUGAAAACAAGUUAACAAUCCAUUAACAGAUAGGUAGAGCAAAAUAGUGAGAAAAGGAUUAAGGACCAAAACAAAAAGCUCUUAAUGCACUAACAUUUUAGUUAGAUUCACAUUUAUUAGAUGAACACUUUCUGCUGCAUAAAAGAGAAGCAAGAGAUGAUGAUACCUUUAAUUUUCAUUUGGCUUUUACAGUUUUUAUAUUUGGAACAUAACAAAAUGACAAAGUAAUGGCUGAAUAAAUGCAUAUAAUGCCAUCAUAAACAUCAAAACAUCAAAACGAUCAAAACAUCAAAACGACAACAGGAGCUCAAUCCAUGUAUUAUCUUACAGUUUUUACAUUUGGGGCCAUUAUCCAUGUAUUUUCCACCCCGUCACCACCAAAGAAAAUGAUCAAAACAUCAAAACGACAACAACAAGAAACAGAUCCGAGACGCUUACCUUUGAGAUCUUCCCGAGAACGGCGUCAGGGAUCGAUCCUGUAGCGCGCGGCCUUCCGAUCGAUCUUGUAGCCCGCCGCGUCCGGGAUCGAUCCUGUAGCGCGCGGCUUGGAAGGCGUCGACGCGGAGGGGCGCGUCCGGGAUCGAAACUGUAGCGCGCGGCCAGGAAGGCGUCUGUGCGGAGGUGCGCACGACUUACUAUCGUGGUGGCGUCGUCGGAGCGUCGGACCACCACCGUAGAGAAGAAAAAAGAGGAAGAGAGAUGGAGGGAGAAAAAGAAAAAAAAAAAAGAAAAAGAAUGGAUCUGGUGGGUUGCCAGAGAGAGAGAGAGAGAGAGAGAGAGAGAGGUAGUGGGUUGCCAGAGAGAAGAGAGAGAGGGGGGGUUCACGUGUAAAGAGAGGGGGGUUCACGUCGUUCUUUGCCUUGCCGUUUAGUUCCACCCACUAACUACGCACGAAUCUCGAAACGAAGCCAAUCCGAUGGUAAAAAAAUGCCAAGCACAAGAGCUCCUGUGCUUUUAAAAGCACAGGAGCUCUACUCUAUAUAUAUUAAGGGCUUCCACUUCUAGCUAUACAUAUUAUUUUUCAUGUAAUUAAUGACCAUGAUCAUUAUUCUCAUAUACUUUUGCCAAUCAUUGGUGUGUUAUUAUCCCUUGAAAUAUUAGUAUAUUAUGCACUAUCAGUUCUUGAAAUAAAAUAAUCUUUCAUGCAUGGAUGGAACAAGCUUUGAGUGAGGUGUCACUAAUUAGAAGGGAAAGUUGUGUUGCGGGAGUAUAUAAUAAUUUUAAUCUGUUACUAGCUAGUAAAUAAAUACAUAGAUCCAAAUGUUUGUAUGCUGUACUCUUGUUACAAGGGAAACUCAUGCAAUGCCCACUAUUUUCAUAUAAAUUUAAAAUCACAAUAACAAAUUAGGACAUAGAAAUAGAAAUAAUAAUGGAUAACUUAUGUAAGUCAUGAAACUUAAAGUGUUAUUCUAGUUUAAGUAAUUUCUUUAAGUUAUGUGACAUCAAAUUAAUCACAAACUGUGAACUUUGUAUGCUCCUUGCUGGUUAAGUUAAUUCCUUUUUAACUUCGAUCUUAGUAGCUUCAGUAAGUGUUGUUCGAAAAUCAUUUCUUGACUUUUUUGCUAACUAAUUAAAAGCUCUAUAUUUUUUUAAAAAAAUUUUGCCUGAUGCUUAAUUUCUACUUGUGGAAUAGAACAAAUUAUUUUUUUGGAAUUAAUUCUACUUUCAAGAGUUGAAAAAAAAAAACUUGUUAUACUAAAUUAUCGACUACGUAACUUCUACUUACAAGACCGAAUCCAAAACUAGGCAAAGUAGAGUUAAGUUCUUAACUUAUAAGUCACAUUAAACAACACAACUUUUUUGACUUCAUAUCUACUUUCAAUAUCAUAUUUCAAAGAUUGAUUUUAUUAUUAAACAUAAUUUGAUAUUUACAGUUAAUGAAACUCAAUUGUUCUUAGUUAUCACUAUUCAGUUACUGUUUUUGACCAGAUUUAAUGAUUUUGAUCUGUUUUUGAUAAAUAUGACUAUGCCAAUAUCAAUAUCCUACUUAAAAUAACACUCCAUAUGCUAUUAUGAAAUUUUUUGGGUACUUAAAAGCAUUGCUCACUCUUUUCUUAACCUUAGUAAGAAGUUUACACGUGUGAUUCUUUUUUUGGAUGUUAGUAGUUGACAAAUAAUUUGAUAUAUUUUCUUCUAAGAGGAUACUUGAAAUAUAUAACUCAAUUAAUCACUCAUGUUCCAACUUAUUAAAAUAUAUGUUUGACCCUCUAGCUAGGUUCUAUUUAUUAACUUUCUUUAGUAAAGCAAUUGUCAUAAUUCUUUCAUCAGCCUUGUUGGAAAAAUGCAUGAUGUUGACCUCAAUACAAAGUUGAUUAACUCAACUUCUUGCCUUAUGGAUGAAACAUAUAGGUAUUUGUCUUUUUUUUUUCAGUUGUUUAAUCACAUAAAUAGACAAGAGUUGGAAGACGAAACCUCGAAGCAGUACUGAAUAUAAAGGAGGAGUCAACAAAUUUCUUAAUUUUGCAUUUCAAAUGCAUCACAUGGUGGCAAAAUUAUGUGUCCUUGUAUUCGUUGCGUUAAUUGCUCUUUCUAAACAUAUGAUGUUGCUAAAGUACACUUGAUAUGCGAUGGAUUUUUAAGAGGAUAUACUCGUUGGAUUUGUCACGGAGAAGAUCCUAUAACAUCAUUAUCCUCUACAAACCCUACUGCAUCUUCCACCUCUAAUCAGACCUCUUAUUCACAAGCAAACACAAGUAGAUUAGAUGACAUUGAUGGUCUUUUGCAUGCAGCUAUAGGUAUAUUUAGUGAGGGAGCUAAUGAGAUAAAUUUAGUUGCAAAUGAAACGAAUGGAGAACAAUCUAGUGGAUUUGUUACUAUAGAGCAAGCUAGUGAAGAGGUUGAUGCACAGCAACAUACAAAAAGGAAUGAUGCAGAACAUCAUAGAGGAAGCUCUUCUAGGGAAACAAGCGAGUUUUUAAAGUUUUUAAAAGAUGCAAAUGAAGAGCUUUAUCCUGGUUGCAAGAAAUUUUUAAAAUUAUUAUUCAUAAUUCAUUUAUUCCACUUAAAAUGUUUAAAUGGAUGGACAGGAGAAUCAUUUAGCAUGUUGCUUGAGCUAUUGAUUGAUGCAUUUCCAGAAGGAACUUCAUUGCCGCGGUCCACAUAUGAGGCAAAAAAGGUCAUCAAGGCUUUAGGACUUAGCUAUGAAAAGAUUCAUUGUUGUCCAAAUGAUUGUAUGCUAUUUUUGGGUGAGAAAGCAAAUGACGAAGUGUGUUAUGUAUGUGGUUCAUCUCGAUAGGUUAUCAAAAAACAAGUAGAUAAAGAAAAAAAAACUCAGGAUAAAAAAACAAACAAUGUUCCUAUUAAAAAAAAAAGCCAGCAAAAGUGCUUCGAUACUUUCCAUUGAUACCACGACUUCAAAGGCUUUUCGUAUCCACAAAAAACAACAAAGGAUAUGAGAUGGCAUGAGGAGGGUCGUGUAAAAGAUGGAUUGUUAAGGCACCCUGCAGAUGGUAAGGCAUGGAGGGUAUUUGACGAACGUUAUCCAGAUUUCUUCUCUUAUUCUCGCAAUGUGAGGCUUGGUCUCGCUAGCGAUGGUUUCAAUCCAUUUAGAACAAUGAAUACUACUUAUAUACUUGGCCUAUUGUUGUUAUUCCAUAUAACUUACCACCUUGGAUUUGUAUGAAGCAGUCUAAUUUUAUCUUAUCGAUGAUUAUUCCAGGUGAAAAAAAUCCAGGAAACGAUAUUGACAUUUUCUUACAACCCCUAAUAGAUGAGCUAAAACAAUUGUGGGGGGAGUAGAUACAUAUGAUGCUUCCACUAGACAAACAUUUCAUUUGCGGGCUAUGUUAAUGUGGACUAUAAAUAAUUUUUCUGCUUAUGAAAAUUUAUCUGGAUGGAGCACUAAAGGAAAGUAUGCAUGUCCGUGUUGUGCUGAAAAUACGCAUUCUAAGUAGUUGUACAACUGUCACGCCCCCGCCCCGAGCCCGUUACCAAUUUGGCACGAUUCGGGCGCGGCGAGCGGACCGCCGAACGGACAGCACCUCCUCUGUCCGCCCAAGGCUCGAACUACUAGAUUGUGUACAACAAGUUCCCAGGAAACAACUUGGAUACAUACACAAUCAACCAACCAUAACAAUUACGAGAGCACAAACAGUGCUUGUCAACAAGAGCAAGCAACACAUGUAAAGCAUACAAGUGAUAAAAGAGAGAUGUACUUAACUAUUAACUCAUUAACUUAUACAAUUAUUCAUUCUUUACAUUUAUACAAAAUGUAGGAAAAGCCACUCAAAACCUCACCCUAUACAUCGUCUACUCUCAAAAUAGGUACAGGGUGUAACUAAUGCAUACAAGAAGUAGCCUCUACCAAUGUCGCUAGGGCGCUACGCCCUUGCCGCGAUCCUCACCGGGGACGCUCGAGCUCGGACCUGCAAUGUGGUGGAGUGAGAACUACGAAUAGUUCCCAGUGGGUUCGGCCGCCGACUCCGCCGAUCUCCCCACUAGGUCUUAAGCAGGCACAGAUAGAUAUGCAGAUAGAUAGAUAUAUAAAACUGAAAGCAGUAACAGUAAUGAACGGCUAUGAUCUAUCAAUGCCUCAAUCCAGAAUGAUGCAUGCAUGGAACUCAUGGUAAGAAGGCUGGCUGCUACACUAUUAUGCUCAACAACAAUGUCACUCAUCCGAUUACCCAAUCUCUCGGCGAACGCAAGGUUCGCUCACAGUCUCACGUCUCUAAGUCUCAUAGGAGAGGUGGCUAGCUAUUCACCUACCCCGAGACCGCCUGUGGACACUACACUGGUCCAAGGGCACUACACUGGCCCCCUCGCGUGCCAAACUCCGGAGUGUACUACCUGUGAGGAGCUACCUCCACAGGUGCAGACAGGCUAAGUGAGCUCGAUCCAAUCUCAUGAACUGGGAACACCCUACCCAACCAGGGGUGAUAGCAACAUAGUAUCUCAACUAUACUAGUGUUCUCAUGCCACUCUCGCACUACUUAAUGCCACUCGUUCAAUGUUUAAGGUUAACUAGAUGCCACUCGUUCUCUUGACAAGUUCUCGAUACACUAGUUUCCAACACACUAGGUUCAUAAUCACAUAAACAUGUUCGUCAUAUAUAGGGCGAACUAUCUCAUAGUAUUCAACUCAUGCAUACUAGGUUUUCAUUCAUGGUAUCCACAACCUAAAACAUCACUAGCAUGCAGGGAUAUGCACAAUCACAUUUAACACCCUAUAAUGCUAUAUCGCAAUAUGUAAAUGAUCGAGGUUAGUACUCAGACAUAAAGAGCAGCCCGACUGCUUCGGGAUGGCACUCCCCCACCUCGUGGUGAUGCCGUGACUCUGCGAUUGCGAUUCGCCGACGUCUCGACGCCUCGUUGGCCUUCUAGGCGAGAACGAAGCUCCGAAGGUCUUCUUGGCGAUAACGUCGCACCUACUCGACGGAUCGACGAACCGUCUCCGCCUACACGCUCAGGGACCUAGCAAUUAGGUUUGCGACCAUUCAAAUUAGAUCAAAACCCUAGAUUUGCCAAAAUCCCUAAUCGAAGCCCUAGAUCUCGAUAUUGGGGAAAUCCGCGGUGCGAGCUUCGAUUUCGAGCUCGAACCUUCUCCCUAGCUUCAAUAGGUUCCAUUUGAACCAAUUUCAAGCUAUAAAACACUAGUUUCCAAAAUCCACCAUUAUAGGGUUUGAGGUUUACCUCAAUACCAAGCUCCAAGCUUGAAGAGGGAGAGAAGAAGAUGAUCUUCUUCUUCUUCUUAGUCUCCUCCUCUUUCUCCUUCUUUUCCUUCCUCUCCUUCUUCUUCUUCUCCUUCUCCUUCUUUUCCUUUCUAGAGAGAGAGAGGGAAGGAGUGUGAGAGAGGAAGAGAGCAACUGAGAGGGAGAGGGGUCCCCUAGCCUCUCUUAUAAGCCACUUUGCUAAUAAACCCCUCAACUUUCCACUUAUUACACAGCCUCUCACUGGGCAUUUUCGCAGUGAGGGACCGGUCCCAGGUCGGGGAGACCGAUCCCCGAAAGCUGCACCUUCGGGCAGAGGGGAUUUCGCGUUCGGGAACCGGCCCUUGCCUGAGAGACCGGUCCCCGGGAGACCGGUCCUUGUCCGAGAGACCGGUUCCCGAGAGCAACACUUUCGGGACUGAGCCAAACUUCGGCUUCUCUCGCUGGGCCAACGUUCGGGAACCGGUCCCUGCCUGCCAGGGACCGGUCUCAUCAGAGACCCCCGCAGCCCAGCCCGAUGGGACCGGUCCCUCCCUGCCAGGGACCGGUCGCCGAGAGCAUUUUUGCUCCAGUGCAGCUUUUGCACUGGUGCUCUCGCGGACACCUCCUCAAUGCACUUUAUGCAUUGUGAUCACCUUCGGACUUUCCGAAGCUUGCACACUCGACAAUCAGUCGAUUCCAGACGAAGUCUAAUCCUCAGAUUUCGAGAAUUCACUUCCCUUACAACAAUGGUAGAAAAUAUUGUUAUAUGGGUCAUCGUCGAUGGUUACCCGAGGGUCAUACUUUUAGGUAUCAAAAACAUUACUUUGAUGAUAGUGAGGAGCUAAGAAUGGCACCCGAAAUAGUAAGUGGAAGCAAUGUACUGGGACAAUUAGAAUCUAUGAAAUUCACUUUAGGAAAGCUUCCAAAUGAAGAAGGCAAUCGAAAGAAAAAUAAAAAAGGCAAAAGAAAACGAAAAAGACAAGUACUGGAUGAGAUUGGAGAGUCACAUGAGCAAGAUUUAGGCACAAUGAGUGAAGCACGUUGUGAUGCUAUGAAGUGGUGGAAGAAAAAAAGUAUAUUUUUCACUUUACCUUAUUGGGAGCAUAACUUGAUACGUCACAAUCUGGAUGUGAUGCAUAUAGAGAAAAAUGUGUUUGAUAAUUUUAUUGGAACUUUCUUGAAUCUUGAUAAGAAAUCAAAAGAUAAUCUUCAGGCCCGUCUAGACUUGAUAGAUUUGGGUAUUAGACCUGAGCUCCACCCUCAAAUUCUUGCUAAUGGUAAGAGAAGACUACCUCCAGCUUGCUUUACGAUGUCAAUGGAUGAGAAAAGAACUCUUUGUCAAGUUCUCAAAGAUUUGAAAAUGCCCGACAGUUAUGCUUCAAAUAUUUCUAGAUGUGUAAAUCUCAAAGAAUGCAAAAUUACCGGACUUAAAAGUCAUGAUUGUCAUAUUUUAGUUGAAGAUAUUCUUCCACUUGCAUUACGGGCAUGUAGUCCUUCCAAUCAAGUUACUUUUGUAGUAACUGAGGUGGCGAACUUUUUUAAGGCAGUAUGCUUUAAAGUGUUAGAUGUUGAUGAAUUGGACAAAAUUCAAAAUCUCAUCGUAUUGAUACUUUGUCAUAUGGAGAGAAUUUUUCUUCCCUCAUUCUUCACUAUCAUGGUACAUUUAUGUGUUCAUUUGGUAGCUGAAAUAAAACUUGGAGGCCCCAUACAAUAUAGGUGGAUGUAUCCUCAAGAGAGGUAUAUUCUACUCAAUUUUCCAUUAUCUUAUUUCAAUCUCUCUUUUUUCGUCCACGAUGUCAACUUUACUAUUCCUAUCUAUUGUAGAUUCUUUGUUCGCUUAAAAUCAUAUGUUCGCAAUAGAGCUCAUCCUGAAGGAUCGAUUGCUGAGGGGUAUAUAGCCGAAGAGUGUUUAACGUUUUCUUCAAGAUAUUUAGAUGAAGUUGAAACAAGGUUCAAUAGACUUGUGAGAAAUCCUGACCCACUUACAAAUGAAGCACAACGAUUGUACUUGUUCUCAAGCGCGGGUCGGGUUAUAGGAAAGGUUGAAGAUAUUGUCUUGGAUGAUAAAUUAUGGGUCCAAGCACAUUGUUAUGUAUUACGUCAUUGCGAUGAAAUACAGAGUUUUCGUCAGUGAGUAUUUAUCAUUAUAUAUUUAUCACUAUUUUUAAUUACUAAUUCAUAUAUAUAAUAGUAGUAUAUAAAUAAUAAUUACCUAAUUUUUUUUUCUUAUACAUGUAGACAAUUCAUUGAUAUGGAAAAAAGAAAACGUCGCCGACAUACUCACUUAACAGCACAAGAAAUAGAAAAGUUAGUGAAUGAAAAAUUUCAUGAAUGGUUUGAAAAGCAGGUAAUUUUGAAUUGUAUAGCUAUAUGAUAUAUUAUACUUACUAUUUCUAACCUACUUGUGUUGUUAAUGAUAUAGGUUACGAGAACGGAUGAUUCAGCUAUUUCCGAAAAAGUUGCUACGCUUGGUAGGGGUCCUAAUAAAGUAGCUAAGCGAUUUUCAGGAUUUAUCAUCAAUGGAUUUCGAUAUCAUACGAUAUCUCGUGAGGAGAAUAUGUUGACACAAAUAGUGGUGUGGUUAACACAUCAGAGAUAGAUGGUGUGAAUUACUAUGGCUUUGCGAUAUUAUUGAAUUAAAUUACUAUGGUAGUUUUAAGGUUGUCUUAUUUAAAUGCGAUUAGGUAGAUGUCCAUCACAGUUCAGGAAUCAAGCAAGAUGAAUUUGGGUUCACCUCUGUAAACUUUUCUCGUUUAAUACACACAGGUGAAAAGUUGGAACAUGAUCCAUAUGUAUUUUCAUCUCAAGUUGAGCAAGUAUUUUAUGUACAAGAUCCACAUCACCAGAAUUGGUUUUUGGUUGUAAAGUUUAAACCAAGGGAUUUCUUUGACAUAGGUAAAGAGUUGGGGAUAAAUGAGGCUAGUUCUUUACUACCUCCAAAUGCUCAAAAUAUAAAUGAAGACGAACAUCCGAAAUAGAUUCGGAUUGAUGCAAGUGAAGAUGAUACAAUUGGUAUUUAGAUCGUUUCAUGUAAUAUGAUGUUUCAUGUAAUCUGAACUGAUUUGACUUUUGUAAUAUGCUAUAUUUGUUUUUUGGAUUUUGUUUAUUAUUUUUAAUGUAUAUUUUUAUAUUAUAUUGAAAGUAAUAUUUUGAGUUUGUUUUAUAUUUUUGUUAAACUUAUCAAUUGGAACACGGUAUGCAUACGUAAGCUGAACUUUCAUUUCUAAUUAUUUUUGUUAGUUUUCUUAUCCUUGUAUAGCAUAGACAAUGACUAGAAGAUCUAGAAGGUUACGCAAUUGCAAAAUAGUGAGCAUUAACUCUUAAAAUGAGACCACGCAAGAGCAAUCACUUGAACAAGAGCAACGAUCAUCACAAGGACAGCAAUCAGCUUCUUCUUCACAACCUCAUAUCGGUAAUGAGGAUCAAAGCAACAACGAGCAACAAAGUGAUGCACAAGAAGGGCGAGGCGUUUGGAUUGUCGGUAAUUUUUUUAACAAUAGCAAUUUAGUUUAUGCUCUUCUUUCUUUCUUUUCUUUUAAAAAAUAUUAUUUGCUUUUUAGGUGACAAUGGACAGCAUCGUAGAAAGCGAGGACGAACUACAAUGGCAGAUAUAUGGAAUUUGGCUGAAGAGGAAAGGAUAAAAGUUGAAGUAAACAAGUAUGGAUGUCCAUGUACUGAAGAAGGAGCUGUGCUUAGCUCAUUUUUGGGAGUUAUUGCAAAGAAUGGACGAUAUGCACCUCUAGAUAUUUCUAGAUGGGAUAAUAAAGCACUUAAUUCAUAUAAAGAUAAAAUGCUUAAGCUUAUUGAGGUAUAUAUUCAUUUACUCACUGUUGUCUAUUUGCUUUGUACUUCUAUCUUGAAUAUUAUUGCUUUUAUGUUUUUUAUUUUUAUUCUAAUAUCUAUAUACAUGGUAAGCAGUCAAAAUUUUCAUAUCCGAUUGGUACAAGAGAUUGGGUUCUAGCAUCAUUGAACAAGAAAUGGAGAGACUAUAAGAGUGAAUUAAAAUAAGAAUAUUUUCUUCCAAAAGAAAAGUCCGUAAAUGAGAUAAUGGCUAAUGUACCACAAGACGUCAUUGAAGAUCAAUGGUGUAGAAUGGUAUCAGAAUGGUGUACAGAGAAGAGCAAUGUUGCAAUUUUUUUUCUACUAAUCUUGAUAUCUUUACUUUAGAACUUCUAUUUUUAACUUAUAGUUAUGUUUAACUAACUUAUUAUUUUUUCGGUGAAUAGAAACUUUGUGAAGCAAAUACUGCAAAUUCAAGGAAACAAAAGAAUGCUCACACAUCCGGUAGAAAAAGCCAUGCAAGGCGAAGGAAGGAAAUGAUUGUCUACCGUUAUUAUUUUUUUCGACUUUUGAUAAUUUGGUGACUUGACAGAGAAGAAAUUUUUUUCGUCGUUCUGUUUGAAAUAGAAGAAAUUUGACCCACUCUCAUGUUUCAAGAGAACAUUUAACAUAGUUUGGAUCAGAAUUGAAUGUGAAGGUAUUAAUUGUAAGCACUUAUCCAUAGAUGUACAUUUUAGUAGUUUAGACAAUAAGGUUGCUAUUUUUCUAUUAGUUCUAGAUCGAAAUUCAAAUUCCAACCUGUUGAUCAAUUAAACCCCUGUUAACAACAAAUAAUUGGUUCCUGUUCAGGUCAUUGUGUUCACAUAUUGCCCCCCUAGUUACUCCAGAAGCAAGCAGAUGCUAUUUUAGCUAUUUUAUAGGUUUUGAGUGGCUUGGACCUGAUCAACAUACGGAAACUGUUGUUACUAUUUUGUUGGUUUUGCUCAGCGUGAUCUAAUCUGAAAUUCUUUGCUUUUGUUACUUCUCCUUUCAUAAGGAUUCUAUAUUGUGUUGUUUUCUUAUGUUUCCUCUUCUUUUGAUAUAUAUAUUUUUUUCAGUUAAAAAGACUCCUUUAUUCAUGAAAAAAUAGUUUGAUUUUGCUCAUAAUCAAGUACUGUUUCGGAGGACUUAGUAAGAAUGUUGAAUCUGCAUAUGCUACACUUGAUUUCUUGCAUCUAAUAUAUGUCUUUGACUGUUUAGUAUUGUUCUGUCUAUCAUGACUGUUUUCUCUUUUCUUCUGAAUUUGUUAUAUAGGGUUGGUUUUAACUCGAUGUAUCACCUGACAGACUUGCCAUCUUUUGCAAGCAGCAAAUAUAUUGUAUUAUUUGAUCCCCAAGGUGCAUACCUUCCCAAUGUUUCUGCUUCAAAUCCGGGGAAACGCCUCGACUUUGUUAACUCUUCAGCUAUUACACUAUAUAGAGAUCAAUUUUUACCGUAUUGUGCUUUUGGGUGUAACAUGACAGCCCCUUUUUCGGGCACUUUAUUUCGUUUCCCCUUGAGGAGUGCAAAUCAGGCGGCUGUUAGUAGGCUUUCCAGGCAAACAUACUUGGAAGAUGAUAUUCUUUUGCUGUUUUCACAGCUUUAUGAAGAAGCUGUGUUUUCUAUGCUCUUUCUUUGAAGCAUACUCUCAAUUGAAAUGUAUAUAUGGGAUGUUGGUAUGAAUGAGCCACGAAAGUUGUACUCUAUUAUUUAAUGGUCCUUUUUACUGAAAUUUAUAUUUUGUAGUUUUUGCUGGAUGAUAAUCUAAUAUUUUUGUGGUUAAUUUUGUAGGAAAAGGAAUAUGGAAAGGAACCGGAUAGACUAACGUUUUGGGAGGUUGUGCAUAAGAAAAAAACUGGAGAAUUUGUUGAUUCUGAUACAGAAAGAAAAGUAGUAAGUAUAAAAGUUUAUUUAUUUGUUAUUUUUAAAUAAUUUUUUUAAUGUUAUUUGAUGGUUUCAUGAGAAAACAAUUUUAAAAUUGAUCAGAAUGCUGCGUGUAAAGAAUUGGAUGGAGUUGUCUCCCAAGGUAUUGAGCCAACUAGUGAGUUGAUUGAAGAGCUAUUUACAAAACACAUAGGGCCCGAGCGCAAUGGCCGUAUGAAGGGCUUAGGCUUGGGACCUACGCUAACUAGCUACUAUCGGCUGAAUUGUUGGGGAUUGCCUUCAAACAAUCAAGCUUCUUCAAGCGACGAACGGUUAAGAGAGGUGGACAAACUAAAAGGGGAGAUGAAAGGCUUACAAAAAGAAGUGGAACGUCUACAAGCAUUAAUAUCUAAAAAAUUUCCUGAGGAGAAUCUAGGAUCCCCAUCACCUACAUCCGGUCCAUCGAUUAACCUGCAGGCAAGAAAUUUUAGAAUAUUUUUUCUUGUAUUUCGUAUUUUCUAUCAACUCAUUACUAUUGUUUGAACUAAUAUAAAUUUAUUGCAUUUUUUACUUUCAGGUUGUAGAUCAUGGUAGUGCAAAUUGUUCUUCUUCUAACAAUCGGUCAUCAAAUUCAAGUUAUGAACCACAAACCAAUCUUCAUGGGCGAACCGUUUAAAUGCAACCAGUGAAAGACAAGAAUCAUAUUUUGUUUACUUAAGAACUCAAUGGAUUAAAAGACGAGUCACAUUUUGUUUAGUAAAGUACUCGUGAAUUUCUUUUUUCUUAUUUUUUGUUGAAGUUUAGACUGACAUUAUGCAUUUUGGUGCAUCACAAGUGAUUAGCUGCUAUAUAUCACUACAACAAAUAGAGCUUCUUCCGACAGUUUUUUUACCAAUAAUUAGGCUAACUGCCACUAAAAGUAUAUUAUACCAGCGCUUUUUAUUUUUAUUGCAGCAGUUACUAAACCGCUGGUAUAUAUGCUGAUAAUUCUCAAAUUUAUAAAUAAUAUUGGACCAAUGGACUAUGUUUUAUUAAUUUUUUCCAUCAAUUGGGCCAUGGGCCAACCUUGGGCUCUCCUUAUAUUUCAAAUAACCCCUCUCUCUCUCUCUCUCUCUCUCUCUCUCUCUAUCUCUCUCUCCCCUCGAUCUCUAUCUCUGAGCUCUACCCAGAGAUUUUCGGAGAUCUCCACGAUCUCCACCACGAGCUCUCCAUCUCUGAGCUUUCCUUUUUUUUUCAAAUCGGAGAUCUCCGCCGCUUCAAGAGGCUGGGAUUUUCGGAGAUUUCGAGCUCAAUCGCCUUCUCCGAGCGAUUUCUCACCCGGAUCUACACACGAUUCCACGAUCGCGUGGGAGAGGUGAGCUAUUGAUCUUCUUUUAUUUUUCUGGAAGAACUUGUAUCAGUUUCUGCAUGUAUCUGCUUCUAGAUGUGUAGUUUGCAUUAAAAGAAUUGUGUUUCUCCUCAUUUCUGCGUUUAGACCUGAUUAAACUUGAAUUAAAUUAGGGAGAAUUAAAUGAGAUGAGAAGCUUAAAAAGAAUCAAACCUCGGAUUUCCUGAGCUACUAUAUAGAAAAGAGUCUUUGUGAUGGUAGGGAACAGCUGAGAAGCAUGAUUUAAAAACCAUUUCUUCUCAUCCCGUAAGGAAUAAUCAUGGCUUUGAUGGCACCGGUUUGAUUGAGAUAUGAUUUAAUAGGUAGAUAAACAUUUUUCCAUGCUUUUAUUUAUGUUUUAUUUGGAUGUAUAAAUAUCUUAUUUAAUUUAUUUUUAAAAUUUAUUUUAAAAAUAAAUAAUAUUUAAAAGAAAAGGAGUAUGAUCUAAUAUCUAAAAGGAAAAUUAUAUUCGGCCUUUUAAGUUUUUUUUUUAAAUAAAAUAAAUUACUUCAAAAGUAAAAUAUGUUAUCCUACAAAAUUAUAUAUAUUAAUAAAUUUUUAAGAAUUAAAAAACAGAUUUAUAAUUUUCAGUCAUAUAAUUUUUAUUUUUUUUUCUAAUUUCCUCAUAAAUAUGGACCGUGUCAGGUUUUUUUUUUUUUUAAAAAAAAAAUACUAUCUAUACAUCAACGAGCAAAGCUCAAACUUUGCAAAUAUGUAUGCACUGUUCUUGAGUUCUUGAGUUUGUACUGAAGCAUGUUUGGUUGUACCAUUGUAAUUAGUUCUCCGCUUAAUUUUUUAUGAAGUAGAAUCCUAGGUUCAAUUAAUGUAAUUGAGAUUCAGGGGAUAAUAUGAACGGAGCUAGGCUGCACUAUAGUUUCUCUACUUUGUUAUUCAAUUAAGAUUCAUUAAUUUAUUGGUGGAGCCUGAUGUAAUGUGAUUAUACAUUUACUUUGUAAUGAUGAUGAUGAUGAUGAUGAUGAUGCCUAGGUGUAGUUAAUUACGCAGAUAUAUAUAUGCCUGCAGGGUUUGGAUGAGGCUUUUAUUUAUUAAUUUAAUCAGGCAAUUACUGCAAUAAAAACCUUGUUUGUAUUCGAAAGUGCUUGUUAAAUCAGAAUUCAGAUUUACAUCCCUUAACCUUGUUUGUAUUCGGAAGUGCAGCAUCUAUUUCCUCAUUUUAUCUUGUAGUUAUGAAAAAAAUGGAAUCAUUUUAUUUUAUAAAUAAUUGCUUGUCACUUCUGAAAUAACUGAUAAAUAAUUAUGUUUAAGGACAAAGUUGUCGGCAUUCGCACUUGCCAUUAUUUUGAGUAUUCAUGCAUGCCCAUUUUUGAGUUUUACUUCCUUUUUUCUUUAAUUUGACUAAAGUAGUUAACCAAUAGAACCUGGUUGUUACAUUAUUUUUUUGUUGUAGAUAGCCUUUAGUAAUCCAGGCAAAAUUGAACCUCCAAUAAGUUGAUAUUUGCAUAGUGUCAUCCAUAUNCUGUCUUGGAGGAGAUAGGCGGGUUCCGAGUUGUUGUUGCUUAUGUACAUAUUUCUUUAUUUGUUAAAGGUCCUAUUGUAAAGUUAUAUGUACCGAACGUGCUCCCGUUCGUUGUUAGUGUUCACUAUCAUUCGAUCGAUAUGUCUUUUUAAGUGUCAUUAAAUUUUGAAAAUGGGCUUGACAUAUUGACUUUGUAAAUCAAUAUAUGUACGAAAUGUUAUGUAAGUAAUUGUACAGAGUCAUGUAGUUUUAUCUACUAUGUACUUGAGUUUUACCAUUGACGAUUUUGAAACCACAGUCGAUCGAUUCGACGUCCCGGGAACGGUGCUAGGAGCCGGUGUUGUGAGCGUGACCUUGGACAUACCUAUCACCACACUCUUGAUGUUCUUUCAAGGGUCACCCAAGCCGGCGGCUGGAGCGGCUGAGUGGGUGAUCCAGAUAAGUCCGUAUACAUCCGUUUUUUUCAUUGUGUCUAUCAUUGGUUGACAUGUACAUUGAUGAUGUUACGGACAUGUUCGACUUUCUUUCGUUAUAUCCUUUUGACAUUUAUACGUACGUACGAAAAAUGACUUAAAUGGGUUAAGUAACCAAUUGGGAAAACCAAUUGUUAGUGAGUGACUAUGAUAGGGUUUAUAGCCCCUCUGCGUUGGACGUGGGCUGCCCUGACAGUUGAUCCCCUCUGCGUUGGAGGACCAGGUCAUUUCUACUGAUGAGGCCUCGAGUAGCAGGUUCCCCCUCGCUGGGGUGAACUUGGUUUGUUUACACUCAUACUAGACUAGGGGGAAAUCUCCUAAGUUGACUGUUUGUGACAGUGUGAAAUGAGAUUGAUCAAGAAAUAUGAUCAAAGUGUUAAGGUAAAGAGCUACGAUUGGUUUAGAGAUCAACUUACAGUGGUUCAAAUGAUAACAAUAUCAGGUAUGUAAGUAUCCCAAGAUACAGGUGUAAGAUUCAAGUGUAAAAGAGUUGUAACUAUUUGUAAGUGUAUAAGUUGAUAGUGAACGUAUUAUAGUGAUGGGAUACUACGUACUUAUGUUCAUUAUACGAGUUACCUUUUGGUAUCUGUACUUUCCACUAAGUUUCUGAAGCCUAUCGUGGUGGGUGGACAUCACCACAGUUAGUUGACUCUAGUUACAGAGCCUCACGCAGCUGUUGAUCAUGAGCGCUGAGUCACGGUUAGCUUGAUCUUGCCAGAGAUGGCAUUAAUCGUGCAGCGGCUGGACAGCUUUUCAGUUAAAUCUGAAAGCUUGUGCUAAUUAAUAGUAAGUAUAUUCUGAUCCUCCCUAAUUUGGUCUCAGUUAUGAGUAUGAAAUGUUCAAUCGGAAAGGUUAAGGUUCAUAGGUACAUAUACAUAUGUAAUAACAAAUUCCUAUGUUUAGUCGGGUUACGACUAAAGUCGUAGUUCGACUUUGAUCAGAGUACGACUUAAAAGUCGUUAAGUGGAGAAGAACUCGUUAGUCUAAGACGAUCUCGUUGAUUAGUGGAAAAUAGAACAAAAUGAUGACUCAAUCAAAGGAGUCGGAAUUAUAGUUCAGAAGUUACGACUAAAGUCGUAAACUUGAAGUGUCGAAAGUCGUAAUUAAGUUUACGAUUGGAGUUGAAAUCGAUGAAUGUUAGUCAGCGUUACAUCGAUUAUGUGAUGAACUAAGUCCUUAUUUGUAGUUAAAUGGAGUGAUCGACAUGGUUACGAGUUCUCAAGAAAGAGAAUUGACCAAAGGACGAGUUAUCGGGGUUUAGACUUUAAAGUCGUUGUAUCGAGAAUUGAAUUAGGUAAAAUAUCGUUAAUUAACCUGAUAUUAGGUUAUGCCUUACUCGAAUGGAGUCAAACGACGACUUCAUUGAACGGGUGCCGAAGUUUACUAGGUGGAGUCAACAUUAUGUGACUUGAAAACGUUUAACGCCUCAAGCUCAUACACCUUACCACACACCUAGUGAGGAUGUACAAGAUUUUCCAAUCUUGUUCAAAAACCUAUUCAAUCUCCUACUAACCUUACGCUUUUCACUCUUUUGCGUAACUUGUCCGCUUUAGUCGGAAAAGACGAACGACAUGGCCAUGUCGGCGAUACCACAUGGCCAUGUGUCACCGUUAAGCACCGUCGUUCCGAUAAAACCAUUAAAGUGGAGAACAGGGAUAGAUGAACUGGGGCCGUACUGGACCCUACGAGUCUCCUCCGACGAUCUCAAGACUCUUCCGAAGAAAAUGGAAGAAGAGAGAGAGAGAGAUCCUUAAAAGAGAGAGAUGUAUCUUCAGCAGCAAAACGCGGUUAAAGCGCGGCGCGAGCAACGAGCGACCAAGCCUCUGAGUUCCCUUCAGAAACCUUGCACCCUUUCUCCUCGAAACCACACAAAGAUACUCCAAUGACGGUCCCCUUCGACUUAAAGUCAAAAUCUCUCCAUUAGUUGAGCUAAAGAGAGAUCAAAGGCCAAAAUACAACUUAAACCUGUAGAAAAACACAAUCACGAAGCUUGACUUAAUCCUCCACAAAUGUCGUCAUUUCUCCUCGAAACAACCGACGAUUAAUGGGGAAAUUUGAGACACCUUGAACGAAAUUUCGAAUUUUACCGAUUAAUCAUUUGAUAUGGAGUUAAAGCCUUGAUAAACUGCAAAUGAAUCAGCUUAACUACGUUUAAACCUUAAAAAGAAGCGUCGUCCAGAAGCUCAGAGCAACUCGACUUGAACGUGAGAAUCUUCGACCAAACCUUCCAUAAGAUUGGACUCCACGUUCGGCGUCUGUGUACGGGCCCGGAUCGACCAAAGUGGCGAUAGCGGGACGUGACAGCAUCUGCAUUUGGAGAAGCAUCAAAGGGCACUAGUAAAAUCUAUAACUAUGAAGUCCCUAAUGUAAAUGCUAAUAUGCAUGAUAUGUUAAGUGAAGUUUUUUAAAUUAAUAAUCAAACUCUAGAAGAAGCUGGAGGUGAUGAUUGUUUCCAUGAGUCAUCAAGUGAAGGUCCUGAUGUACAACAAUUUACACAACAAUCUACAGAAGGGAUGAAUGAAGAUGCUAGAAAGUUUUUUACCUUGCUUGAAGAUGCAGAACUACCACUGUAUGAGGGGUGUGAGAAAUACAGUAAAUUAAUAGCAAUUUUGGUUCUAUACCAUUUGAAGUAUCUUAAUGGGUAGAGUAACAAGUCAUUUACUAUGUUGCUUGAAGUGUUGAGGAAUAUGCUUCCUUCUGGUUCUAGAUUGCCAGAAGAUUCCUACAAGGCUAAAAAGUAUAUUAUGGACUUAGGACUUAAAUAUGAAAAAAUUCAUGCUUGUCCUAACGGCUGUGUAUUAUUUUGGAAAGAUAAUACAUGUGCUAAUUUUUGUCCAACAUGUGGUGCUUCAAGAUGGAAACCUGAAGAGGCAAGUCCUAAAGUAGAUGUGGAAGAGGAAUCUACUAGGAAGAAAAAACCUGCAAAAGUUUUAAGGUGGUUUUCCUCUAAAGCCAAGACUACAAAGGUUGUUCACGUCUUCUAAAACUGCUUCUUUAAUGAAAUGGCACGCUGAGGGUCGCAGAAAUGAUGGUGUUAUGAGGCAUCCUGCUGAUUCACCGGCAUGGAAAGCUUUUGAUAAGCAAUAUGUGCACUUUUCAUUGGAUCAUCGUAAUGUCAGACUUGGUUUAGCUACUGAUGGCUUUAACCCUUUUCGAAUGAUGAGUGCUAGUUAUAGUUGUUGGCCUGUUAUCUUGAUCCCAUAUAACUUACCACCAUGGAUAUGUAUGAAACGAUCUUCUUUCAUCUUGUCUUUGCUAAUAUCAGGCCCAAACUCACCUUCUACUAAUAUUGCUGUGUAUUUACAACCUUUAAUUGAUAAACUUAAAGAAUUGUGGGAGUUUGGAAUUGAAACUUAUGAUUACUCUAGUGGAGAAACCUUUCAAAUGCAUGCUGCUUUAUUGUGGACAAUUAAUGACUUUCGAGCUUAUGGUGAUUUGUCUGGGUGGAAUACCAAAGGUGCUCUUGCUUGCCCUUCUUGUAACUAUAGUACUCACUAUCGAUGGCUAAAAUAUGGAGGUAAAUAUUGUUUUAUGGGACAUAGGCGGUUCCUACAUAACAAUCAUAGAUUUCGAAAGGAUAGAAUGUCAUUUGAUGGCACUCAAGAGAUGGAAGCAGCACCUAAAAUGCUAUCCGNUGCUAUCCGGAAGUGAUAUUUUGCAACAAACUAAAGAUAUUGAAUGCAAUUUUGGUAAGUAUGUUAAUUCAACAAAAGGUAAGAGGAAACGAGGCGUACAUGAAAAGUUGCAACCAUGGAAGAAAAGGAGUAUAUUCUUUACAUUGCCUUAUUGGGAACAUCUUCUUAUCCGUCAUAAUCUUGAUGUCAUGCACGUGGAAAAGAAUGUAAGUGACAAUAUUCUUGGUACAUUGUUGAAUCUUGAUGGUAAAACUAAAGAUAAUUUGAAGGCACGAUGUGAUCUACAAGACAUCGGUAUACGACAUGAACUUCACCCUCAAAGUGUUGAUUCAAAUAAGAUAUAUCUACCACCAGCUUGUUUCGUUAUGUCUCUGAAAGAUAGGGAUGAGUUCUUAAAAGUUUUAAAGAAUGUAAAAGUACCAGAUGGUUACUCAUCAAACAUAUCACGAUGUAUUCAACUCAAGCAGCAUAAGAUUACAGGAUUGAAAAGCCAUGAUUCUCAUAUUCUGAUGCAACAGCUACUUGUCGUAGCAUUGCGUGGUGCUUUGCCGAAGGUAGUAGUUGCACCUUUAAUUGAUUUAUGUUGUAUUUUUCGCGAGCUAUGUUCUAAAACCUUGAAUGUACAAGAGCUUGAGCGUCUAGAAUCUCGAAGUGUGGAGACAUUAUGCCAUCUUGAAAGAAUCUUCCCCCCAUCAUUUUUUACGAUUAUUGUCCAUUUGGUAACUCACUUGGCUACGGAAGCAAAAAUCGCAGGACCGGUUCAAUACCGUUGGAUGUAUCCAAUUGAGAGGUUAGAAAUUUCUAUUCAAAAGUUUUCACAUUUAUUCUUAAAGACCUAUUGCCUCUUUUUUUUUUUGUUAGUCUUUAAUUAUUAUGUUUCUAACCUAUAGGUUUCUUUUUGAUCUCAAGUCUGAUGUACGUAAUAAAGCCCAUCCGGAGGGCUCAAUAGCUGAGGGAUAUUUAGUAGAGGAGUGUAUGACGUUUUGUUCGAGAUAUUUAGAUUCUGUCGAAACCAUAUUCAAUCGACCUGCAAGAAAUAUUGACGGUUCAAUUGGGGCAACAUCACACAUUCAUCUUGAUCAAAAAACAUGGAUGCAAGCACAUAGAUAUGUACUAUUUAAUAGUAAUGAAAUAAAUCCUUUUCGAAGGUUAGUUUUGAUAUUACAUAAGCCUUGCAUACUAGUUCACUUAUGAUGUCUUACUAAUAAUACUCUUUUAUUUUGUUUAAGUAUUCAUAAGGAUAUAAUAAAAAGACAAAAGCGUGGAACCCGCCCAAGUGAAGCUGUUAUAAAUAAAAUUCAUAUGGAGAACUUUGUUGAUUGGUUUCAAUCGUAUGUAAGUAUUUAUUUAUUUACAUGCUUCCUAAUAUUAUUCAAUUAGGAAUUUGAUGUUUCAUUUUGUACUUAUAGGCUUUACAAUAUGGUAGGUUAUGAAUUCCGAUGGUGGAAAGGAUGACCGGUUCACGGAGAAGAUAAAAUGGUUGGCUCAUGGCCCAAACAAUUUGUGUAGAAGCUUUCGGGGAUAUAUUAUAAAUGGCACCAAAUUUCGCACCAAAAAUUAUGAAAGUAAUAUGAAGACUCAAAAUAGUGGAGUUUCAGUGGAAACUGAAGGAGGCUUAACUUACUAUGGUAUUUUAAGCGAUAUAAUUGAGUUGAACUAUUAUGAUAAAUUGCGAUUUAUUUUAUUCAAGUGCGACUGGGCUGAUGUUACAUCAAAUAAGGGGCACAAGAUAGAUGAAUUUGGAUUAGUUCUCGUAAAUUUUUCAUACUUGAUCCAUACAGGCGCAAAAUCGAAUGAUGAACCUUUUAUUUUGGCAUCUCAGGCAAGGCAAGUAUACUAUAUAGAAGAUCAAAGAAACAAAGAUUGGCUUACUGUUGUAAAAGCUAAGCCUAGGGAUGUGUUUGAUAUUGGUAGUCAUGAAACUUGUGAAGAUAAUGAGAAUAGUCAUUGUGAUAAUCUACCAUAUAAUAUCGAUAUAACAAGUAUGCUGGAAAGCUUGAAUGAAAAUCUAGACUGGACUAGAGAUGAUGCGGAUGGAACCACAAUUAGUGAAGCACCUUCUCAUGAAAACCUACCGUUAGAAGAGGAGUAUAGCAACAACUCCGAGUCAGAUGGUGAUAUGGAAAAUACGUGCCAUUCUAGCUAAAGUGAGUUAUAAGUUGCUUCUUUGUUCACAAAAUUGGGUUUUGCUUCUGAUUGCCUUGGUUGUUUAUAUUCAUUGCUGUGUGAAUUACUAGAAUUUGUUGUUUAUAUUUAUUGCUUCUGAUUGCCUUGGUUGUUUAUAUUCAUGGUAGAUAAGAUUUUUGGAUCGUGGUCAAUUUUGCAUAACUCUUGUGAUAUUUUCCAUCUUUUGAUAAACAGUGAUAGUAAUGCAUGGCAAUUGAAGUAUGAUUUAUCAUAAGAUUGCUUCAUGAAUUUUGUGGAUGCAGCAAUGUAUCCUGUUCAUUGAAUUACAAAGUGAAAGUAAUUAAUUUUUUAUGUUCAAUAUGCUUAUUCAAUGUUCAAUUGUGCCUGUUUGUUCUAGCUGUUGUAGUGUGUAAGGUACUCAGUUAUUCUCUCCCUCCAUCUGAGACGAAGUGUUUUAAUCUAUGUUCCUUAAACAGGUUAGAUCAUAUUUCCUAGUGUUUAGUACUGGAUCAGAGGCCGCAGGAAUUGAUGUUUAGUUAGGGCUUCAUGUGAAUUUGAUAUUUCUUUUUUACCGCUAUGGAAAUGUAGUUGAUUGCAGUUUUUAAUUGAACGUGUGUAGAAGGUGCAUAGGCAUAGCUAUCCAUAAUUUCGUAUCCACAGAUUUUAUGGGCUUGUUUGGAUGCCGGAACAGGUUAUCUGAUGUCAUCUGAUGAUAAUGGUAAUGUGUGUGUUAUAGAAUUUGAUUUGUGAAUGCAACCAAGAGAAUAGAUUUUUAGCUACAGUGAAUAGUUAAUAAUUCCGGCUUCUCUGUUUUCGAGAUAGCAAAUUCCACUGACGAGGAGAUUUAUCAUAUCAUAUUCUGUGAAACAUAAAUUAGAGGCAGGAUAUAAAAUAUAUUUGAUUGUAGGCAUCCUUCCAUAAUCUCCAUCUACUAAUUACAAAUUACAACAUGCCCCUUGAGUAAAUUGAAGAUGCAUACUAAACAAGAUAUUCGUGGAUCCGAAUAGGCCCUGCUGAUUUAUAACUUAAGGUUCAGUUCAUAUAUCUCUUUCAUCACAAUUUAUUCUUGCCUAAUUUUUGAGCUCUUCACCUUCUCAUAAAGUAUAUUGCUCUUUAUGUUAGCUUUUUAUGAUAUAAGGCGCUUAUAUAAGUUCAACGACUUCUACUUCGACAAGGAGGAAGAGUUCGUCAUCCGAUUGCAGGUAUCUGUCUAAAAUCAACAUCCUUCUUUUCCCCUGUCCUCUUCUCUCCGCACUUUUUAACCUAUAUAUGUAUAUCUUUCAAUCUGAAAAGUAGAGCAGAGCUUUUUAACCUAUAUAUGUAUACCAUCAAUUUUGUUCACCGGGCUUUGAGUAAUAUUAUAGGUGCUUGAGUUGGGGAAUGUGUCUAAAAUUAUGCCAGAUGGAUUUGUGAGGUCACUUAUCCAGUGUGAUUCUAAUUAAGGAAAAAAAAACUGACAAUUCAUCCAUAGUAAGUACAGUAAGUACUAUGUUAAGAUGGAAGUUUUCAGACAUGAACAAAAUAAUAGAUGUAAAAGCUUAGAAGUAUAAGCUGUUAUAUCUCACAUCAUGCACCAAUCACUAAUUACUAUAGAUUACAAAAACGCAGAACUAGAAAAAAGGACCUAUGCUACCACUUCUUCCAAGCUUCAAGUACCCGUUCAUAAGAAGCUCUGCAAAGUAAGAACGACUAGACUUUCUUGCUAUUGGCAAUUCGGAGAGAAACUUAUACAACAAAAUGUGAUAUCCUGACAACUUCAGAACCUAACUUACAUAGGGUUGAAGCUCCCCUUAACAUAAUAGCAGUAAUCAAAUGAACUAUGGAGUCAUUUGAGAAAUCCAAUUCUUGUUAAUUCUAACCAGGUUCUUGCAUUGUCUAUGCCUUAGUGAUUAGUAAUUUGGUUCUUGUUUGGAUAGGUUGUCGCUAAGAGUUCUUGCUCCAGGUGCUACUCGAGAUCCAUUACUUGUCACGCCCCGAGCCCGCUACCAAUUUGGUCCGGUUCAGGCGCGUCGAACAGACGCCGAACGGACAGCACCUCUCUUGUCCGCCCAAGGCCAAACAACCAGAUCAUGUACAGUUAAGCGCCCAGGGAAUGCUUAAUUAACAUACAUGAUCAAUACGAUGCACACAAGUGCAUAAUAGCUAAGAGCAAGAACCACGAGUGAAAUACAAGUGUGUAAAGAGAGUACAUCUAGCUAAUACAAUCAUUCAACAUUUACAUCAUUUGAAUAUAUUACAUUUCCAUCUUCCAAAUGUAAAUACAUGUUCUCAAAAUACCUCAUGGCUUUCCAAUAUCUAUCCAAAACAUCUGGUACACGAGGGUACUCUAAUGCAUAAAGGAAAGCUACUAACUAUGCUCACUUAGGGCGCUAUACCCUUGCCGCGAUCCUCGCCCGGCCCGCCUCUAUGUGUACCUGUACCCCAGAACCACACGGGGUGAGAACUAUAUAAAUAUAGUUCCCAGUGGGUUCGGUCGCCGACGCCGCCGGUGUAAGGUACCGGACUUCUAAAACUAUGAAGUUACGGUGUACAUUUGAUUGGAGAGCCGUUUGAAUGGUUUCGGUGAGGUCCCGGUGAGGUCCGGAAGCAUUCGGGCGUUGUCGGUACGCGUAGGCGCUAAAACGGACCCGAAAGGCUAAGUUGGGCCGUGAGUUAAAUCCGGCAUUAGCGAGGAUGGAAAGAUGAUGAAAACAUGUUUGAAAACAUGUUUGGAGAGUCUCGGUUCGAUUUGAGACGAAUCGGAGGUCAAACGAACGAAAACGGGCGAAAACGGAGCGAAAACGGACGAAGCUGAAAAUUGGCUAAGUCUGGGCUGGAGGUCUCUCUGGGACCGGUCCCAGGUAGAGAGACCGGUCUCUCAGAGACCGGUCCCUCAUGUAGAGACCGGUCCCCGAACCCCGAAAAUGCCCAGUUCGGGCUGUUGCAAGAGAGGCUUUGUUGAGGGGCUUAAGUGCAAUUUUGCACUUAUUAGAGUGUAUAGAAUGGGGGAUUAGGUCUUUCUCUCCCUCUCCCUCAACCGUGUGAACCCAAAACCCACCCCUCUCUCUCUCUAGAAAGAAAAGAAGAAGAAGAAGAAGAAGAAGGAGAAGAGGAAGAAGAAGAAGAAGAAGAAGAGAAAGAGCUUUCCAUCUUCUUCAUUCCUUCCUUGUGCUUGGAGAGGCUUNAAGGCGUUGAUGCUUCUAAAAGUAUUCUAGAUCAAUUUUAUAUAUUCUAUCUCAAUUCUAUAUAUUAUAUAAUUAAGCUAGAAUACUUUUAGACACUACAACAAAUAGAGCUUCUUCUAACAGUUUUUUUACCAGCAAUUAGGCUAACUGCCGCUAAAAGUAUAUUAUACCAGCGCUUUUUAUUUUUAUUGCAGCAGUUACUAAACCGCUGGUAUAUAUGAUGAUAAUUUUCAAAUUUAUAAAUAAAAUUGGACCAAUGAAACUAUAUUUUAUUAUCUUUUUCCAUCAAUUGGGCCAUGGGCCAACCUUGGGCAAUAAACACUUUUCACAUUAGCUCUCCCUAUAUUUCAAAUAAUUGCGGGGAUUUGAGCUGGCUUAGUGUUUGCUCGGUCCAAAUCCGGUCCAGUCCAUCUACACUACCGUAGAGGUCAAUAGAACCCAACGGAAGAAAACCUCUAAAACCCUAGACCUUCUAAAUGGUCAUCUUCCUCCUCCUCCAACGAUGCUCCGCUAACUCUUUUCCCGGCCACUCCCCCUCCGCCUACAAACCCUAACCCUAUUGUCGUCCUCCUCUUCCUCCUCUCCCCUUCCUCCACCGCCACGCCCCAAUCCUUGCCUCCCUUUCUCUGGUCGCGACCCCACUUGGAGCUUCCUCCUCCGAUCGCUGAGAUUCUUCUCGGCCUCUCGAGGCGACGGGGGCGAUGACGAUGACGGGACCUGGAAGCUCUCUCCGGAGUUCGACGAGGUCGACUCCGUCUUCGGGGACAUCGCCGAGGGCGGCGAGGAGGUCUUCGUAUCGGAGGCGGUGGAGGACGUCGUGAAGGGAUUCACCGGCGGAAGCGGCGAUCCGUGGGCGGAGGGCGCCGCGGCGGACAGUAAGGGCGAUGUGUUCGAGGACAUUGAUCGGGAGGUCGCCUUGAAGGAAGGAGGGGGAGGCGUCGGAGAGGAAGAGUGGGGAACGGUUGAGGGGUACAAGCCGUGGACAUUGGGGGAGGAUGAGGAGACGGGCGAUGUUUUUGGCACUGAAGAGACUGAGGAGGCGGAGAAGGACGUCGCCUAUGAGAAGCAGAAACUGGAAGAGAGGGAGAAAGAGCUCUUAGAGACGCUCAAAGGUACUUCGCUCAGAUGAACUUCUUUGAACCCUUUAAUAAUUUGCUCUGAUCUCUCUCUCUCUCUCUCUCUCUCUCUCUCUCUCUCCUCUUUAUUUUCAAAUCGGAGAUCUCUACCAUGAAGCUUGAGCCGCUUCAAGAGAUUGGGAUUUUCGGAGAUUUCGCACUCAAUCGCCUUCUCCGGGCGAUUUCUUACUUGGAUCUACACACGAUUCCACGAUCGGGAGAGGUGAGCUAUUGAUUUUUCUUUCAUUUUUGGCUUUGAUCUCGAAUAGCUUCUCAAUUAAGCCAAAGUGUUCGUAAUCGGGGUUUCAGGAGUUAAUUUUUGGAUUCGCUUGUGGGAGAUAUUAUCCAGUUUUUUGACAAUAUUUGAUCAUCUACAUGCUGAUCUCUUUUAAAUUUAUUUCGAAACUGAAAUUUAGGCCUUUUUUGUGCUUCAUUAACACUGAUUUAUUAAGCUGUGUGAGAUUAUUUAGGUUUCAAGAUACAAGAGCUCAUUGAAUCUAACCAUCUAGGCCCAUCAACCUUUUGAUGCAUCUCUUACACGUUUACUAUAGGAUCUACAAAAGUGUAUUUGGGUAUCUCAUCUAUUGAAUAGCAUAUGUAAGCAGGACACGAUAAAUCCUGUUGAUAUUCCUCUUGCUUGCUUCCUUCUCUGGUACUUUUUUUGAGCAUCCCCAGCACAUAUUUAUGCUCUUCAAUUAAGUUCUGCGUAUCCUUGAUAGGAUUACUUUGAAUUAUUUUGUAACACUGCACCUUGUAAGUACUUGAUAUAAAAUUGAGUAUUAGAAUUGGUAUAUGUUGUGUGCAUGUGGACUGCACAUUAAAUAUUCAAAUUUCAAUGUUAUGGUGGUACCCAUUUUCAUUUUUGAAUCAAAGAAGAAGAUCGUACUUAUGCAUAAACCAUCUAUCUUCUGCAGUAGCCAAGCCAUUAUUGGUUGAUGGAAGCGAAAAAUGCCACGAAUUAGCUCUCGCUUACGAUCAGUUUGGAUAAAAUUCCGGGUAUCCGUACCCAUUCAUCCCUAUCUAUAAAUGAGUAGAAUUUUGCAUUUUAAACUUAUCUCUGAUCCGUACAUUCUAAAGCUAAUCUUUCUUUAGAGUUAUUUUGAGCAUUUAAAUGAUUUGAAUUGGUUUUAAGAUCCCUAGUUUUGGAUCUGCACCAACUCAAACUGGUUGGUCUCAGAUUCUGCCAAAACUCCAAACAGUGCCUUACUGCACGAUCUAUCAUUUUCUCCGUACGUACAUGAAAUAUGGCGCCUGAGAUAAAACUUGUAAUACUGUAUGAGUCUGUAAGAAUUAAUUCUUAGGUGUAUAUGGUUAAUUGGAUUGCCUGAAUUUGUAUAUUAGUCAAUAUCAUUUGGCUUAUUAUAAUUCAUUAUUCAGAUCACUUGUGCAUGCCAUCUUUCCAUCUAAUUUCCUGCUUGAAAAGCUGUUUGCCCUGUGAAGAAUCAGCUUUUUCCCCCUCUUCAAGAACAAAUCUAUCUACCGAGAUUCCUCAUGCGUCAUGAGUGGUUCUCUUGAACUGCAAUUUUCUACUCUAUAUGAAUUCUAUUGUUGAUUUGAAAAUUGAAAGUAGAUAGAAUCACGUAUAUUCUUCUGAUGUGCUCUUUUUGUUUUUUAAGUCUCAGUGCAAUUCUAUGAACUGGAAAUAGGUAAAUAUGUUUGGAGAUCCCUCAAUUAUAGACCAUUUUAAGAUAGGCUCCUGUGCAUCACCUCAACUUUGAAUUUUUUUUUUUUUUUUGUGAAUUUAGGAUUCCAUUUAAAUCGAUAGCUUCAUUAGCUAUUGGUUCUCAAGUACUAAUGGAAUCCACCACCUUUAGCUUAAAAGCAGUCAGAGCCAUUAAUGUAACCUGCAUUUCAACGCGCCGAAAUUACUGUUGGUUAAAGUGAAUGAAAGUUGAUGUGGGCGUCAAAAUAAAAAAAAAAAGAAAAGCGAAGUUCGAGUGUUUAUUUCAGAAUGCCCUCGUGAGGGUGUCCCCAUACUUUUUACAUUGUAGCCAUUUGACAGAAUUCUCACAGUUGUAUUGCUGUCGAAAACUUUUCUUUUACAUUUGAAAAUCUUUGCUCCUCCUGUUCAGUAACCUUAUUCUAUUUAAAUUUCUGCAGGUCUUUGACGCGCGAGUAGGCCAAGUCAUGUAAAGAAGGUGGUUGGAUGUGCUUCCAUGAUUAGUCAUCGACAUUCCUCGUCGACGAAAAACUUACGUCUCUCUGUGUAUCCAUUUUCUGGAAUAUAUAUAUAUAUAUAUAUAUAUAUAUAUAUAUAUAUAUAUAUAUAUCAACUCAUUGCUAAAUUAAUUGACUAAUGAUGUUCCACCAAAUGAUAGGAAUUCUGCCACUACAAAUGCCAGUCAUAAAUGAUUGCUACUGCAUAACAAGAAGUUCGAGCCAAUGCCCUGUUAUAGAGCUUUUCUGUUUUCAGAUUUUUAAAGUUUUUGUUGUUGUUGCAGGAUUUGGUAAAGUGCCAGGCUAUGAGCACGUAUUCACGGACUUUCUCCUAAGCCUAGUGCAGAGCAAGUACAAACGGCGCUUGGCAAACAGUUAAACACGACGCGUCGUACGACCCAUAAAACUCCCAAAGUACCCUGAAAUUCGCCUGUCCACAUACUCCCAACAAGAAUUCCCAUGUACAUAACAGGGAUAGUUCCGGUGGGUGCUUUAGUCGCUGCGAGCAUAACCUCCCUCGUCGCCCUUUAAAUUCACUAAAGUAAGCUCUUCUGCCACGAAUGUAUGCAAUAAUAUCUCCUUUAAUCACAAGCUUCUUAACCUUAGGUUAUUUUGUGCUUUUAAGUUCCUUUUUGGAAAUUUUGAUAAAGAAGGUUGUUGAUUACUUUUGCUGCGCUCAUAAUAGCUGAUAUAAACAUAUAGAAAGUGAAUACGCGACUAGUGAAUGUUUGAAUGAUUAGACAUCUGAGAGAUAAUAUGUGGCUGUUGUAGUUUGAUAUUUGUAAUCUUGCGUUUACUGUAAUAGUAGCCUGAUAUCUUUGCAUGUUCCUUAUCGGAAGCACUCGGUAUUCUAUUUUUGUUUAUAUUUGAAUUGCUUGUUGAUAUCCUUGCAGUGUUCUUUGUGCUAGUAAUUUUUUAAAAAAUUGCUUUGAUGUAAUAUGUAAAUGAAUGGUGAUAAAAUGCUUUCGUAUGUAUGUGGGGGUUAUUCUUACCAGAUCCUGGUAGGAACUAAGGCAAUCUUUAACCUGGGGUAUAUAUAACUUUUUUAUGAAUAAGACUAUAGAAACUAGUGCUACUAUAUGUUUUUUUGCUCACGAUUGACUAGUUUGCUUGGUAUGUAGCUUGUAAAUUGCAUGAGAUUGCUAGCAAGUAUUUUAUGGUAUAACAUGGAUCAACAGUAUAAUGUAUUUUUUUUUUAGGGAAAACUUCAAAAACCCCCCCUGUGGUUUCAUACGUUUUUAUUUUAGUACCCUGUGGUUUGAAAUGUAUCAAGUUAGUACCUUGUGGUUUCUCACUUUAUCACUUUAGUACCCUGUGGUUUAAAAUGUAUCAAGUUAGUACCCUGUGGUUUCUCACUUUAUCACUUUAGUACCCUGUGGUUUUGCACUUUAUCACUUUAGUACCCUAUGGUUUAUAUAAAUCACAGGGUACUAACUUAAAAAAAAAAAACACAAGGUACUAAAGUGAUAAAAUGCAAAACCACAGGGUACUAACUUGAUACAUUUUAAACCACUGGGUACUAAAGUGAUAAAGUGAGAAAGCACAGAGUACUAAUUUGAUACAUUUUAAAUCACAGGGUACGAAAGUGAAAAAAAGUGAAACCACAGGGGAGAUUUUUGAAGUUUUCCCUUUUUUUACAUUAUUGUAGGAACGAAGUAGAAAGAAACGACAUAACAGGGAUCAGCAAAUAGACUUUUAUGCAGCUGGUUCAAAAUCGAUAGCGCAAUAUGCAUAUAAUAUGGUAUUUGAUAUCUUCCUUUAUCAAUUUUUUGGAUCCUGGUUUCUUAACUAAAGUUGUUCUAUAUAUUUUGCACACAUUAUGUAGGAGAAAAAUAGAGUAGUUCCAACAAGAGAAAAGCUAUAUGUGGUGCAUCACAAACCGCCUGAAAAUGGAGGCUACAUAAUCAUUUUCUGUUGUGAAUUCGUCAAGUUAGUAAUUGUUGUGCUGUGAGGAUUGGUAAAUGCACCUAUGAUUUACUCUUGUUCAGUCAAGGUCUAUAUUUCCUUAGAAGUUUUUCAGGAUGUGAUAUUUAUGCUGCUCUGAGGAGAAGAUUUAUGCUAACUUCUAAUUAAAUGACAAUCAAGCUGCGUAAUUUGACCUGAUUAAUAAUUAGAACUAAAAAGAUUUAGUUCUUAUGGCUGUUAUUUAUACUUUUAUUUUUUGCUAUAUGUUAUUUAUGAUAGAUUUUUUUUUGGAAUGAGCUUAUGCAACUUGUAUGUUUCAAUUUUUUUUGUUACAGAUUGAAGCAACAAGCAGGAUUUGACGUUCGCAUUUCAAGAACGUUUAGCUGGAGCUUUUCACUUUCCUUUUUCUUAGCUUUCUAACAUUUGGGAUUCAAAUAAAUUUUCUAUUGUAUUGAUUUCUAUUAAAACAUAAAAACUUAUUUUGUUGCAUUUUAUCACUGCUCUAGAUCAUUGCUUAUAGUUUUGUUUCAAGAAUGAUUGUAUUAUUUUAUUGCAAUUUAGUAAUAUGACUCCUUUUUUUUUUUAGAUAUUACAGAUUGUUGGUUUUACAAUUAAUAUCAAAUGGAAAAGCCUAUUGCAAUUUGUUGAUAUUAGUUUUUUUUUUCAUAUUAGUUUCAAAUUGCCAACGGUCAAAAACUAUCGGUACAUGCGCCUUACGUCAGUGUUUUUCUUGUAGUUUUAACGACGGUUUAAGAACUGUUGCUAAAGAUCAUCUUCACCGGUGGUUAGUAAAAGUGCUGGAAAAAUGUUAUACCAGCAAGGAUAUUGUAACGGUCAUCUGUACUUUUACCAACAGUUUUAGAAUUGCUGGAGCAAAUAUUACCAGCAGUUUUUGUAUUCUUUUCCAGCAGUUUUGACCGCUGGUAUAUGCCUAUAUUGUUGUAGUGAAUAGCACCAACCCCUUGGUGCUUCUAGGUUUCUAACCCUUGGAUCUACUCCUUGAUUACUAAUAGCCUUUGGAUCAAACACUAUCCCACCUAUCACUGCCUACCACCAACUACCACCAUCAUCUCUCCAUCCAAUGGCUAAAAACUCAAAAGCACCACCUUCAUGGUGCUUUUGAGAGUAUUCUAGCUCAACUAUAUAUAUAUAUACACAUAUAUAUAUAUAUAUAUAUAUAAUAUAUAUAUAUAUAUAUAUAUAUAUAUAUAAAAUACAUUAUGAUAUUCGCUAGAACAUGAAGAAUAAUAGUAUGUUCAUAUAUGCUCUUAGAUAUAAGCUGUUAUGAUCCAAUCAUGCACACAAUCACUAAUUACUAUAGAUUACAAAACGCAGAAUAGAAAAAGGACCUAUGCUCCACUUCUUCCAAGCUUCAAGUACCGGCGUUCAUAAGAAGCUCUGCAAAUAAGAAACUUAUACAAAAAAUGUGAUAUCUGACAAUUCAGAACCUAACUUACAUAGGGUUGAAGCUCCCUUAACAUAAUACAGUAAUCAAAUGAACUAUGGGUCAUUUGAGAAAUCUAAUUCUUGUUAUUUAACCAGGUUCUUGCAUUGUCUAUGCCUUAGUGAUUAGUAAUUUGGUUCUUGUUUGGAUAGUGUUGUCGCUAUUAGGUUUACUUAGUAAAUUGCAUUCGAGUAAAAUAGAUUUUUAUUUACUUUUUGAUGCUGGCACAUAUCUCUACCUGAUUUGAAAUGUUUACAGUAGAGUUUUCUUUUCAUUAUAUUUUUUUCUUUUCUUUCCAAGUCCCUGGGAAAAUAUUAGCUUUGGUAGUGUAAUGUUACAUCAAGUACUAUCCGUUUACUUGUGUCCGUUGAUCCAGGAUAUUCUACUAACCUUGCAAAAUCAAAGUUUGAUGUUCUUGUUUUCAUAGCGAUACUUCCUCCUCUUUCUUUUUCUGUCUCUCUGACUAUGUCUUUCUUUUUGGGGAUUCUUUCUUCUUCUCUCUUAAUUCUUUUAUCUAUUAUGGAGCUUAUAAACCACUUCUGGUAAUUCCAUGUUUUGAACUUGGAGCGUCCAUGUUUGUAUCUGUUCGAAGUUUCUGUUUCUGGAAUUUUGACAUAUGAAUGGAUAAAUGAAUAGUUCUCCCCAUUUCCUAAUUUUUCAAACGAAAUGUUUCCUGCUGUUAACAGAUAUAAAACAUGUUUGGUACAUUUAAACAACGAUUCAUAGCGUUUGAAACACUAGUUUUUCUUCAUGGAUCUAUCAAAAAACAGCACCUCUAAUACUUUUCCGAUCUAUCUAAAAACAUGGCUACUUUUUAUGUCUAAUAUCCUGUCACAUUUUAUGUCAAACAUGAUUUCUUUUGUAUAUAUGGUAUAUCAUUUUUCUAUCGUUCUUUACGCUUAAAGCCGUAAUUUAUAAGCUUACAAAUAGAUUCAGUACCUGACAAUCAUGUGCCAAAGUGUUGUUGUAUCCUUUUAACCAUGGUUCUAAGAUGCUGCUGCUUUAGAAUAUAAAUCUCAUAUAGUUCAUAUAGAUAUGGCAAAGAGAAAGCUCAAGUAUGCUCUGUUGAGGAUGAUCUAGGGCAGCCUAGAGAGGAACCACCACACAACAUCCUACACAGCCUCAAGUAUCCUUAUCAUCUCAUCAACACAAUGCAACUUCACAUAUAGCAGUUGAUGAUGUAGACCAAUUGUUGAUACUGAAGUUGAGUAUUGUGGUGGAAGGUAAUAUAUCAGGAUUGCUAUUAAACCUUUUUCUUUCUAUAAUGCAAAUAUGAUUUUUACUUCUAACGUUAUGAUCUCUUUUUUUAAUAGAUAGUUCAGGUUCACGUAAACACGAGGUUGUUACUCGUAUGUCCGACGUAUGGAAUUUGCCACCUGAAAUGCGCAUUUUUGUAAAGUUUAACAGCUUCUUCAGCCUGUUGAUACAGAAGGAGUGUUCUUCAUCGGUUUAUGGGCACUAUAGUCAGAAAGCCAAACUUGCUACCAAUUGAUUGCUUCAAUUGGCGGUAAAAUGGAUGCCAAAUAUAAGGAGUACUGUUGGAAGAUUCUUGAGGUAUUAAUUCAAUAAGUUUUCCUUAUUUCUUAAUUUAUUUUGAGUUAAAUAUUACCUAUAUAGAACUUUAAAGAGUGAUUUUUGGUUGCAGUCAAAAUUUUCAUUCCCUAAAGACCAAGAGAUUCGAGGACGGAGCGAAAUGAUUCAACGCAUCAUAAUGAAAAACUAGGAGAUCUUUGGAGAACUUUAAGUGUGAGCUGAAAUCAAAUAUUUUGAUGAAUCACUACAGAAAAAUGCCAUUUUUGAUGAAGGCACCGGCCUCGGUUAAUCGUGCACAAUUUAAUAACCGUUGUGAUUUUUGGUUCUCCAACGAAGGGAAGGUAUCCUAAUAUUUUCAUAAUUCACUUAUUACUUGUAAGAUACUAAUUUUUUUUUUAUGAAUAAGACUAUAGAAACUGGUGCUAUUAUAUAUUUUUUUUGCCCACGAUUGACUAGUUUGCUUGGUAUAUAUGUAGCUGUGAAAUUGUAUGAGAUUGCUAGCAAGUAUUUUAUGGCAUAACAUGGAUCAGCAAUAUAAUGUAUUUUUUUACAUUAUUGUAGGAACGAAGUAGAAAGAUCGACAUAACAGGAUCAGCAAAUGGACUUUUAUGCAGCUGGUUCAAAAUCGAUAGCGCAAUAUGCAUAUAAUAUGGUAUUUGAUAUCUUCUUUUAUCAAUUUUUUGGAUCCUGGUUCUUAACUAAAGUUGUUCUAAUAUAUUUGCACACAUUGUGUAGGAGAAAAAUGGAGUAGUUCCAACAAGAGGAAAGCUAUAUGUGGUGAUGCACAAAAAGAAAAAAAUGGAGAACCUGUUACAGAAUUAGCAAAAAACAAAAUUGUGAUGUUUUAUAUGACUCUGUAAUUAAAUUAAGUCAUAUUUUCUUAGCUAAUUUAUUAUAAUUGUUUUAUACUUUCUAUACUAUAGGAAAAGCUGGAGCACUCAACCAAAAAGAAGUAGAUGUCUCACAAACUGGUAGCUCAGGAGGAAGCUUAAUGUGGCGCAGCUACUGAUGCUUAUGCGAAGUGAUAGGCAAAGAACGGCAUGGCCGUGUUCGUGGUGUAGGAUUCGGCCAACUCUUCUAUGUUUGGUACCUCAUCAAUUAACACAUCUCAGCGGCUAAGGAUGGUUCCGGAAGAAGAAAUUUUAAGGGAUAAAGAGGAAAUACGUGAUCUUAAAGACAGAUUAAAAUUCAUAGAGGAAAAGUGGCAUUCCUUUUAUCCAACAAUCAAAUAUUUGUUCUUCACAGAGUUACGUAUCGUAAAUAUGUUAUUUUGUUAGCUUUUAAUCUUUUGAAUAAAGUCUUAUAUUCUUUUAUUAUAGGUUGAAAAGAUUGCUGAAGAUAUAAUUUUAGAGAGAUCAAGUGAUCAGGUAUUGUCAACUUGUCGAUUGAGAAUUAUAAUUUAAUUGAUUUGUUUGUGGUUGAUUCAAUUGAGGUGUUAGGUAAUAAUAAUAAUCAAAUUCGUAUUAUUGCAGAAAAUAGUAGAGAUGGCAGGUACAAUAUGUAUUUAUUCAGCAAGGAGUUCAAGCUACUGAGACUGCCCAACCUCGCAAGCGACGUCGCUAUCGUAUGAGUUUUUAUUAGUUAUAUUCAUUGCUAUCUUUGUUUUAAUCUAUUUCUUAUGUUGGUUAGACAUAAUAUUUUUUCUCACUUGUAUAGUAAAAAGUUAUGGACAAACUAAGUGUGGAGAUGAAAAUCAUCUAAAAUAACCAUAAACGGUAUGUUAUUUCACUACAAGAGUUAUCAUUAUAAUGCAUUGAAAAUUUUCAAUUUUAAAUAUAAACGAAUCAAACUAUUCUUUUGAAUUUAUUAUGUUUCGCAGCUUCUAUGUUGCAGGUUUUGGAGAAAGUACAUGUAUUUAGCUUGGGUGUUAGUACUGAUGACUGUAGGAGGACUUUAAAUUGAGUGCUAACUAAGGUAUGUUUGAUCCUAUCUCUUAUGCAAUGCCAUGUAAAACUUAAAAUAACUUAUAGCUCACUUUAGUAGUUUAAUUACUUAUCGGUUAAAUUUCAUCAUAUGCAUAUUUCAUCAUAGCUCACUUUAAUGGUUUAACCCUUCAUUGUCGUAUUCAUUGAUCUAUUGUACAAGUCGUAAAAACCAUUAACUAGAUCUGCCAUCAACUUGUGAUCAAGAAUCAAAAAAUAGUACUUUUAUUAUUGUACUCAAAUUUAAUUAUAAUAAGCCACUAUGAUUUCUGCAAAAUAUUCCUUUUUCUUCUCUAACUUGCUCUUUUGUUGAGCUGCUCUGGUUAUGCUUCUAGCUUGGUUAGCUUAAACCUAUUGAGUGUUCAUGCAUUGUCUUCUCUAACCUGAUACAAGUUGUUUGAUUGAAGUUGCCUCAUUUGGCUGUUUUCUUCAUAACCGUGAUAGUAGCUUUUUUCUCCUCCAUCUAAGAUUUCGUUCUCUUGAGCUUGUUGNNNNNNNNNNNNNNNNNNNNNNNNNUAUAUAUAAAUAUAUAUAAUACACCCACACAUAUAUAUAUAAAUAUUCAUAUAAUAUAUAUAUAUAGUAUAUAUACUAGCAUAUAUAAUAUCAUAUAUAUUACAUAUAUACUAUAUAUAUACAUACACAACAUAUAUAUAUAUAUAUAUACAUACGGCUCGGGUAGGGACCGAACUCGCACACACACACACACACACACACACACACACACACACACAUAUAAUAUAUAUAUAUAUAUAUAUAUAUUAUAUAUUAUAUACCAACCACCUACCACCAUUGUAAGGAUCGAAAUUUUUGCAGUGUAGCUAACUCUCAGUUGACCGGAUGUUUUUUGUGUGUAAUUUAAUUCACAAAAAGCUCGCUCCAAGUGUUCGGGCGACAAUCGAGUUAAAACGGAAAUUCUACCGCGAUUUCCAAGUUUCACUUAAAUGAAUAGUGAACUCGAUAUUUUCCGGAAACCGGCGGGUGUAGAAGUUGGUUCCCUGGCUCGUCACCGGACUCUGUUCAUAACAGUCCAAUAGCUCGUUUCGACCCGACACACACACACAUUUGGAGCUAAUGACGCUUGACGGAUUUUGAGUUGACCGGCACUGGGAUUUCGAAGAAAAAACCGAAAAAUACAUGUUUAUAUUAUUUAUGUUGUGUUUUCCUUCUAUUCGAAGAACGGUUGAUUUGUCGUGAAUCCGUGGUCGAUUUAGACGAAAACGAAAUCGCAGCUUUGUUGUCUCCCGAGGUGCCUGAUCGCACCGGUCAAUCCGUUCGCUGACAAUCGACGGACGGAUACUGGCGGAGAUGCAGCACAAAUAAAACCGUUGAUCGAGGAGGCGUCGGUAGUGGCAAAACGGGUAUUUUCCUGAAACAGGUCGGCGAUAUCUCUUAUGUACGGUUUCGCUGAGGGAAUCCGCAGUGGCAGGGCCCUUCACCAGCAUUUUCUAGUCGUCGGCUGAACAGGGCUCCGGCUUUGAAAUUUCGGUGUUUGGUGGACUUUUUUGCGAAGUUGCGCCUUGUAUAUAGUUGUUUCCUAGGGUUUUUCUCAACCUAACCCUAACCCUAGCUACCCUAAGUCGCCCCAGCCACCUUCACCCUUCCCCCUGCCCUUGCUGCACCAGCCCCGGCCAAGCCGCGGCUGACCCCCGCCGCCGCCAGAGCCAUCUCCCAUGCUUUCUUCCUCUCUUUUCUCUCGACCUCUCCCCUCAUCGGUUGUGUGAAGACCCCGGACGCGCCACCUCGGACGCUCCCCCGGGGUCACACCGUCUCCGGGUUCUCCCGCACCUGACCGGGUCGCGCGCGCCCUGUCGCCUGCGCCGCCGCAGCCGCUCCAGCGCCUGCAGCAGCCCAGCCGAGCCUGGCCGAGCCCGGUUUUGCUCGCAAAAAAACCGCCAGCGGCGCCGCCGCCGCCUGGGACCUUCGCGCGACACCCCGUGCCGGGCACCCUUCCUGCCGGCGCCGCCGGCCUCCCCGACGCGCCGCGCGCCGCUCGGCCGUAGCCGUGCCGCCCCAGACCAGCUGCGGUCCGAGUCAAGCCGGCCUCUCCCAUCCGCGUCGCCGCCGCCCUGGGCGCCCCUCGUGGCACCUCCCGCCCUGACAGUCGGCGCACCUCUGCCCCGAGCCGCCCCGAGCGCCGCUUGCCUGGUUGCCGCCGAGCCGCCGCACCUCCAAUCCGAGCCGAUGCCGAAGCCGUGUGCGGCCUCUAUUCCCCCGGCGCCGCACCUUGGCACCCGUGGCUAACUCCCCAGACUCGCUCAGCCGCUGCCGCCGUCCAGCUCCCCACGCCGCCGCCUCGUGGCCGCAUGGCAACUCCCUGGAACCCGAGCCCGAUCUCAGUGCGGGCUCGGUUUUGCUCGCGCCGCCGCCUGCCCUCGACGCUUCCAGCCGCCAUACUGAGGUGAGCACGGUGUUCCCUCACCUCCCCCCCUCACCCGUGCCCCUGGCGCUCGCCGGCCGCCCGUGCCGCGAGCGGCCGGCAGCAAGGCUGCUCCGCCAAGCCCGAAAUAGGACUUAAUAUGGGAUGGAUUUUGUGAUCUGACUCCAGCUUCCCGAUCUCUAGAAGAGCACCGAUGACUCCUGGCAAGUUGCUGAUCAUCGUGCUCACCUUGUUUCCUGUCGGGAGACUCCGUUCCGCUGUUUUGGCGAUGUCCGCUCCGUUUCAGCCUGCGGCAUUAUAAAUCCUGUUUGUGCUAUUAAGAUUGCCAAAAUCACUGGAUCUACCCCUUGGAUGCUUGAGCUGAUCGUAACUUAAUAUAGCAGAUUCUACUCUAAACCUUGUAUUAAUUGUGGAUGAAAUUGCUUUUAGUUGAUGUCUAAUUGACUAUUUCCAUAUGAUUAACACCUCAAUAAAGGUAACUUCCAUAGUUAGCAUAGUACUGUAUUGGAAUUCCUUAUGAACUGUUCAAAUCAUGUGGUUAACAGCUCAAUUUAUGGAUAACUUCCAUAGUUGGCUGAGUACUGUAUUGGAAUGUCACUCAAAUUAUUUUGUUUUUAGGCUUUAUUAUGCAAAUCAUAACAUUUUUAACGACGCAUUUAUGAAGUAAGCAGAUGUUUCUUUUUAUUCAAGGGCAAAAAAAAAAAAGGAAGAUAUUUGAUUGCUAAUGAAAUGUGUUUUAUUUUUUGCUAUAUGUUACUUAUGAUAGAUUUCUUGUUGGAAUAAGCUUAUACAUCUCAUAUGUUUUAAUUUUCUUUGUUUCAGAUUGAAGCAACAAGCAUGAUUUGAUGUUCGCAUUUGAAGAAUGUUUAGCUGGAGCUUUUCACUUUCCUUUUUCUUAACUUUCGAAUAUUUGGGGUUCAAAUAAAUUUUCUAUUGCAUUGAUUUCUAUUAGAAUGUAAAAACUUAUUUUGUUUGCAUUUUAUCACUACUCUAGAUCAUUGCUUAUUAUUUUGUUUCAAGAAUGAUUGUAUCAUCUUAUUGCAAUUUAGUAAUAUGACUCUUAUUUUUUUUUACGGAUGUUAUAGAUUGUUGGUUUUACAAUUAAUAUCAAAUGAAAAAGCCCUAUUGUAAUUUGUUGAUAUUAGUAUUUUUUUUCAUAUUAGUUUCAAAUUGCCAACGGUAAAAAACUGUCGGUACAUGCGCUUUACGCCAGUGUUUUUUUUGUAGUUUUAACGACGGUUUAAGAACUGUUGCUAGAGAUCAUUUUCACCAGUGGUUAGUAAAAGUGCUGGGAAAAGGUUAUACCAGCAAGGAUAUUGUAACGGUCACCUAGAUUUUUACCAGCAGUUUUAGAACUGCUGGAGCAAAUAUUACCAGCAGUUUUUGUAUUCUUUUCUAGCAGUUUUGACUGUUGGUAUAUGCCUAUUUUUUUGUAGUGUAUGUAUGUUCGGGAUAGUCUUUUUGUUUUGAUGUGUUACAAAAGGAUUAGCUACUAUGUGAUGGAUUGCUUUAUAUGAAAAUUUGAUACUUGAUGAUCAUUUGGUUAGUAUACUUUGUAGAUUAUAUUUUAUUGGUUUAUGUCUUAAUUUGUAUUCAAGUUUGAUAUUUAUUUGUUGAUUUGAAAUCAGUAACUUUGAUUUUUAAAAAUUCAGUAAUUAUAUGUAAAAUAUAUAUAAUUUGGAUGAUUAUUACAAUUUAGCAAAAUAUGUAUCGACGGUUUAAACCGCCGGUACAAAUAAUAUAAUUAAUUUUCACUUACAGAAUUUUAAGGUUAGCGGCGGUUUAAACCGCUGCUACCAAUUCUAAUUGAAAUACUAUCUGAGUAACAAGCAGCAUUUAAAACCGCCGGUACGGAACCGCCGCAACGUAUUUAUCUUACCCCGGUGGUCGUUGAAACCGCCACUACAAUGUAGAGACGGUGGUAUUCACAGCGCUCUACCGGCGGUUGGUGAACCGUCGCUGCGUUUUAUAAAGGCGGUUUAAACCGCCGGUAAAUCUCAUAUAAACCGUCGGCAAAUGUGUAUUUUACUGUGGUGGUGGUGACCAUCCCGAAGCAGUUAAACUACACCCUAUGUCUAAGUUUGCUAUUGAUCAGUUUUGCAUAUUGAGCAUGAUACAAUAUAGGGUACCUAGAUGGUUUUUUUUACAUGUUAUUGCAUUCUAGGGGUAGUGUAGUGUUGCUUGUUUAGCACUUGGACCUAGUAUGCAUGAUAUUGAGACGUAGUGAAUUGCAACCCUAUAAUGAGAUGGUAAUUGUGGAUAAGAACCGAGUAGUAGCUCUUAUAUGAUAAUGAGUGGUAUCUAGUAAAUGUUAAACACAAGAACGAGUGGCAUGAAAACCUUAGUGUAGUUGAAACACUAGGAGGUUGAGAAUUGGGAUUUCAUUGAUCCGUGAUAAUGCUAACCCUAGUUGGUAGGGUAUCCCCUGUUCACAAGGAUUGGAUUGUGCUCACAUAGCCUAUCUGUGCUUGCUGUGGUCGCUCCACACGAGCUGUGCACUCCAGAGUUUAGACACACGAGGGGCAGUCGUUGUGUGCUGCCUAGAUAGCCGCUAGCUGUCCGCAGGCGGUCUCGGGAGUAGUUAAGCAGUGAGACUCCUCCCCUAUGAGACUUAAAAACGUGAGAUUGAGGGCGAGCCUUUGGGUUAGCCAAGUGAUUGGGUAAUCUAAUGAAUGGCUUCAUUAUUGAACAUAGUAGUAUGGUAGCUAGCCUUUACUAUGAGUUGCAUGCAUUCAUUAUACUGGAUUAAGGCAUGAUAGAGUACUUGCACCUUUUCUUAUUGUUAUUGCUUUCAAGUUAUCUAUCUAUCUAUCUGCCUAUGCCUGCUUAGACCUAGUGGGGAGAUCGGCGGAGUCGGCGGCCAAACCUACUGAGAACUAUGGACAAUAGUUCUCACCUCACUUUGUUCCAGGGCCGAACUCGAGUACUCCCGGCGAGGAUCGUGGUAAGGGCUUAGCGCCCUAGAGGUUGUAGAUGCUUCCUUUUCGCAUUAGUAGUCACCCUAUAUACAUGCUUGAGAGUAGAUGAUGUAUAGGUGGUGAGAUAUUUGGAUGAAUGUAAACUUAUGUUUAUAUUUUGGAAGAAUGUAAAGUGAUCAAUGUAUUAAAGGCUGAAUGAAUGUAAUAGAUUAGUAUCUCUCUUUUAUUCACUUGUGUUCACUCGUGAUGCUUGUUCUUGGUUGUUUAGCACCGGUUGUGCUCUCGUUGUUGUUAUGAUCGUGUAUGUAUUCAAGUUGAAUUUCUGGGAACUUGUUGUACAUAAUCUCGUUGUUUGCCUUGGGCGGACAGGGGAGGUCCUGUCCAUUCGGCGUCUGUUCGACGCACCCGAACCGGACCAAAUUGGUAGCGGGUCUCGGGCCGUGACAGACCCAUAGCGAAUCACGAGGGAUUCUGCUUCCUUGGAGGACCGCCUUGUGCUGUUGGAGGACAUUAUCGCAAAAAUGGGUGAAAGGUACACCGAAAUGGCUGAUACUUUUAACUCAUUCAAUGAAGAUGACCACAGCAUGGAGGAAAGCGUAUCUACUGCCAUGAUGACCUUUUGAAGCGAACUCAAAAAGCUCUAAGGCAACAUGACUCGUCGUGAUAAGGAGCGAAAGAAACUGAUCAAGGAGCUUGUUACUCGAGUCGACGAGGUCGAGGACUUCAAGACGAGAGUAACGAUCUUUGAGAAAGCGGUGGCGCGUGGCCACGAACCCCAAAGAGAGUCCGCUUCGAAGGUACGUGUCCUUGAGCCUCAAAAUUUUAGGGGUACCCGCGAUGAGAAAGAGAUCGACAAUUUUUUGUGGCACAUGGAGCGCUACUUCAAGGUGUUGCGGCUGGACGACGAGGAGGAAAAAGUCCAGGCUGCAUCCAUGUACUUUGCUGACGACGCGAUGCUGUGGUGGUGUCGGCGUUCUGCAGAAGCCGAGAAAGGCCAAUGCAGCUUGAAGACGUGGGAGGACUUUGUGCGCGAGCUCAAGGCGCAGUUCUAGCCCGAGCACGUCGAGUACCUUGCGAGGAAGCAACUUCGACGGCUUAAACACACAGGGACGCUUAAGGAGUAUGUCAAGGAAUACUCUAAGUUGAUGCUGUCCAUCACUAAUAUGGCGGAGGAAGAUCGCUUAUUCUUCUUCCUCGACGGACUCCAACCUUGGGCAAACAAGGAGCUUGCAGGGCGCGACGUCAAAGACGUUGCCUCCGCAAUUGCCUUGGCGGAAAAACUGCUUGAGUGUGAUCGAGCGGAUUCAACUCGGAGCAAGGGGCUCAAAACGAGCAAGGCCAAAGGUGAAGGAGACCAUCGCGACCAAAAGAAGCGCAGGGGCCGCAAGAGAGGUCCUGUGCCACCGCCGAAGAACUUGACAUGCUACGUCUGCGGCGAGAACCAUUAGGCGAGGGACUGCCCAAACAAGAAGAAGCUGAAUGCAGUCCAGACCAAGCAGGGCGAGGGCAAUGCAGAACCGACGAAGAUGGGCGCGCUCAGGCUCGUCAACGCGGAUCAGGGGCUGGCAAGCAGUAGCAAGCCCCUCAACAAGGAGCUUAUGUACAUCAAUGCGACCCUUAACGGCAGGGCCACACGAGCAUUGGUGGACACGGGAGCCACUCACAACUUUGUUGCCGAAGUGUAGGCCAAACGGAUAGGUCUUCCCCUUGAGAAGGAUCCUAACAGGAUCAAGGCCGUCAACUCUGAGGCCCAACCUGUUGCGGGCGUGGCCAAGGGCGUGGCCAUUACGGUGGGACCUUGGAGAGGCACCGCAAACUUCACCGUUGCACCCAUCGACGACUUCCAAGUCAUACUAGGUAUGGACUUCUUGGCUUCGUCAAAGGCGGUUUCGAUGCCACACCUUGGGGCCUUAAGCAUCAUGGACGAGGCAGCCCCAUGCAUGGUCCUAGCGAGCAAGGAGAAAAUGGUAAGCACCCAGACCCUCUCUGCAUUGCAGUUGCGAAAGGGUGUGAACCGUGACGAGAUGACUUACCUUGCGGCCAUCCGCGAGGUGAGCGAUGAGGGCCUCGAUGAGGAGGGUCUUCCUGCGGAGAUUGGAGCAAUCUUGGCAGACUCCAGGAUGUCAUGCCAAAGGAGCUGCCGAAGCAACUUCCACCCAAGUAGGAGGUGGAUCAUGCCAUUGAGCUCGAGCAAGGGGGUUUUUUACCCAACUAGUCUCCUCCAAAACUUUUAUUCUAAAAAUAAGCCUAUGAAACUUUUAUUUACAAAAAUAGGCUCCAAACUCCCACGUGGGCAGUGAGUUGGCGGGGGAAGUUAAAAACGGUGAACCAUUUACCGCUUUCAAAUGAAUGCGGUAAAUGGUUCACCGCUUUCAUAAGGAUUUAAAAAUUCUAUGAAGGCGGUGAACCAUUCACCGCCUUCGUAGUAUUCCCCGCGAAGCUGAGAAAGCACUUAAAAACGGUGAAUCAUUUACCACUUUUAAAAGCGUUGAAUGGUUCACCGCUUUUAAAAGCGGUGAACCAUUCAUCGCCUUUAUAUGCGGUAAAUGGUUCACCGCAUUCAAGCUAUACUACAGCAAUGUAGCAGCAACUUUGCAUUUUUUCCACAUUAUACAAAAUAGUAAUAUUUUCAAGCAUUUCAAUUACAGCAAUAAAUACAUAAAAUCAUCUAUACCAACUUAAACCACACUUUAAGCAUAUAAAAUGAGCUAUACCAAUAUCGACACAUUUCAAUAUGAAUAAAUUUAGAUAAUACUCUAAAAAAUUAAUGUAGAAAGAUCUGAAAUAUCAAAUAUACAUAAGAAUCUCAAAAAUGAUAAAAAACAUCAAGUCCCCUCCAUUCCCCUUCUAUACUCUCACCCUCGUCCCCUGCCACGUCCACGUCCACGUCCGUAUCCACGACUGCGUCCUCAACUCCGUCCUCGAAUAUGUAUGUCAUGCUUCAUCUAAGGCUUCACAGGCUCAAUAACAUGCAUCUGAUCAAUAUGCUCGAUGGCGAUGCCCUCGACAAUCGGCUCCAUCUCUUGCUCAACAGCUAAUGGUAGUAUCCCUUCCUGCGUCUCAAUAUGACCCUAUCGUCGUCGCCUACGUCGAUAUACAACAUCAUUGCGAUGAACCUGUAGAGUAUGUCUCACCUUUAUCACGGCGCUUAACAAAAUAAUUGUUCACCUUAUAAAAUGUAGCGGCCACAAAUGCUGUGAUAGGUAAACCACGUACACCUUUAAGCACUCUAUUUAAACUCUCCGACUGAUUUGUCGUCAUUGUCCCAAAACGCCAUCCUCCAUCAAAUGCUCUCGCCCAAUAUUCCAUAUCUUUCAACUGCUCCUUAUGCUCAUAAUAUUCCUUUGCAGUUGCAGCACAUCCUAUGCUCGUAUAAAAUUUAUUGAGCACAUUUUUAUUUUUGAAACCGGCUUUUUUCAUGUUAGCCUUCAUAUGGCGGAGGCACCAACGGUGAGCAUGUCCCUCGCUUCUCGGAAACUCCUCCGCAACAAUCUCCUUUAACCCAGGAAAGCAAUCUGAAAUUAAACAAAUAGAUCGAUCAUGUGUCACUAAGACCUUUAAAUGUCGUAAAAACCAACGCAAACUAGCCGCAUUUUCUCCCUCAAAAAUAGCAAACGCCAAUGGGUAUAACCCAUUAUUGGCAUCUACACCAGCCGCAAUCAACGCAUGCCCUUGAUACUUUCUAUACAUAUGAGUUCCAUCAAUACUCAACAAUGGUCGACAAUAAGAAAACCCAUUAAUUGACGGCCCGAAUGCCCAAAAUACUCAUCCAAACUGCCUAACGCCAUUUGGUAGGAUUUAGGAUCAAGACACCAUUGAGUCCCGGGAUUCACGCGCUGUAGUAUAGAUAGGAAGCGACCAAGAUCGGUGUAUGACUCCUUCCAACCACCAUAAAUGAUCUGUAGUGCUUUACUUCUAGCCUGCCACGCUUUCGAAUAAGGUAUGUCUACAUGCAAUUCAUUACGCACCUUUUCUUUAAUUUUUGCCGAUGUCAAAGUAAGCUUUACCCUCAAUGAUGGGAGAAUAUGUCGACAUAUAAGAGAUGAAGUACAGUUUCGAUGUGCAGUGUUAAGCACCGGCACUCAACAUGUAUGUUGCCCGGUGUAUGUUUUAACUCUAAAAUAACUCACAUUCUUUAGUACCGAUGCAUGUAAUCUCCAAGGACAUGAAUCUACUCUGCAUUUAACCGUAUACGCCUUUGUCUUCGACUUUUUUACUUUCAUUUGCACGUUGUGAGCAAUAUGCCAUUCCCCAAGAGUGUGCAAUAAACUUGCUUUAUCACGAAAUACCCGACCAACCCAUAAGUCAUCAAUAGUAGGAGAGGGCUGUUCAAUCUGCAGACGAUCAAAUUCACCGUUAUCGACCACAUACUGGUCAAUUCAAUCGUCAUCUUCUACAAAUUGCUCUGGAUGAUCUAUGAACUCUCCACCUUCAUCCGGAUCAUCAACAUAUUAAUUAUUGAUAAUUGGAUCAUCACCCUCAGUAUAUAUGAUAUCUGCGAGGACCCCCAGUCCGCCAUCAUGAUCUGCAUCAUAGUAAUGACCUUCCGCCACAAUAUUCUCAUUUACGGCCAAAUUUGAAGGUUCAUGUUCAACACCCUCAUGAUCAGUAGCAUAACCGUCUUCAGCUACUUCUUGUUGCACUUCCGCCCGAUUUCCUAUACCGUUAUUUUCGGUUCCCAGUGGAUACGAUCCAAAGUCAUAGACAUCAUGAGAGGUAUGAAAUCUGCAAUUAUUUCGUAAUUAAUCACUUUCUAACUAAAUAAAAUAGUAAAUGAUUAUAUUAAUUCUAGCGUAUUGUAACCCUUCUUCACAUGAGACGCCUUGCUCUCUACCUAGUGAGGCAUGAGAACUAGAAGCUGAGGCAUGAUGAAUAGUACGUGGGAGGGGAGGAGGAUCACCAAUAACUAUAUUUGAAAAUUCGUACUCCCUACAAUUGAUGGAAGAAGGUAAUAUAAACAUUUGUUAUAUUAAAAUAAUUAUACAAAAUUCAUAUUUUGCAAUACUAACCUAGGUGCAUUUGCUCCUCCUCCGAUAUCAGCACGAAAAGGUUCUCUUUUGGGGGACAGGGGAUAAUAUAUCCACAUUAAUGUCACAAUUUAACAUUCUAGAAUAAUACCCCUGAGAUAAAACCAUAUGUUUUUCAAUGAAAAUUAUCAAACACGGAGGGUUUUCCGACAAUGCCAUCGCACCACACAGUGAGUCAUCGUCCAUAACUUCAACCACAUCGAAUUGAUUCAUUCCGGUCGAAUAUCGGAUUUUGAUAAUUAGACGAUACUCAUCUCUCGGAGUAUCGGUUAAUCUAUAUAUUUUUCUCUCGAAUUCUGUAAAUACAAUAUCCACUGGAAUACCACUUAAUUUCUUACGACCACCAACGUACUUUGGAUUGUUAUCGUGCGCCAAUAUUUCUCCAUUCCAAUGAACAACAAUAGCCACAUUACUACGCGUCAUCCUAACUUAAACAAAAUAUAAAAUUUGUAAACAAAUAUAAUCAUACCAAUAUUUGAGAUAAAGUGCAAAUUUUACUAUUUCUACACUCUCGAUGAGAUGGACCCAAAAUUUAUAUUAAAAAAUUUGGUAUACAAGUAGCAUUUCUCUUUCUUUUUUCUUAAGGGUUUAGGGUUUAGGGAUUUUAUCUAGUAUAUUUUUUAAAAACCAAUUAGAGAUUUUAUCUAAUUUAUUAAUAAUAUUAUCAAAUUUAAUAAAUUUAAUUAUUUUUAAAUAAACACAACUAAGUUAAUUAAUAGUUAAUAACAAACAAAUUGAGUGUUUAAAUCUGAUAAAAUUUUAAAUAUCAAUAAACUAACCUAAUGAAGCAAUGUAGAACUAACCUAAUGGAGCAAUGUCAAAAUAACUACAACUUUUUCAAUGUGAAAGUUGAGGAAUCAAUGUCAAAGUUGAGGAAAAGUUGAGGAAUCAACUCUACUUAGGAGAAACAAUGUAGAACUAACCUAAUGGAACAAUGUCAAAAUAAGUAACCUAAUGAAGCAAUGUCAAAAUAACUAACCUAAUGGAAUAAUGUAGAAGGAAUGCUUAGAAGAGAGGGCAUGGCAACAGCACAGGUGGGCACCGGCAAUGGCUGCAGCGACGGCGACGGCGGCGUCGGCGUCGGCGUCAGCGUCGGACUCGUUGGGUCGGAGUGAGGGAGACAGAGAGGAGUGAGUGAGAGUGAGGGAGGCAGUGUAGGAGACAGAGAGAGCUCGGGCGGGGCCAGUCAGGGAGAAAGGAAAAGGGUUCGGGCAGGGUUAGGGUAUAUCGACUAAAUGCGGUGCGGUGAACCAUUUACCGCAUAUAAAUGCAGUAAUCCAUUUACCACAUUCAUGCGGUGAACCAUUCACCGUAUUUAAAAGCGGUGAACCAUUCCCCACUUUUAAAUGCGAUAAAUAGUUAACCGCAUUAUGAAUGCGGUAAACCAUUUACCGCAUUCUUUGUUUUUACCACGCGGUGCACCUAGAUCCACAAAUGCGGUGAAUGGUUCACCGCUAUAUAUGCAUUAUGAAUGCGGUGAACCAUUCACCGCAUACAUGCAUUAUCCCAAACCCGCGCUGACCUGGCCUAUUUGAAGGCUAUUUUUACAAUAAAUUUUUAAGGAGGCCUAUUUUUAUAAAUAAAAUUUUUGGAAAGCCUAUUUAUAAAAAAAAUUCCAAGCCAGGAGCCAAAUCGCCAGCGAAAGCGCCAUAUAGAUGGCCCCGCCAAAGCUUGAGGAACUGCAAAAGCAGUUGAAGGAGCUCCUCGAUGUAGGCUUCAUUCGACCGUCGAAAGCAUCUUACGGAGCACCAGUUUUGUUCCAGCGGAAGAGCGACGGAAGCCUGCGGCUUUGUAUCGAUUACAGAGCGCUCAACAGGGUAACGGUAAAAAACAAGUACCAUAUUUCUUUGGUUGCAGAUCUCUUCGACCAAUUGGGCAGAGUGAAGUACUUCACCAAACUCGACCUUCGCUCUGGGUAUUAUCAAGUGCGGAUUGCGGAAGGAGACGAGGAGAAGACCACGUGUGUGACGAGGUACGGGGCCUAUGAGUUCCUUGUCAUGUUGUUCGGCUUGACGAACGCGCCAGCGACCUUCUGUACACUUAUGAACAAGUUGUUCCAUCCCUAUCUCGAUCGCUUUGUGGUGGUGUACUUCGACGACAUCGUGGUAUACAGCAACACCUUGGAGGAGCACAUCGAGCACUUGCGAACCGUCUUCCAAGUGCUGCGGGAGAACAAGCUGUUCGUCAAGAAGGAGAAGUGCAUAUUCGCGAAGGAAGAGGUGCACUUCCUUGGCCACUAGAUAGGCCGGGACCUGAUUCGCAUCGACUAGCGGAAGGUGCGAGCUAUCUGCGAAUAGGAGACCCGAACGACGGUGUCCGAGUUGCGGUCUUUCCUUGGGCUCGUCAACUAUUACCGCCGCUUCAUUGCGGGCUACUCUACGAGAGCAGCCCCGUUGACGGAUCUGCUGAAGAAAAACCACUCGUGGGUUUGGACCUUUCAAUGCGCGGAGGCAUUCGAGGACCUAAAGUGAGCGGUGACGAAGGAUCCAGUGCUGCGACUACCCGACUGCAGUCGCACCUUUGAGAUACAUACUGAUGCCUCUAACUUUGCCAUUGGCGGUGUUCUCGUGCAAGAUGGGCACCCCAUCGCUUAUGAGAGCCGCAAGUUCAACAACACCGAGCGGCGUUAUACAGUCCAGCAGAAGGAAAUGAUCGCUGUGGUGCAUUGUUUGCGAACCUGACGACACUAUUUGCUUGGAAGCAAGUUUGUGGUGCGCACCGACAACGUUGCCACGAGCUACUUCGAAUCGCAAAAGAAGCCGUCGCCUAAGCAGGCGAGGUGGCAGGACUUCUUGGCGGAGUUCAACCAUAGUUAGUUAAUUCGAAUUCGGCAAAAAUUCGGUACGGGUAUAAUUCGGAUAAAAUUCGUCUUUUAAUUUUUAAAUUCGUUGAAAAAUACGGCUAAAAAACGGAUUCGAUAAUUAUUCGGAUACGUGAUUUAUACGGAUAUUAUACGUCCACCAAUUAAAAAUUCGGCAUCAAAAAUUCGGCUAUAUAAUAAAUAUAUAAUAAUUAAUAUACUAUAUAUAUUAUUAUUAUAAUUUUUAUAUAUAGAUUAAAUAUAUUCAUAUAUUAAUAAUAAAAAUAUAUUAAUAAUACAUAAAAUUUAUAUAUUUAAAAUAUUAAUAAAUAAUUAAAAAUUUAUAAAUAAAAUAUUAUAUAAAUAUUUUUAUAUAAAAAUAAAAUAAUAUAUAAAAAGAGCGGCGACGAAGUGUCGGGCUGGGUUCUACGCCUGGAUUGGCCUGUGAGUGAACUGAAUCCGCCUCCGCCUCGGAUGCGGAUCCGGUCUGGAGAAGCUACAGAGAGGAAGUGCAAACCCAAGACCCGAACAGGGCAUUUCCAUAGUUCACCCCUUGGAUGCGGAUCCGGUAACGCUACAGUGAGGGAGCGCGAACCCAAAACCCGAACAAGCUUCUUCUUCACAAAACUCGCCGCCGUCAUUACUCCUCUUUGCCAUGGAUCUUCUCUUGUCUUCCUCUGGUUCCUUCACCUUAUCCUACUCCUACGCUUCCCACUCAGGUCAUGGUAGCACCAUGACAAUCCCUUCCCCUCAACGCGAGCGGCGACGAGAGCGGCGACGACGAGAGCGGUGACGACGCAACCGCGAUCGCCGGAUUUUUGGGCGAAUUAUUCGCGAAUCGCGAAUAAUUCGCGAAUAAUUAUUUUUGAUGAAAAAAUCGCGAUUUUUUUCGUACUUUUCGGAAAAAUACGAAAACCACCGUUUAAUUCGUAUCUUAAAAAAUACGCGAAUAAUUCGCGUAUUAAUCGCGAAUUAACUAACUAAGAGUUCAACAUGAAGAUUCAAUAUAAGCUCGGGAAGGAAACCGCGUGGCUGAUGCUCUCAGCCACAAGGCUGAACUUGCAGCCGUGUUGCAGCUUCACGAGACACUUCGCGAUCGACUUCGUUCAGGAACCAACGAGGACCCUAUCACUCAAAAUCUAGUGCAGCUUGUCAAUGAGGGCAAAAUGCGAAGGUUUUGGCUGAGCAACGAGCUGCUUCUUACCAAGGGGCGACGGGUGUACGUGCCCAAGUGGGGCAACCUUCGCCGCGAGCUCAUCAAGGAGUGCCAUGACUCCAAAUGGGCGGGCCACCCAGGUCAGAAGCGAACCCUGGUGUUGCUCGAGGUCGCCUACUUUUGGCCGCGGAUGCACAAAGACGUGGAGGCCUACGUGCGAACUUGCUUGGUGUGUCAACAAGACAAAGUUGAGCACCAGCGACCUCGCGGACUCCUCGAGUCAUUACCUGUGCCUAGCCGUCCAUAGGAGAGCAUUUCUAUGGACUUCAUCUUUGCCUUGCCAAAGGUGGGGGUGCUUGGGUCCAUUCUAGUGGUGGUUGAUCAUUUUUCCAAGUACGGGACCUUCAUUGUAGCGUCGGCCGAUUGUACUGCUGAAGAAACGGCACGCCUCUUCGUUAGCCACAUCGUCAAACUUUGGGGGAUCCCCACGAGCAUCGUGAGCGACCGCAACCCCAGGUUCACUGGCAAGUUUUGGACCGAGGUGUUCAAAAUCUUGUGGUCAGAGUUGCUCUUCUCCACCAGUUGGCAUAUACAGACCGACGAGCAAACAGAGCGAGUGAAUGCUCUAUUGGAGGAGUACUUGCGGCACUAUGUGAGUGCCAAUCAGAAGGAUUUGGUACAUCAUCUCGAUGUCGUCCAGUUUGCUUACAACUUGCGGCGCAGCGAGUCUACAGGCUGUAGCCCCUUCGAGUUGGCGAUCGGACGGCAACCACUUGCCCCUCAUACGACCGCUGUGGGAGAGCAGUUCCACAGCCCAGUUGCUCUUCAGUUUACUACUAACUUGCAGGAAAAGGGUGAAAUUGCUAGGGCAAACUUGGAGAAAGCCUCACGACGGAUGAAGAAGUGAGGUGACGAAAAGCGACAGCCUCGUGAGUUUGCCGAGGGUGAUCGCGUGAUGGUCAAGCUUCAUCCGCAGCAAUUCAAAGCCUUGCGGAAGGUGCACAAGGGACUGCUGUGCGAGUAUGAAGGCCCAUUUACUGUCGUCAAGAGUGUUGGCAGGGGGCCUACAAGCUGCAGUUACCCGCGAACCUCAAGAUCCACCCCGUCUUUCAUGUCAGCAGGUUGAAGCUGUACAACGAAGAUGCGGAGAAUCCGAGCCGAGGAGUGUCGCAGCGAGCACCUGCGACUAUGGUGACUUCGUUCGACAAAGAAGCGGAGUCCAUCCUGGACACUCGACUCAUUCGGCGAUGUGGAGUUACGCCGAAUCCUGAGUACUUGGUGAAGUGGAAGAAUCUCCCCUUCGGCGAGGCAAGUUGGGAGAAAGCGGAUACACUUUGGCAGUACCAAGCGCUCAUCGACGAGUUCCAGAAGCAGCGCGCGAUGAGCACGCCUGCGCAUUAGGUGGAGGAGGGUGUCAGGGACUUAGAAAAAUUUCUAUGCAGCUCGGUCCCAGGCCCAAAUCUGCUUAGCGAGUUCGGGUUGGAAACGGGUUGAAUCAGGUUAUCAAGGAGACCCAAACCCAACCCACUGUGGAAAACUUAAGGGUUAUGAAACUCAUAAGAGUUAUGGGUGACUCUUGAGCUUUUGGCUAUUAUGAGGGCUCAUUAUGUAUGCAAUAGUGGGUGAGUUAUGUGGCUAGUGGGUGAGUUAUGAGGGCUCAUUAGGCCUAUAAAUAGUGGGGUUGGCUAAGGCCAAGACACACAAGAGAGAGUGUGUUGUAUGCUGUAAUCUCUUUUUCUAAGCAGUGUAGUACUUAGUUUUUUUUUUAGAGAACCUCUGUCUCUUUCUCUUGUUAUUUUUCCUUUGCAUACUUAGUCGUAGGACGCGAAGGUCCGGACUACCAACAGAGACAAAGGCUUGUCCAUCUUCGAGCAGGAAAGGUAGGCGUCGCACGGGCUUUGCGAAUGAAAACGCUAAGUCCGUGACACACCGCUCAAAAUGUUUAAGCCGGGUUAAGACUUUUAGCUCAAUUAUAUCUUAUAUAUAAAACUACUUGGGGUCUCACAGCUCCCACACCCAUUGCAGGACCUUGCCACUCAUUCAUCGGCUCGUAGGGGCCCGAAAUUAAGGGCAACUUCCAACCUCUCGGCCACAACCCUCUAGACUCCUAUAAUUCCUGUAAUUUUAUUCUUUCAUAUUAUUUAUUUAAUAUAAAAUUUUAUAUUUUUAGCAUUUGACUACCAUUGUCGCAUUCACGUUUGUUGUGCCACUGUCUUCGUCACCGAGGAGUAUCAGAUUCACUUAAUUUAAGAAAGCUAUUCAAAUUCAGUUCUACCGGUAUAUAUUAUUUUGGUUGUAUUUUUAUAAUUCAAGAUUUAGGGUUAGGGUUUAGAAGUUGCUACUUCUAUACCACAGUCACACACGCACAUACUGUUUAUAGAUCAUACAUAUGAUAAAAUUUUGUUCGAUUUAAGAUGAAAAACAUGUAUUUAUUAUAAAUAUACAGUAUUACAGCAUAACAGAACAGUGCUGUAAGGUUUCAAAUUUUGUUGUUUGAAUGUGGAAUAUAUAUUCAUUGCAAAUGUACACUUUAUUGGUAGAAUAGUGCUAGAAAUCCACCGGUACAUGCUAUUUUAUUUAUAUUUAUAUAAUUUAUAAUUUAGAAAUAGGGUUUAGAAAUUUCUACUUGUAUACUGCAGUCAUACAAACACUGUCACGCCCCAAAACCGCUACCAAUUUGAUCCUGUUCGGGUACGUUGAAUAGAUGCCGAACUGACAGCACCUCCCCUGUCCGCCCAAGGCUAAACAACCUAAUCAUGUACAAGAAUUUGCCCAGGAGAAGAAAUUCAAUACAUACAUGAUCAACUAGAAGCACACAAGUGUGAUACAACUAAGAGCAAGAACCACAAGUGUAUAUACAAGUGUAAUAAAGAGAGAUGCAACUAGCUAUUACAACUAUUUAACAUUUACAUAAUUGAUUACAUUACAUUUCCAUCUUCCAAAAUGUAAUACAUGGUCAUCUCCAAAAUACAUGGGUAGCUCUCCAACAACUAUCAAAAUAUACAUCAUCUAGUACACGAGAGUACUCUAUAUGCAUGUAGGAAAGCUACUAACUAACUAAGGGCGCUAUGCCCUUGCCGCGGUCCUCGCCCGGUGUACUGGUACUCGGCCCUGCAACAACGUGGGGUGAGAACUAUAUAAAUAUAGUUUCCAGUGAGUUCGGCCGCCGACUCUGCCGAUCUUCCCACUAGGUCUAAGCAGGCAUAAGCAGAUAGAUAGAUAGAUAGGUAGAAAUGUAAACUGCAACUAUUCUACCAUGCCUUCAAUGCGAUGCCAUGUAUGAAAUAAUCAUAAUGCAACAGUAUACUAUCAUGCUAGUAUGAUGUCAAAAGUAUGUAUAUGUAACAUAGCAAUACAAUCUACAAUAUACACUAUGUUUACUCAAGGUAAGAAUGCAAUUCUACUAUGCUAUUCAUGUUCAUUACACAAUUUACCUAGCUAACCCGUAAGUUAAGUCCUCGACUCAGUUUCAAUCUCAUAGGUGAGGAGAAACUGUACUCGCACACCGAGACCGUUUGCGGGACAACUACAUCUGCCCCUAGGUGAAGUACUCCGGAGACCACUGCUUCGGUGGAGCGACCACCGACAAGCGAAACAGACUGGUCCAAUCCUCACAAGAGGAUACCCUAUCUACUAGGGUCAUAGUGCCUCUGCUGCAUAAUCACAAUGCAUAAUCAAAUGCCGGGACUUCUACCAUCCCUAAGUUCAUGUCAUGUUUACUACACUAGACUCAAUGCCACUCGUUUGAUCAUUUGUAGUAAGUUUUCUAGUUAGUUGACAUGCUACUCGCUCAUGUUUAGUGUUUCUACUACACUAGUUCAAUGCCACUCAUCUAGGCUGUAACAUACCGAACUUCUAAAACUUUUAAGUUACGGUGUACAUUUGGUUGAAAAGCCAUUUGAAUAGUCCCGGUGGAGUUCGGUAAAGUUCUGGAGCAAUCGGGCGUUUCGGUGCGCGUAGGUGCGAAAACGGAACCCGAAAGGCUAUUUUUGACCAUGGACUAAAUCCAGCAUUAGCGUGGAUGAAAAGAUGAUGAAAACAUGCUUGAAAACAUAUUUGGCGAGUUUCGGUUCGAUUUGAAACGAAUCGGAUGUCAAACGAGCGAAAACGAGAGAAAACAGAGCGAAAACGGUGAAAAUGCUGAAAAAUUGGCUAAGUCCUAAAAAAAGGCUGUGUACCAGUGACAGGAUUUCGUGUACCGGUACGCAGUGUAAAAUCCGAGAAGAUGGCCCUCGGGUUUGGCUGUUGCGCGAGUCGUGUACCGGUGACACCAGCCCGUGUACCGGUACGCGGGGGACCCGACAGCACAAUGAAGUCUACUGCAAAUAAAAAUAGUUGGGGGGCUUAUUUGCAAUUGUGGCACACCCCAUAUGUUCCCAAACACCCCUUCACAGCAGCAAACACCUCUCUCCUUUAUUUCUUCUCUCUUUCUCUCUUUAAAAGCUCUCCACCAAAGCUUAAAGAGAAGGAGAAGAAGGUCUUGAAGGUGGAUUUUGAGGGUUUUGGAGGAUCAAGAGCUCUCCUUCAUGGUGGACUUGGAAGAGCUUAGGCUAAGGUGAGUUAUUUCGCAAGAAUACUUCUAGGGUUUAGAUUUAUAUCCUAAGAUUUAGUGUUUUGGACUUCUUGUAAGACUAGAACCUCUCUAGAGGCUUGAGCUCCAUGAAAAUCUAUGGAAGCUUAGGGUGCUCUCAUGGUGAUCACCUAGGGUUUGUGUUAGAUGCCUUAGGGUUGGUCCAAUUAGGUUGGAGAUGAUAUUAGAGAGCUUCUUGGGUGGUUCUAAGCUUGAUUAUGCUUAGCAACAAGAUCAAUCCCAAGAAAUCUCAUUAUGGCAUUGUCAGGGCACCAAAUUUGGAGCUUUUGCCUCCGGAUGUUUCCGAGGUAAAUUGACCUUGUAGAACCCAAUUGGGAGUAUAACGAACGCGUUGGUGCGCUCGGUUCGACAAUUCGACGAGUGUACGUGAAGUUAUUGACGAAACGGUCUGUUUUGGUACAGAUAGCCGCAGCACGCGGGAUAGACGCCCAAAAAUCAUGAAAAUGGAUCUGGAGCAUCGUGGUAACGGGGAAUAAACUCCCGAACAGACGGAUCACGGAUUGGUGGCCGUUCGGGUGGUCGCACAAGAGUUCGGGCCAAACCGGGUCACGGGUGCCACGGGAGGCCGAUUGCAAGUGACUACAAGCAAUCGGAACGCGUUAAAAGGUGGGUUGUGCUCACCGAAGCGACUAGGUCGCCUAUAUGUCUAAGUGUAAUGGUUUUCUAAUUGAUGCAUAUAGUUGAUGUUAUUUACUGUCGUGAUAAAAUGCAUAAUGACAUAUAAUGUGUUAAAUGCUAGAUGAAUGCAUGAGUUAAUUGUCACAUGAAUGCAUGAAAUUAAUGUUAUACUAAUAUGUUAGAGGUAAUAUGCAUGUUAAUAAAUUAUGGAACAUGUUGGAUGGCAUAUGAAUGGUUGGUAUAUAUAUGUAGACAUAUUGUGGAAUAUGAUGAAUGAGUGCAUGUUGAUUUAUUGUAGAAUAUACUAGAUGAAUGUAUACUGACAUAUUGUGGAUUAUGUUAAAUGACACAUGUAUGUUGAACUUGGGUCGAUAAACUCUAGGUGAAUUAGAGAACUCGAUAUUGGAAAACAAUGACAUAUGAACUAUGAUAUGUGACGUGGACAAUCUAUAUAUAUUAGAUCGAGUGGCAUAUGAUUAGUAUAGUGGAAACAUUUAUGGCAUGUUGAACACUUAGAAAACAAGUGUGUCAUGAAUCCGAGAAUAUAGUAGUGCAUAUGACACAAGUGAUAGUAAAGAAUGUAAAGAAAAGAAUGAUUGAAAUAUUAUGACAUUUCAACCCUAGAGUUAGGGUCAUUUGAGUAUAGUCUUCCUAAAGUUAAGGAAUGGAUUGAACUUGACAUCCUCAAGAUUUUGGAUUUGAUCAUUAAUCAUACUCACCUUUAGUCCUUGCUCGAGGUUGUGGUAGCUCCCCCUCGGGCGAUGUGUUCCGGAGUCGACAUCACUGGGUUGUAACGGUUAUCUCCCCAGAGGACGGUCCCACCGGGUUGUAGCGGGUAUGUCACGCCCCGGGACCGAUACCAAUUUGGCCCGACCCGAGCACGUCAAACAGACGCCGAACGGACAGAGUUUCCCCUAUCCGCCCAAGGCUCAUCACAUGUACAUUUUCAUCAAUAGAGAAAAGCACUAGCGGAAACAUACACAAACGGCUUACACGAGGGUAAGCAAUUGCCACGAGUGAAAGAAAGGAAAACUAAACAUUCGCUUGUACUGUGAUUCAAUUUAGAUCAUAUACAUACAUCCAACUUGUAAUUUUUUUUGAAUUUCUUACAUUUCGUUUCAUCAUUUCUUUCGUACAUCACAUUUACCACAAAAUACACAUUACAUUCUCUUCUUUACAUCAUUUAUCAUCAUGUACAAAAGAUGAUCAUAGGGUACUUUACUACAAAAUGAAACCCAACUUUGGUGGCCUCUUACUAAGGCGCGAUACCUUUACCUCGGUCGCUCGCCGGCUCGCUCGGUCCCGGCUCUGUGGAAAUAGUGGGGUGAGAACUACAACAAAGUUCCCAGUGGGUUCGGCCUCAACAUCACCGACUUUCCCACUAGGACUAACUCAGGCAUAAUAGAAAGGGUAAACUGAAAUAGAGUAACCAAUCUACAUCAUGAUGCUAAUAUGCCUGAACAAUAAGCAAGGAAUAUGCUCAACAUUAACAUAUGCAGAUUAUGCAAGUUCUUUGUUCUUUGCACUUUACUCUUUGUUCUUUGUUCUUUGUUCUUUGCACUUUGUUUUUUGCUCUUUGUUCUUUAAUCUCAAGGCUAACCCGGGGGUUUCGCCACAUUAACUUGCUUCACAUUAAGUCCAUCAUCGCAAGAACUCACCCGCUAGGACCGUCCUUCGGGUUUACUCCAACCCGUGAUGCAUAACUCCGGAGCGCAUCGCCCGAAGGGGAGCGACCGCCCUCGAGCACGGAACUCAUAGCAAGUAUGAUCAUAUCCUUAACUCAAAGGAUUUAUAAGUUCAAUCUUGACUUUACACUAGCUCUAGUGUUCAUUACAUCACUUUUUGUUGCCACUCUAGCAAUCAUUGUUCUUUACCAUUCAUUACUCUUGCUAUCUCUAGCAAUUAUAUUCUUUACAUUCUUUACUUUUGGCCACCUCUAGCACUUCAUGUUCUUUACUCCCCACAUUACUUUAACUUUAAACAUUGUCAUUUUCAUCAUUCUUUACAUUGCUUUGGUUCUUUGGCUCACACUAACUCUAGUGUCACUUUACUUUACGUUUUCAAAUGCCACUCGAUUUAUGUCAUUGUCUCACUCUGUUCUUUUGCUCACUUUGGGUGCUCACUUUUCUCUCAUGCAUACACAUAGGGUUUCCGACAUCACAUAGUUCUCAUUCAUCAUAUUAUGCAAGUUGUACUCACAAUCAUGCAUCAUUACGUUUUCAUCAUUACUUUACCCUGAAAUGCAUGCAACAAUAUAUAUACAUAUGCUCAAAUGAAUGACACAUUAGGCAUAGAGAGAAGUUCAAUGAGUUUGAGAAGCACCACCCACCUCGUAGGCUUUCAAAGGUGCUCCGAUGAUUUUCUUGGGAUUUUUAGACGCUUCGUUCUUUACCUGCGGCAUAACGAAGCCAAAUUAGGCUUAUUUGGCCAUAACUUUACAUACACUUUUGGUAAUGCUAUUCCGAGCGCACCAACGCGUCAGAAAUACCCCCAAUUAGGUUUCUAAAGGGUUAAUUGCACUUAGAAAUCCCUAUGAGCAAAAGCCUCAAUUUGGGUGCCCUAGCUCCAUAGCAUACAUCAAACCUAGGGUUUGAUCUUAUUGGGAAGCAAAAGUAGCUUCAAUAUACUCUAAAGAGUUCAUCUAAACCAUUCCUAGCUCAUUCCAAAUCCUAGUUUGGAUUUCACCAUUAGAGGUGUUGAAGCUCACCUUCAAGCUUCAUCUCUAUACCAAACCAUGGUUUUGAUCUCAAAAGAAGCAAAAAGAAAGCUUCAAAGACUCUAAAUACUCCAUAAAAACCAUCUCUAGGUCACAUUGCUCCCAUUUUAGGGUUUUAGCAUGAUUAGGGUUAAAGCUUACCUCAUAAGCUCUCCUUUUCCAAGCUAGAGAGGAAGAAGAUGAAGUUGCUUCACCUCUUGAUCUUCUUCUUCACCUUCUUUUCCUUCUUUUCUUUUUUUCUUCUUCUUCUCCUUUGCCUUCUAGAGAGAGAGAGGGAGAGAAGAGAGUGUGAGAGGGUGAGGAAAUGAGAGAAAUAUCUCAUUUGCCCUCAUACAUAGCUAUUGGGUUGCAUAAUUGCUAAUAAACCCCUCAACUUUCACUUUAAUGCACUGCCCGAACUAGGCUGAUCGCGCAGGCAGGGACCGGUCUCUCCUUCAGGGACCGGUUCCCGAAGGCUCUCCCCGCGCAGCCAGAGCUGCUGCACGCAGGGCAACCGGUCUCCCUUUGGGGGACCGGUCUCUCGGGGACCGGUCUCUCGGACAGGGACCGGUUCCCGAGAGCUACUUUCUCAGGACUUAGCCGAUUUUUCGGCUGUCUCAUUUCAUACGUGUUCGGGAACCGGUCUCUCCCACCAGGGACCGGUCCCCGAGAGCUGAAAAUCUACAGUUUUGCAGAAUUUGAUUCUUUAGCUCUCGAAAACCUUCCACAACGCACUUUUGAUCGUUUUAACACCUUCGGAUUUUCCGAAGUGUACCAUCCUCGCACUUUGGUCAACUUGACUAAAGUUCGAUAUUUAUUUUCCGAAUUUUCGGUAUAUUACAGAGUAUCUCCCCGGUUAAUGGGAUUUUGGGUUGGUGAGUUUGUUGAGGGCGAAACCUUCGGGUUAGCCAAGUGAUUGGGUAAUAAACUUAUGAGCUAUAGUGAUGUCCUAGUUGAGGGGAUUUAAGGCCGAGGUGCAAGUGAGACGUCCUUCGCCUCGGGCCUGGCUUUGUGCGGUACUCCGCAGACGAUUGACUCAAGACCGAGUCGGGCGGUUAGCUUUGUAACGAUAGAUGAAACUUUAUGAUUAAAAUGGUAAAUGACAGAAAACCUUAAAUGUCAAUUGGAUGAAAGUAGUAAUCGAUUGAAUUACUAGUUGAUUGUAUAGUCGCAUCAUUGCAUGAUCUUCAUAUUGCAUUUGUGAGGCAAUGCAUGGUUUUAUUCGUUGCAUAAUCAAGAUAUAUAUCUAUCUGUUUAUUGAACUAACUUGCAGUUGCCUCCCCUGGACCUAUUGGUCGAGCUUUUCCCUUGGGUGGCCUACUCACUGGGAACCAUGGAGUUGGUUCUCACCCUACAUGGUUUUGGGGUGUUACAGGUUCACACGUGAGCGGCGCGGCGGCGCGAGGCGAGGGCGUAGCAUCAUAGUUAGUGCCCUACCACCGAGACCAGAGAUAGCGGUACCCUGAGUCGGCUUUGCUUAGGGUUGUAGAAAAUGAAAAGAAUCAAGUUGUAAUAAUCAUGUUAAAUCGGAUUGUAUUUUGAAGUUGAAUGUAAUAAGUAUUUGGGAUGUAAAAUGUAUGAAUGUGAAUGCUUGUAAUAACAAGUAGAUUAUGUUUUUGAUACUUCCUUAUGCAAUCUUUGAUUGAAAUGUGUUCCUUGUUGGAACUUUGUACAUUGUAUUGAUUGCGACGCCUUGAAUGUACAGGGGAGACUCUGUCCGUGGUACAGGGGAAAUCCUGUCCGUUCGGCGGUCUGUCGGCGUGCCCGAAACUGACCAAAUAGGCGGGCUCGGGGCGUGACAGAUAAGAUGGUAUCAGAGCAUAAAAAGAACAUAAAAAGAACAAUAGAAAAUGGUUUAGUUGGACCUAGGAGACCCUAGGAUAGUAAACCAUAGGAGAUUAAGGCUCGUGAGAGACGAGGACUUGUGACUUUUGGCGAAAGGUUAGUUGAUUGGGUUGUGUCGUAAACCUCUAAAACGGAUGUUAGAGGUAGAUUCAAGGUGUGGUUUAUUCUCAACCAAUGGUGUUCGUGUUGGGCGCGCACAACAUGAAACCGAGUGAUGAGAAUAGACGCCCUUGCAUGACUUUCGCCCGAUUUGAGUCGGUAAUAAGUGUCUCGUGUUCGACCUAGAAGGUCGAGGAUUAAUAGAGUUGUUGCGUUUUAGGAAACGACAGCACUGCGUAGGCGAUCUUUGUUUAGAUCGGCGCUGGAUGGACCAAGUGGUGUCCCUUGGCAAUUUGAGACGAGCGGAGACUUGAGACUUCGCGAGCGAUUGGCCACUCUCGUGUGUGUGGCGGGGUAAUGAGCCGAAUUAGUGCAGUGUUAGCAGAAGGCUGCCAUAUACCGGGAGGAGCGAGUUAAGAGACUCCAAGAGUUGGGGGAUCAGUAGUGACCGCACCAGUUCCGGCUGGUUAAGUACGGCCGGGAGUCGCGACGAAGGUGUGGUGGACAGGUGUCGAGUGGGAUUGACUGCCUGGUCUCCCUCAUGUGGUUUGGGACGAGUUUCGGGGAUCGUAUUCCCUGUUUACUCCCCUGAUGAUGGAAAAGAAAGCUUCAGGAAAGGUUCUCGAAGCUGCGGCAGGUAGACCGCGCCAUGAGGGAAUACGAGCGGGAAUUCUCCCGUGUCGUGAAUUGCAUCCUGGACAUAGAGCGAGAUAAUGAGAACGAAACUCCUUUUAGGAGGGGAGAAUGUAACGUACCGAAAUUUCGGUAAAUAAACAUCAAACUUUAGUCAAAUUGACCAAAGUGCGUUGAGAGAAAUAGUUGGAUAAAGUCCAAUUGACAUUCCGACGAUGUUGGAAGGAUAAAAAUUGGGCUCUAAAAGAGUUAGAAUGGUUUUAGCAUCGAUCGGUGCGAGUUGGAGUCGAAAACAAGCUAAAACUACGUUCUUGAGGAAAGUGUACCGGUACAUGUUGAUGGUUGUACCGGUACAGCAAGUGGCCCGAGAAAAGCAUUGCUCUCGGGUUUGAGUUUUCGCAGAAGUGUACCGGUACACCCCUGGUUUGUACCGGUACCCUUUGGUAAAAUCUGAGGAGGUUGCUCUCGGGUUUGCCUCUGCACAGCUUUGUACCGGUACAAAAGCCCGUGUACCGGUACACGAUUGGUCAGGCAGCAGAUUGAGAUCUGCUGCAAAUGAGAAAUGUUGGGGGGGGGUUUAAAUGCAGUCGUGGCUGUUUGUAUAAACCCCACACCUCUUCUUUCCUUGUUCACAACAAGGAGUACCCCUUCAACUUCGUGUUCUUCCUUCUCUCACUCUUCAGGAGCUUUUCUAAAGAGGAGGAUUAGAGAAGGUUUGAGGAUUAGGCCUUGUGGAUAGAACAAGGCAGUGCAAUUGUGCGAGGGGAGCGUGAGUCCAAUUGCAAGGAAAAGGGAAAUAGAACGGCCAACGAGUGGAUUUGAUGGUCCGUCAAGUUUUCAAGUGAGUGCAAUGUGUUCGCGCUCGUGAUUCCGAGUUCCGGGGACCUACUGUGUUCGGUCCUUAGUGAGACGUGUCGUUUGUGGGUGUUUUCGUUACCCACAGUAUUGCGAGCUGUGAGAGGGCAAGUGCUACAGGUGUGGGCAACCGGGAUGUGCGCGGGACGAGUGUCCGCAAGGUGACAGCCGGGGCCUGACACUGGCGACAACCCAUUCUCUCUAGGAUGGCCUGCAGGUGUGCCAUCUGCGGCAUGGUCGGGAGAGAGGGCGUUGAGGACAAUGCAACCUAAAGGUUCGCGGUGAGCGCCGGGUGGCCGUAGAUACGCGACCUAGGUUGAGGACCCUGCUGCUGACGACGUCGUUGCAGGUAUGAGUUAAUGAUGCAAACAUAUGUUUUCCAUGAAGUAAAGUUGAUGCAUUGCAUGCAAUGGUUAUGUGGUUAAUUACUAUUAUCGUGCACGAGCAUAGUUGAGACCGAGUGGAUGGGUAAGCAUAGAUGCCCGGGCGUGCUCGUGUUGUGAGGGUGUAGCGGUUAUCUCCCCAGAGGACGGUCCCUCCGGGUUGUAGCAGGUAUCUCCUCGGUUAAUGGGAUUUUGGGUUGGUGAGUUUGUUGAGGGCGAAACCUUCGGGUUAGCCAAGUGAUUGGGUAAUAAAUCUAUGAGCUAUAGUGAUGUCCUAGUUGAGGGGAUUUAAGGCCGAGGUGCAAGUGAGACGUCCUUCGCCUCGGGCCUGGCUUUGUGCGGUACUCCGCAGACGAUUGACUCAAGACCGAGUUGGGCGGUUAGCUUUGUAACGAUAGAUGAAACUUUAUGAUUAAAAUAGUAAAUGACAGAAAACCUUAAAUGUCAAUUGGAUGAAAGUAGUAAUCGAUUGAAUUACUAGUUGAUUGUAUAGUCGCAUCAUUGCAUGAUCUUCAUAUUGCAUUCGUGAGGCAAUGCAUGGUUUUAUUCGUUGCAUAAUCAAGAUAUAUAUCUAUCUGUUUAUUGAACUAACUUGCAGUUGCCUCCCUUGGACCUAUUGGUCGAGCUUUUCCCUUAGGCGGCCGUACCCACUGGGAACCAUGGAGUUGGUUCUCACCCCACGUGGUUUUGGGGUGUUACAGGUUCACACGUGAGCGGCGCGGCGGCGCGAGGCGAGGGCGUAGCAUCAUAGUUAGCGCCCUACCACCGAGACCAGAGAUAGCGGUACCCUGAGUCGGCUUUGCUUAGGGUUGUAGAAAAUGAAAAGAAUCAAGUUGUAAUAAUCAUGUUAAAUCGGAUUGUAUUUUGAAGUUGAAUGUAAUAAGUAUUUGGGAUGUAAAAUGUAUGAAUGUGAAUGCUUGUAAUAACAAGUAGAUUAUGUUUUUGAUACUUCCUUAUGCAAUCUUUGAUUGAAAUGUGUUCCUUGUUGGAACUUUGUACAUUGUAUUGAUUGCGACGCCUUGAAUGUACAGGGGAGACUCUGUCCGUGGUACAGGAAAAACCCUGUCCGUUCGGCGGUCUGUCGGCGUGCCCGAAACCGACCAAAUAGGCGGGCUCGGGGCGUGACAUAGGCUAUACAUGUCCAAGUUCACCUCAUUAUGCCACUAUAGGAUUCUAUGUCACAAGACCCAAUCCUCAUGCGUCCCUAGUCCAUGUGUCAAGCCUUCGAUGCUACACUACUAAGAAAGCAUGCAAGGAAUUAGAAUUGCAACUAUCUACUAUCCUAUAUGUUAAGUUUUGUGUGUUGACAAGUUUCGUGAAGUGAGUCAGAGUCUUGAAGAAUCGGUGAGUGUCGUCGAAGAUUGAAGAAUUCAAGAUUUCGAAGAAUUUGGAAAGUAGCUCACAAUGUGAAUCACGACGUAAAGGUAAUGUGUUAAUUCAUGUUAUGGUGAUUCAUACUUAGUUAUAGGCAUUAAAAUCAUUGUUAUCAAUGUUUAGCUGAUUAGAAAGUGCUUCGGAACUCUGCGGAACCCGAAACAGUGCAAAGUGUGAAAAUUGAAUUGUGUACCGGUACAGCCAUUGCCCCGUACCGGUACAGCCAUCAACUUUGGCUUCGCAAAUUUUUGUUCUGUCAUUGUGUAACCGGUGACAACCUUUCGUGUACCGGUACACUGUGUAAAAUCGUGAAAACUUUCUAAUCCGACUCUAUUUGAUUCUAAAGUCUAUAAAUAAGCUAUUGGCGUUCUCUAACUGAUCAAGCAUCACGAAAAUACAUGUUUGAGAAACCCUAGAGGCUCGGAUUUCAUCUAAAACCUAUUUUCUACAUACUAGCCUCUUUUAGGUCAAAUCGAGAUUUUGGAUUUUGAUAUCAAUAUGCCGAUUUGAUUUUCGCUUCGCUUAGAGAUCUAUUUUCUGGUUUUCAUUGAUACUCUAAGCGAAGGAUCACCAUACACAUGAUGUUCUUCAUGGUGGCGUCGUGGAUUCGGCGUGACUGACGGCGGUUCGUGGAUUCGGAUCGUGGGCUCGUGGAUUUGAGUGACGUUCGUUGAUUCGGACGUGUGCGAGGCGUUCGUGGAUUCGAACGUGAGGGCGUGGCCAACCCAGAGGAUUGCGCGAGAUUCAUAGAAGGUUAAGAGAGGUUGAGUCCGUGGAGUCGGUAAUCACCUUGUAAUCUUUUCUCUUAGUGAAUUAUUUUUUCGCGUGUUGGUCCCAUGCGUUUUUCUCCAAGUUGGAGUUUUCCUACGUAAAUCUCGGUGUAAUUUUUAUUUUCCGCAUUUAUUUUUUAUCGCAUUGAGAUUUGUGGUUUUUGGCUAUUAUACCUAUUAACCCCCCUCUAGGUGUUAGAUACAAUCUAGAUAGAUCCUUGGGCUCCUCAAAACUUUCAAUUAGUAUCAGAUCGGGAUCUAGAUGAAUUGUUAUCUAAUGGCCGAAGGCGGAAACAUUAAUCGAUCACCGCUCUUCGAUGGCACAAACUAUGCCUAUUGGAAAGUUCGCAUGAGAGCUUUUCUAAUUGCAAUCGAUGAGCGCGUUUGGCAAUCAAUCGAAUUUGAAUGGAAACAUCCUAUUGAAAAGAUCGAGAAUGUUGAAACGCCAAAACCACGGAACAAGUAGACGAAAGAUGAAAAUAAGGCAUCUUCGUUUAACGGCAAUUGCAUAAACGCUUUAUUUAAUGCAUUGUCUCAAACGGAGUUUACUCGUGUUUCGGCGUGUGAUACCGCCAAGGAGAUUUGGGAUACUCUACAAGUUACGCAUGAAGGAACAAGCUUAGUAAAGGUCCAAAAAUUACAAAUGCUAACAAGCAAGUUUGAUUCUAUUUGUAUGGAUGAAAACAAGACCUUUACCGAGUACUAUACGCGUCUACAAGACGUUGUUAAUACAUGCGCUAACUUGGGAGAGAAAAUCUCGAAUUCAAAAGUUGUUAGAAAGAUUCUUCGAACUCUUCCGGAACGCUUUCGGGCAAAAGUUGCCGCGAUCGAAACCGUUAAGCAUCCGGACGAGAUGAAAGUCGAAGAGUUAGUAGGUGCUUUACAAACGUAUGAGAUGACUUUUCCUACUAAUCAAUCUUCUUCCAAGUCUUUCUCUAAAAGCACAGGGGUUGCGUUAAAGUCGACGAAGGAGGAAGAUGAGGAUUCAAAUUUCGAUGAAGAUAUAUCGCUUGCUGAUUUCGAACAUCAACUUGCACUAUUAAAGAAGAAGUUUCGUCGAAAUUUUUGGAAAAAGCACAAGUUUGACAAGGCUACAUUGUCUAAGCAACAAACGUUUUCUAAGUCUUCAUCUUCUAAUAAGAAGAAGCGUGCAAAGGCUUCAAAAGAAAAGGAUGUAUUUGAAGGCAAGAUCCGAUGCUACAAGUGCAACGGAUUGUCCUUCAAAGAAAUCGUAUACUAAGAAGUCAUUGCAAGCGAAGAUGUGGGAUGAUACGACUUCAAGUGAAUCAAGCUCAAGUGACGAAGAAAAGAAUGGAAAUCUUGCUUUAUUUGCUAAAUCUACCUUGCCUUCGUCUAACAUUGUGUGUUUAUCCUCUAUUAUAUCUAGUUCCAAUAUGUCUACUUCUUCGCAUGUGUCUUCUAGUGAUAACGACGAAAGCGAGGAGGAAUCAAACAACGAGGAUAUAGCAGAAGCAUACAAUCAACUUAUUGAAUCAAAGAAGAUGGCUAAACUUAAUAAGAAGUUGAGGCGUCGUUUUGUUGAAUCUCGAAGAGGAUAGCAACAACUUGAAGACCACGAACAAAGCACUCGAGGAGGAAAGGGAACAAAUUUUGAAAAAUAAUUCGGACCUCCAAGAGAAGCUUAAUGAAGCGGAAUCAACAAUCAAAUCCUCUAAAGACAAGAUUGGAUUUUUGGAGCAUCAAUUUGAGAAAACCUACACAUUCAAUCAAUCCUUGACCAACCAAGUUUGACAACUCAAAUCCGACAUACAAAAGUUCUCAUCGGGAUCGAAGAAAUUAGACCAUAUGCUCGGGUUGGGUCAAACGGAUAAGUUAGGCCUCGGAUACGAAAGAGUUUUUGUUGAGAAGGGUUCUAAAUCAACUUCGAAAGUCUCAACAACUUUGAAAGACAAAGCGUGUCAUCGAUGUGGCGUCAAAGGACACAUCAAAAGGAAUUGCCCAAACAAAGAAAAGAUAAAUCAAUCAGCAAGGUCUUCACAUCGAUCAACAACUUCUAAACUCCAAGCAAAUCGAUUUUCUUAUGUGCAACACCAAAUCUGACCGAACCCAAAAGCUAAUCGGAUUUCUAAACCUCAACGACAAAUUCAACCAAAGCCUCAAGCGAAGAAACCACCAACGGUUGAUAAAAAAUCUAAGCAAACGGCACCAAACGUCGACAAGCCGAGAAAACCAAAGAUCCGACAAGUUUGGAUCCGGAAAGGUGAUAUCUUUCCUUGCUUCUCGUCUUAGUUGUUUUUGAUUUCUUGUGUAGUGCUUUGAUAGGUGCUUAUUGCAUAUUUUUAUUCAUUGCAUUACAUGUUUAGAUGAUUUUUUGGUGUUUUGAAUUUUAUUUGUUUAAAAAUCAUUUUGAGGAAAGGUGUUUAGGAAUUCAAAAUUUUUGAGAAAGGAGUGAUUGAGAAUCAUUAUUUUGAGGAGAGAAAUUUUUCAAAGUCGCUUAAACGGUAUUUAACUUCACAAUCAUUUUAAGUUAAAUUCAUAUUAAUUAUCAUUUUUACUCCACUUUUUAUUAUUCUGACGAUAAUUUAAUAUAUGAUUUCUUAAUACAUAUAUUCAUCAAAAUUUUGAAAUCAAAUUUGAUCUCUUAGUGAUUAAUCUAUCUCGGUUGUGUGUGUUGAAUAUGAUAGAUAGAUAUUCGCUAAUAGACUAAAAUUUGUCAAAAUAUUUUCAAUUGUGAGAUUGUCUAAUUUAGAGGGAGUUAGAAAUUAAAAAAAAAACUCCUAUGUUUAAAAAGAUGUGGAAAGAGUUACAUCCAAAAGGAGUGUGAAAACUACCACCACAUGUAGGAAAGAGCUGCCACCCCGGUCGUCCGGCAAGUGUGUGAAGCUACCACAUGAAGAUUGAGUUGAAUAACCGAAAAGGUUGAGAAAAAUUUGAAUAUUUUAUAAUUUUCGGAGUAAUAAGGUGUUAGUUUGAAAAAGAUGCUCAAAGAGCCACCUCCGGUAUCAUAUUAGUUAAAUCUCUAUUUUGAACGGAUUGUGACAAAUUAGUGUCAAUUUUGCCGAAUUUCUAAAAAUCAUUCUUCGUGAACCGUUACAUCUUGAUGAUUUUGAAACUUGAGGUCAUUUUUGAUAAUGAAAUUUUGAUGUUUCGAUGUAUUUUGAAAUCUUAUAAUAUUUUAUUCUCAUUAUAGUGAUUUUUUGAGUAAAAUCCUUAAUUUAUAUAAAAUUAAUUUAAUUUGAUGGAUUUUUAAAGUAAAUUUUUUGAAAUCUAGGAUCGUGUACCGGUACACAAACCCGUACCGGUACGGUUACUGUAGCAGCGGCUUAUAUAACCGGAUAUAGGAUUUUAUUUCUUCCUCAAAUCAAAACCAAAUCUCUUUCUCUUUGUUUCUACGACUCCCUGGGAUCCUCCUCCUCCAGAUCCACGAAAUUUCCCCCCGAAUCUGUAAGUUUUUUGUUGGGAUUUCAUGAUUUCAUCUCGUUUUUGCAUAUUUUUCGAAAAAUUUCGAGUUCAUGCUCAGAUCUCUGUUUUUGAUCGUUUUUUAUGCAAUUUUUUGUUGUAGAUCAGUGUUUAAUGACAUUAUCUUACUUCUAAAACACUUGAAUCAUAUCAAAACACAUUAUUUUUCGCUGAUCUAUAUUCUAAGUUUCAUUUUGCAUGUAAUUUCGGAAUUUUUGAUAAAAUGUCAUUUUUGAUGAAAAUUUUUUUCAUGAUCUGGUUGAAAAUAGCAUUAGUAUGCAUUCUAAUGUUAUUAGAAAUUUUUUCACUAUUUUUACAGAUUUUUUCAAAAUUUUGUUCAUGCAAGGUUAAUUUUUGUAUAGAAAAAAUGACGUUUCACUUGUGUUGAUGAUUUUGGUGCUGAUGGCCGCAAAACGUGGUCGAGGUGGUGGUAGAGGUCGUCAUGGGGCCUCUAAGAGGACACGUAUAAUGGAAGAAGCGUUCGGAUCUGAUCCGGAUUAUCAGGCAAGCUCCCCGGAAGAGGCUGAAGAACCUAUUGCUCGUCUUGACAAGGGCAAAGGUAUAGCUGGCGAAUCCUCGCGUGGCGGUGGUUCUCGUGCAAGAGAAACUUGGUCGAAGCAUGCCGCGGAUGUUCCCCCAGAGCGACGGAGGAUGUUCAUGAGCAAGUUUUGUAUUGCAGAGCGUUAUGUCAACUUCAAUCAUCUUAUACAUGACGUUCCUGACUUUGGGCGGUUACUUCAGCGGGUUCCUAUUGAGCCAGUUGGUAGGGUUCCUGCUCGAGCUCCUUUUUAUGUGGAACUCAUUCGUGAGUUCUAUAUGAAUGGGAAGGUACUUGCAGAAGAUGAGGAGACCGGGACUUUUCUAUUUGAGACAUUCGUGCAUCAGCAGAAGGUUGUCGUUACCCAAUAUACUAUUGGAGAGCUUUUGGGGAUGAAUGUGGACACUACGGGUCUUCUUUAUACAUCAGGAGGAUUUCAAUCAUCAUCUCACUGGGAUACAGUUGUAGCAGCUAUCUGCAAAGCUGGAGUGCAGACUAAUCGUGCUUAUGUAGAGUCCAAGGAUUUGCGACCAGAGUAUCAUCUACUGUCCUUGGUCUUGAGCUACAAUGUGCAACCAACGAUUGGAACAAAAAGGAUUCGUUGGGAUCGUUUGCUUUUACUGCAUCUACUUGGUCACCCGGAGCAAGCAUAUGGAUUGAACAUCAACAUUCCAUUUCUGAUGUAGCAGCGGAUGGUUCAUGACAUUCAGGCUUCUGCCCGACGGGAUCUACUUCCAUUUCCUCUUUUGAUCACGAGGAUUUUGCAGGACAAUGGAGUGGAUGUUUCUUGCGAGAAGUAUGAUUUUGGUCUUGGUCCAAUCGAUGCUGUUACCUGGGCCAAGUCGGUUAGCACGCUAAAGACUUUUUAGAAAACAAAAGGACCAUCGCUAACAGCUCCUAGCCAGGCACCUCCACCACGCGCAGAGCGUGAAGGAUCUUCCAGUUCAGGGGGAGAAUCACUUCGCUAUGAAGUGCAAUCUUUAAAGAAGAAAGUGCAGAUCUUGCUAGGAAGGUGGAAGUAGGUAUGAAGAGGAUGAUGGACAAAUUGGGAUGUAGACAUGAUGAUAUUUUUCCUACUCAGCCUGUCUAUACGAGGUAUACUUCGCGACAUCCUCUUAUUCCUCCACCUACUGGAGCUUCGGAUGCGGGAGGUUCUGGAGCUGGCGCUGGAGCUGACGAUGAUGACGACGAGGACACGAAGUGAUUUCUUCUUCGAGCUUGGUCUUUCUACUUCACUGUGUUUGCUGUUUAGGAAAAUGUUUUAGUUUAGUUUUGCUUGCUUAUCUUUCUUUGGUAUGUUUUUGCUUUUGUUUUAGACCUGUAACUAUGACUUGACUAUUCUUUUGCGUCUUAGUGUAUUUCCUAUCUAUAUGCUUUCUUUUGGUAAUUUUUGACAAAAAGGGGGAGAUCAUAAGAAGAACAGGUAUUGAUCAAAGCAGAGCAAUGGAGAGGGUGAUGAACAAAGGGAGAGAAGAAGCGUAAAUUGUAAGAAUGUCCAGGUUUGAACUUUCUAUAUCUUUUUGGAUAAAUUGUGUUGCAGGACAUCAAGACUUCAAGACUCCUAGUUGCGUCUAAGUCAUAGAGUCUGUUUUAGGAGUUUUGAUGUACAUUUGCAUUUCAUAUUGUAUUUGGAUCACAUGUGAGGAGUUCAAUGUUUUGGUGAUGACAAUAGAACUUCUAUUUUUUUAAAAUUGUAAUUUUUGAGUUUGUGUGAGUUUUGUCACGAAAUUGCCAAAGGGGAAGAUUGUUAAGUCUUGUGUGUUGGCAAGUUUCGUGAAGUGAGUCGGAGUCUUGAAGAAUCGGUGAGUGUCGUCGAAGAUUGAAGAAUUCAAGAUUUCGAAGAAUUUGGAAAGUAGCUCACAAUGUGAAUCACGACGUAAAGGUAAUGUGUUAAUUCAUGUUAUGGUGAUUCAUACUUAGUUAUAGGCAUUAGAAUCAUUGUUAUCAAUGUUUAGCUGAUUAGAAAGUGCUUCGGAACUCUGCGGAACCCGAAACAGUGAAAAGUGUGAAAAUUGCAUUGUGUACCGGUACAGCGAUUGCCCCGUACCGGUACAGCCAUCAACUUUGGCUUCGCAAAUUUUUGUUUCGUCAUUGUGUAAUCGGUUACAGCCUUUCGUGUACCGGUACACUGUGUAAAAUCAUGAAAACCUUCUAAUCCGACUCUGUUUGAUUCUAAAGUCUAUAAAUAAGCUAUUGGGGUUCUCUAACUGAUCAAGCAUCACGAAAAUACAUGUUUGAAAAACCCUAGAGGCUCGGAUUUUAUCUAAAACCUAUUUUUUACAUACUAGCCUCUUUUAGGUCAAAUCGAGAUUUUGAAUUUUGAUAUCAAUAUGUCGAUUUGAUCUUCACUUCGCUUGGCGAUCUAUUUCUUGGUUUUCAUCAAUGCUCUAAGCGAAGGAUCACCAUACAUAUGAUGUUCUUCAUGGUGGCGUCGUGGAUUUGGCGUGACUGACGGCGGUUCGUGGAUUCGGAUCGUGGGCUCGUGGAUUUGAGUGGCGUUCGUGGAUUCGGACGUGUGCGAGGCGUUCGUGGAUUCGAACGUGAGGGUGUUGACAACCCGGAGGAUUGCGCGAGAUUCAUAGGAGGUUAAGGGAGGUUGAGUCCGUGGAGUCGGUAAUUACCUUGUAAUAUUUUCUCUUAGUGAAUUAUUUUUUCGCGUGUUGGUACCGUGGGUUUUUCUCCAAGUUGGAGUUUUUCCACGUAAAUCUCGGUGUGAUUUUUAUUUUCCGUAUUUAUUUUUUAUCGCAUUGAGAUUUGUGGUUUUUGGCUAUUACACCUAUUCACCCCCCCUCUAGGUAUUAGAUAUAAUCUAGAUAGAUCCUUGGGCUCCUCAAAACUUUCACUAUAAUGCAUAAUAUCCAUAUAUGAUCAAUAUAAAGAACUUAGACAUAAAAAAAAGCUCAGUUGCUUCGGGAUGGACACCCCCACCUUUUGGUGAUGUCUUGAAGCUACGAAUCCGUUUCCAAAAUUUUUGGAAGCUUACGGCGCGAGCUGCGGCAAUCUGUACCUCUACGGCUUAUUUCCUCAAAAUUUUAAUGUACGCUCGUCAUUUCGCCAAACCAAGCGCACCAAUGCGUCAGAAUACCUACCAAUUAGAUUAGAGAAGGGUUAAUUAAGAUCAAAACCCUCUAUGAACAAAAGCCCUCUUUUGGAUGCCCUAAAAGCCUUAAUAUUGCAAUAGCCCCAUACUAGCAUUUAUUCUUGCAAUUAGUGAGUUCAUCUACUACUAGAGGUCCAUUAGAGUCCAUCUAGGUAGGUUCUAAGAGAUCAAAGCAAACCCUAAGCUACUUGCCAUGAGAGAGGGUUGAAGCUUACCUCUACUAGCUAGACUAAAGAGAGGAAGAAGAGAUGAGGAAGAUGGUAGCUUUCCUCUUGAUCUCCUUCUCCUUCUUCUUCUCCUUUCCUUCUUCCUUUCCUUCUUCUCCUUCUUCUAUUCCUAGAGAGAGAAAGAGAGGUGUGUGUGUGUAUGAGAGUGUUGGAGGGAAUGAGAGAAAGAGAGAGGGGAAAUGCCCACUUAACCCCUCUCAUGCAAUAUUUGCACUUAGCCCCCUCCACUUUGCCUCUUGUGCACUGCCCAAACUGGGCAGAUUUCGCAUGCGGGGAUCAGUCCCUCUAUGGGAGGACCGGUCCCCAAGAGCUGCCUCACACGCAGAGCCCUCGGGCCAGCCCUCUCACGCGCACGGGGACCAGUCUCUCCCGCCAGGGACCGGUCCCCGAGAGCCGAACUCUCAGGACUUAGCUGAUUUUUUCCUCUUUUCGCUGGCCACGCGUACGGGGACCGGUAUGUCUCACCAGGGAACGGUCCCCGAGAGCAAUACUUGUGCGUAGAGUUUUUCUGCAGCCGACAAUGCUUACGGGGACCGGUCUCUCCCCCCAGGGACCGGUCCCCGAGAGCCGAACUCUCAGGACUUAGCUGAUUUUUUCCUCUUUUCGCUGGCCACGCGUACGGGGACCGGUAUGUCUCACCAGGGAACGGUCCCCGAGAGCAAUACUUGUGCGUAGAGUUUUUCUGCAGCCGACAAUGCUUACGGGGACCGGUCUCUCCCCCCAGGGACCGGUCCCCGAGAGCAGAAUCUGCCAAAUGCAGAUUUUCAUCAAUUUGCUCUCCGUGGUCCAACUUCAAUGCACUUUUGGUGCUUUUGACUUCUUCGGCUUUUCCGAAGCAUACGAACACGACCCUUGGUCGAUUUUAAACGAAGGCCAACUCUCGUAUUUCGAGAAUUCACUUUCUUACACACACACACGAUUUAUACAUGACGCAUAUGAUUAAGUUUUGUUCAUUUGAAUAGAAAACAUGUAUUUAUUACAAAUAUACACUCUUAUGGAUUAGUAGAAUGGUGCUAUAAGAUUUUUAGGAGCUGCUUUUCUACAUCGCAUGAAACAGAAUAUAUUACAUGUACUCUCCUAUAAAUAAUUAUUUUGUUUAUAUUCGUAGAAUUCAUAAUUUAGGGUUAGGGUUUAGAAAUUGGUACUUGAUAACAGCGUAAUUACUGGCAAACUUAUCGCGCACCGGGUGUUCGAUGAUUAACAACAAUGACCCUAUUUGCGUCAUUGUUGUCCCGGACGUGUGGGUCUUUGCAUGUAUGAUUCAAACUUGAUGCUCGAGGUCCAGGAUCCCUCAAUCGGGAUUUAAUGGUGAUCAGCUUGUAAAUGAUGGUUUAGGUGUGCAAUAUAGGUGAUUUUUGGCUCCGUUUUCACGAAAUGGAUUUUUGUUGCUGGUUGCAGUGGUUGGGUAGCCUCGUUGGCUCAUUGGGAAGUCACUGGUGUGAAACACGGACCAACGAUAGACCCUAGGUGGGUUCCGACACCAAAAUCAGCAUUUUUGGGUACCCGAUAAGGCGAGUUUUGGCGAUUUCGCAUUCGGAUCGCACCACUCAGCGUGCGGCUCUCCCAACACCCAAAAGUGAGUGUUUUGGGAUAGCGAGAAUGGUAGAAUAAAUUUCAGAGUGUUCAGAACACUUUAGGACUAAUCCGAAUCCCAAAAUAUGAAAAUGGAGUGGUUCAGGUGAGGUUUCUUGUUGCGCGGGUUGCUGCUGUUUGCAGCCGAGUAGGAGCCUUAUUGGCUGGUUUUUGUAAUGUACCGAGUCCUUGACGCGUAAACCAAACUUUAGUUGAAAUUGACCAAAGUGUGGUAUUGGACGCUUCGAAAAGGUCCGUUGAGCGUUCCGAACGCUCAGAAUGACUUAUAAGGGUAUAUGGGACCUUGGAGAGCAUUGUGGAAAAUUUUUAGGAAUUUCGUGCUAAAAAUGCUCUCGGAGUCGGAACCCUGGCUAUAGGGUCCGGACCCCGUACGCGAAGAAUGACAAGUUGAGUUGGGAUGUCGUUUGUGUAAGGGGUUAAGUGCAAGUGUGCAAUAGGAGAGUAUAUGGAUGGGUUUUAAACUCAUCUUUCUCAUUUCCCCUCACACUUCGAACCUAAGAGAAAAGCCUUUUUCUCUCUAAAUCUCUCUCUCUCUCUCCUAGGGUUUGCUCCAAGAGGUGGAGUUGGUGGAGGAGAGCUUGCUUGGUGGUGAAGCUAUCAUCUUUUCCACCCUAGGCUUGAGAAGAAGCUUGAGUUAAGGUAAGCCUCAUGGAUUUUUUUUAGGGUUUUGGAGUUAAGGUUUUGUAUAAUCCCUUAGAUGUGAGUUCUAAUGGAGCCCUAGAUGAAUCUAAACAAUGUUAUAGUAGAAACUACCAUGAGAUUUGGAAUUUUAUGCCGUAUGAGGAUUUUUAGGGUUUUCAAGAAAGCAUUUGAUCAUGAUGGGAUUUGAUCUAAAUUUAGCCUAUGUAAACCUAAUUGAAGGUAAAACUGACAUGGUGGGCAACUCAAAUCGGAGUUCCUACGGGCGUGCCGCGAGUUAUUGAAGAAAAGUACGGUUUUUAGUUUGUUUGUGUUGGGUCGAGCCGAAACGACGUCCAUAAAUAGUGAGGCUUGGAUUCUCGCACCUCGGCAUAGUAGAGAGGUGGGGGGUGCUAUCCGAAACAAUCGAAUUUCAUUUUAUGUCUAUGUCAUCAUAUUGGCAAUGUAUAUACAUGUGUAGGAUUCAUGCACUGUAGAGUAGUUUGUAUUGGUUAUUCCAUUCCUUUCAUGCUCUCAUGGUAAAUGUAGAAAAUAUGAUAUGGAACAUAGUGGGUUAUGUGCAUGAGGAUUGGAUUGAGAACAAGAACUCUAUAAUGCUAUGACAUUGAAACAUAAUGACAUAAAAAUGUGUCAUUUGGAUAGUAUAUUGAGAACACUCAUGACAUAAGGAUAAGGAUUGAUAUCUCCCCUGGCAUUUGUUACCACUAGUUGGUAGGGUAUCCUCGAGAUAGAGGAUUGGAUCAUACUCACAUUUCGUCUGUUCGCUUGGCGGUUGUCACUCCACCCAAGUAGUGAUUUUCGGAGUACUUCAUAGUAGGGGUUAACGUAGCUACCCCGCAGACGGUCCCCAAUGGGUGUAGCUAGGCUCCCCAUUUGCGGGAUUCGGUUAUGAGUCGGGCUCAACCUUCAGGUUAGCCAGUAUGAUUGGGUUAUGAAUCAUGGAUAGCAUGCAUCAUGAGCAUAGUAGUUGCUAGUACAUGUUUAUUGUACCCGUUUCUUGUAUCAUACUGCGAAGGCAUAGUAGCAUGCUAGAUGUUUAUUAUAUUGCUAACUCUUCUACUUAUGCCUGUUUAGACCUAGUGGUAAAAUUGGCAGGGUCGGCGACCGAACCCGUUGGGAACUUUUGUUAGUUCUCAUCCCACUUUGUUGCAGAGCCUAGCACAAGCGGAGCGGUCGAGGAUCACGGUAAGGGCAAAGCACCCUAGAUAGUAGCCUCCUUUGCAUUAGAGUACCAUGUACCAUUUUGAGAGAUAUGAUAUAUUUUGGUGAGGUUACUUGUGGAUGUAUAUGUAUUAUGAGCCAAGUGUAUGUAUUUUGAUGGAUGAAUGUAAAAAAUCAAGUGUGAAUGUAAUAACUAGUAUUUCUCUCUUGCGCUUGUUCAUAUUACACUCGCGCAAUCAUGUAUGUUGUUCAUGUUUUUACUUGGGCAAACUAGAUGUACAUGAUGUUUAUUGAGCCUUGGGCGAACAGGGGAAACUCCGUCCGUUCGGCGGUCCGCCCCUUGCGCCCGAUCCGACCAAAUUGGCAGUCUCGGGGUGGGGCGCAUGACAGUUUUAGUGUGAGGUUUGACACCUUUGUUUACAGUAUGAGGGCUGCGGGUGGUUUCGGUGCCGAAAUGAGCAUCCAGGAGCCAAAACAGUGAUUUCUAAGAUCUCGGUUUUAUGUUUUGGUGCACUUUUGUGCGGCUAUCCCAACGGCAAAAUAUUGGAGUUUUAGGAUAGCAGACAAGGUGGGUUAUGUAUUUGGCUUAUUUCGGACACCCCGUGGGUUGGGGUGGCAUGCUGAUGAGUUGGUGCAACAAUCAUGCGACCUUACGGUGACCAUUGAAUAGGAUCUGAAAAUUCGAUUGUUCGCUUAUUUGGAUUCAUAUAGAAUCAUAAGUGUCUGCGACCACGAAUGACGCACCUCGCACGGUCGAUGGAUUUGCCGUGGGAUUGUAUUCAUGAUUCAGAUUAGUAUUUAUAUAUAUAUGGAUAUCAGGUAUUGCGAGUCCAUGGCUUCCAAUAGAUGCAAGCAUCUACUGUUAAUUAUUCCCUUAAGAUUGGGACACCGUCGAUUAAGAGACCUUCAUAGAAAUGAUGGAAUGAAUUGUAUCUUGAUGGCUGAUUGAACCCUAAAUAUAUGUAUUACGAUUCAGUUGGAUUUGAAGUUGACUAGGUCCUAAGUAUAUGUGUUAAGAUCUAGUCGACAUUGAACUCUAAGUAUAUGUUUUAGAGUCUAAUUGGUUCUAAGUAUAUGUCUUAAAGUCCGAUUAUAUUUGAUUUCACUUUGGUUGUAUAUUCUAAGGAGAAGAUAUGACCAAAUCCCAAGUAUAUUUGUUUGCAGUAAAAUAAUACUUAUAUAGGAUGAAACAAUCCUAAUCAUAAUAAAAAAAAAAAAAACGAUAGAUUCGAGUUCAUACAAUCAUAGGUCUCGUGUUAACCAUUAAAUUUUUGGGCCAAUAAUUAUAGUUCAAAUAUACAAUAGGCCCAUUCAUAAAUGUGAGUUGGUGGGCCUCAUGAAAGCCCAUGUAAAUAAAAAUAAAGGGUCUCAUUCCAGCCCAUUAAAUAUUAUCAUUUGGACCCAAUAAAUUAAAGCGGGCCUGAUCAACGACGGCCCACAUCCACAUCCUAUAAAAUAUCUGUUCGAAAUUCGAUUUCAAGUCACAACCCAUUCAAAAUUCGAUUUCGAAUUUUGAAUUUCGAAUUCUCAACAAAUUUCAAAAAUAUCUUCCAACAAUCCAUUCAAAAUUCGAUUUUGAAUUUCGAAUUCCCAACCAAUUUCCAAAAUAUCCUCCAACAACCCAUUCAAAAUUUGAUUUCGAAUUCCGAAUUCCCAACCAAUUUCCAAAAUAUCCUCCAACCAUCCAACAACCCAUUUAAAAUUCAAUUUUUAAUUUUGAAUUCCCAACCAAUUUCAAAAUACCCUCCAACCAUCCAACAACCCAUUCAAAAUUCGAUUUCGAAUUUCAAAUUCCCAACCAACUCCCAAAAUAUCUUCCAACCAUCCAACAAUCCAUUCAAAAUUCAAUUUCGAAUUUCGAAUUCUCAACCAAUUCCUAAAAUAUCCUCCAACAACCCUUUCAAAAUUCGAUUUUGAAUUUCCAAUCAAUGCCCAAAAUACCAUCCAACUAUCUAAAAACUCAUUCAAAAUUCGAUUUCGAAUUUUGAAUUCCCAACCAACCCCAAAUAUCUUUCAACCAACCACAAUAACCUAUUCAAAAUUCAAUUUCGAAUUUCGAAUCCCUCAAAAUAUCUCUCACCAUCCCUCCCAUUAUAAAUACGAGAAUCGAGAUAAAUACGGGGGAGGAUACGAUUUUACGGAGAAGAGAAAAAAAAGAUAGAUUGCUACACACAUUCCCACGUACAAAAUAUUCAAAGAAGCGCUAAGCCGUGGAAAGGAGGAGAGAUCACUCGAGCUGCUGAAAGGAGGAGAGAUCGUCGAGCCGCAGAAAGGAUGAGAGAUCACUCGAGCCGCUGAAAGGAGGAGAGAUCGCUGAGCCGCGGAAAGAAGGAGAGAUCGUUGAGCCGCUUCAUCCAAUCCAUCAACAGGUAGUAAACAAAAAAGAGUAAGAAAGAAAAUAAAAUAAUAAUAAAACACAAAAAAAAAAUUCUCUUCUUCCCCCCUCUCUUUUUUUCUUUUUUUGGUCCUGCUACCGUAGUCAUCCAUACCAUCUAGAUGACUUCGAUGGCAGAGUGGAGGGGAGCCAAUGGCUUCCCGUUUCUUCGGACCUCUCAAUACCCCAUUCGAAGUUGUUGAGGAUGGAAUGGGUGAUCUACAUUGCUGCGACCACCCCAACAUCGAUGGCUUGAUAGUUUCGAAAGAAGAAUGGAGGGGAAUCUUUGAUUCCCCAUUUCUUUGGACCCUUCAACAUUUCUUCGAAAAUGUCAAAUCAAAUCCGAUGGCCGAACAGAUCCACGCCACCGUCAUCAACUUCACCGACGACAUCUACAGCAUUGCCGGUUUGAUACUUUCGAAAGAAAAGGGGGGGGAAUCUUUGAUUCCCGUUUCUUCGGACUCUUUAAUAUUUUUUCGAAAAUGUCAAAUCAAAUCCGACGGCCAAACAACUCCGCACUACCGUCAUCAACUUCAUCAACAUCAUUUACAACACCGACGGUUUGAUACUUUCGAAAGAAGAGGGGAGGGGAAUCUUUGAUUCCCCGUUUCUUCGGACCCUUCAACAUUUCUUUGAAAAUGUCAAAUCAAAUCCGAUGGCCGAACAGAUCCACGCCACCGUCAUCAACUUCGUCGACGUCAUCUGCAGCAUCGCAAGAAGAGGGGAGGGGAAUCUUUGAUUCUCCGUUUCUUCGGACCCCAAAUCAAAAUUAAAACGGAGAUUUCUUCGGACCCCAAAUUGGAACCAAAAUGGGGAUUUCUUCAGACCCCAAAUCAAGAUCAAAACGGAGGUUUCUUCGGACCCCAAAUCAAGAUCAAAACGGGAAUUUUUUCGGACCCCAAAUUAGAGCCAAGUGGGAAUUUCUUCGGAUCCCAAAUCAAAAUUAAAACGAGGAUUUUUUCGGACCCCAAAUCAUAAUUAAAACGGAGAUUUCUUCGGACCCCAAAUCGAAAUCAAACGGGGAUUUCUUCGGAUCCCAAGUCAAAAUCAAACGGGGAUUUCUUCGGACCCCAAAUCAAAUUGGAAAAUCAAAACGGAGAUUUCUUCGGAUCCCAAAUCCAAAUCGAAAUCAAAACGGGGAUUUCUUCGGACCCCAAAUCCAAAUCAAGAUCAAAAGGGGACUUCUUCGGACCCCAAAUCAAAUUGGAAAAUCAAAACGGGAAUUUCUUCGGACCCUAAAUCCAAAUCGAAAUCAAAACGGAGAUUUCUUCGGACCCCAAAUCCAAAUCGAAAUCAAAACGGAGAUUUCUUCGGACCCCAAAUCCAAAUCGAGAUAAAAAAGGGGAUUUCUUCGAAUCCCAAAUCAAACCAAAAUCAAAAGGGGAUUUCUUCGGAUCCGAACCAAAUUGCAAAAUCAAAAGAGGAUUGCCUCGAAUCCAAAAUAGAUUGAAAAGAAAAUCAAGUCGACAUACAAACCAAAUCUGAAUCAAGUCCACAUCCAAACAAAAUUCAAAUCCAGUCCACAUAAAAAUCCAAACCCAAAGUCCAAAUAAAAAAUUCAAAACCAAAUACAGUUCACAAAUAAAUCCAAAUAAAACCCAAACCAAAACCCAAAUAAAAUCCAAACCAAAUCAAAUCCAAACCCAAACCAAACCAAAACUCAAAUCAAAUCCAAACCCAAACAAAACGAAAACCCAAAUAAAAUUCAAACCAAAUCAAAUCCAAACCCAAACCCAAAGCCAAAGCCAAAUCCAGUCCACAUAAACAUCCAAACCCAAAGUCCAAAUAAAAAACCCAAAACCAAAUACAAUCCACAAAUAAACCAAAACCCAAAACCCAAAUCAAAUCCAAACCCAAAACCAAAUACAGUCCACGAAUAAACCCAAACCCAAAACCCAAAACCCAAAACCCAAAUCAAAUCCAAACCCAAACCCAAAUCAAACUUCCAACUUAGGCUCAUGAAUCUAAACCAUACCUAAGUUCGUGAACCAAAUCCCAAAUCCUAUCCCAAGUUCAUGAAUCAAGUCUCAUAAACCAAAACUCAUAAACCAAGUUCAUGAACCACGAACCAUAUCCAUGAACCUUACCCAAGUUCGUGAACCAAACACCACGGAUCA
rnacentral:lncRNA from 1 species